AGCCUUUCUUGCCCUCCAGAUCUUGUGAACAUAGAGUUAUAGCCACGUAGUCCACGUCAAUGCUGAAAUUGCAUUCGCUGGAGGGGCAAACCAGAAGGCAGACAUUACAUUGGAGGUUUGCCGAUUGAUCGAAAGCAAGAAAAAGGGUUGAUUAUGGAGAGAGAUGCGUCGCUUCUCUGGGGUCGAUUCGGUGCAGCUCUCGUGAACUAAGAGUAUGCACCGUGUAGCAUCCCUAGACCUCCUCGCAGGCUUUGCAUUUGAUUCUACUCUUCGUCCCAAAAUGGAGGGACGGGAGCAGACGCUAAUGAGCAAAUUGCAGGAUGGAUUCUCAGAAUCCUCAUCAAGCUUCCUCAUCAAGCUUAGUUGUGAUUAGGCAGAAGCGGUAUCCGGCCGUGCACUAAUGCUCAAUCGUCCGAAUGGCAAGAAGGAAGCCUGCUCACACGCAUGGCAACUCCGAUGAUCCUCCUCAUCGUUGGCAGCUGGGCAGUCAAGGCGGGGCAGCGGGUGAGACAGGUGUCCUAGUGUGGACAGCAUGCUAAAUUCGGCAUGACUCGUAAAAGAAGAAACGACACGAUUCACAGUGGUGAGCCGAGCUGCGGAUUGGAGAUCAGCACGCAUGACAUUCCAAGCAAGUACAGGCUUCUUCGCUCAGGUUUCGCAGAUUCAAUACAUGAUCACCAAGGCAAAUUAGGAAAUAAAAAUGCGUUUUGAAUGGAGUUAUAGUUGUUAUCAACACGAAGUAAAUGUGGCGAAAUUAAUUGAGUUAAUGCUUUAAAAAACCCCAAAUUGAUACGUCUAUGACAAAUUUAUGCUAAAAUAAUUUUUUGAUCAUAAAAAACUUCAAACUAGUAUACAUUUGAUAAAUUUACCUCAAAUUUGUAUAUUUGUGAUAAAUUUACCCUAUGUUAGUUUCCGUUAAAUUUUACUAUCGAAUUACUAAAUUAAAGGACACGUGAAAGUUGACUGGUGUAUCGAUUUGGAAUUUUAUUCUCCAUUUUUCACAGUUAUAUAAUUUUUGUAAUUUUUUGUGGUAUUAAUCCAAUUUAACAUAGGAUAUAUUUAUCACAAAUGUAUCAGUUUUAGGUUUUUGGCGAUCAAAUAAGUUAAUUUAGAAUAAAUUUGUCACAGGUGUACCAGUUUAGAAUUUUUCAUGGUCAAAAAAUUAAUUUAAGAUAAAUUUGUUAUACGUGUAUCAGUUUGGAGUUUUUCAGGAUAUUAACCCAAAUUAAUUUUACCCCACUCCCACAUCAUUUGAUGUUGUGUUUCAGUGCUAAUUUGUACAAUUAUUUUUUUUAAUGCUUUAAUUCAAUGGUUAACGAAACUAAAGUAGCCCAUGAAAAGUUUCAUAUCUUGUUCAUUUAAAGUCAGUUGCAAUCUAACCAAAAAAUAAAAAUCAGCCACAACUGUUAUGAAAUACAUGAAUGAAUAGAAUACAUAAAUAAAUAUUCAUUAUAUUCAUCUUAUUUAAUGUACUUAUUAUGGUACAUUUGUAUCAUAUAUUCUAAGUACAUCUCUCUAUACAAUGAAUGUCCAUCUCCUUUAUCCAGUACAUGUAUCAUUCGAUACAUUGAUAUUAAUGAUAAGUACAUUUUUGUUUUUCUAUAAAUAGGAGUUUAGUUUUUAUGUACAAUACACAAUCACACAGAAACACAACAGUGAGAUACUAGAAAUAAAGCUCUCUCAUCUUGCUACUAUCUCUAGUGUUCACUUGCUUUCUCUUCUUUAAUCUCUUCUCUAUUAUACAUUCACCACGCGAUAUUUUACAACAACAACUAUAAUUUAAUUUUCCAUAAAUUAACCAAUAAAUAAAACUCCAAACAUUGGUUAAGAUCAUAAAGGUGCAUCACCUUGGGCUAGUCUAUACAUUUAUUAGAAAUUCUUAUCCAACUUACUAUGAAUGCUACUUACUUAACACAAUAUUGCGAUAUGACUUUUUUAUAAAUUACUAAAGUGGAAUUAACUUGACAUGACUUUAUAGUUUAUAAAACUAAAUUCACCUUAUAUGUAAAAGUAACCCUUACAUAUGCUGGGUCAUGUCCUUUUUCUGAGGCAAAAAAAAAAAAAAAAAAUUCUCUCUCUCUCUAUGAGAGAGUUUCCAAAGGGUCUCAAGGGAGGCUUCGAUGUUCCCGCAAAUAUGGUUGGAUCAUGCGGUAUUACAUGAUAAUCCUAUGUCUAAUCGUGGGCAGAAAUGGGACCAUGAAAGUUGGGGAUUUUUUUUAUAAAAAAAAAAACCAUUUUUGGCAAAAUUAAGAUUUUCCUGAAGUUUUGCUCUGCGACACUUUAAAUUUUCUUUACAACAUUAUUUCACAGUUUAAAAACCUCUAGAAUCAGCCCAACAACAUAAAAUCCAUACAAAACCUAAUUUACAGUUUAACUAAGAAAACUUCUUCAAUUAGAUAAAUAAAAGUUUAAAAUCCUUAUCGAUUACUAAGAAAUAUAAAUAAUCCGGCUUGACCCAGCCUCUCAAACGUGCAUGUAGCGAGAGCCCCUCGUCUCAUCUUUGUCUUUUUGUCUGUUUCUCCGGAUUCUGGUUUCCUCCGUUUUUUGGGUUCUUCUAUCUGCACUCGUAAUUCCUUUGCAAUGGCGUCAACUGAACCAAGACCAAGGAAAGUGCUAAACGAGACACUUGGGCUUCUGCUUAAUGUUUUGCUCUUUUGAUAUGUGUUAACAAGUAGCACCCAAAUUUGGGUCCCUUAUCUUCUCACAAAGGUCACAAAAGAACUCACUGGUAUCAUCUUCGAUGAACGAAGCAUAAAGUGUGAGUUGAUGGAAGUUAAUGGCAAUCUUUAGUGUAGUUGAAGGCAAUCUGUGAUGAUUAAGGUUGCAAUGCACACAAUUGUAAAAGUCAAACCUGCAAAAUUUACUACAGACACUGCAUAGGAAGCACAGUUCGGAAGAUCUAAAUUAAGAAAGAGUACAUGCUCGUGCAGGUGAUGUUUCAAAGUGGGCCUUUCAAAAGUGCAUGGAAUGUUGAAGUCAUAGUCACUGUCCAUGCAGCGAAAGACAGAGCGUCAACACUCUUCACGGCAUAUGUCAACACCGCUCCUUCCUGAUGCAAGAAAAAAAAGACGUGCGGGGUGAACAGGUUGUUGCAUGAGUGAGGGCGAUUCAGCACAUGAUUUAUGGAGCAAAAAAGAGCAGCCCUGGUUCAGCCAGCGAUAGAUGCACGCACUACGAGCCUUGCACGCACCAUCCUUCAUAUGACGGUUCCAGCAGCAGAGGAUGACCGGGCAGAGGAGAAAGAAGAGGCAAUCAAGCCAACCAUGGACCUCACCUGGUAUGUUACUUUCACAAGCUUUGCACCUGAUUCUGCUUUCGAGCUUCGUGAGGAAGACCAGUGGAUGCUGAUGGUCGAAGUGGUAGAAAACCGAGUCCUUCUUGCCAUCCAGAUCUUGCGAACAUCGAGUUAAUGCUGUGUCCAUGUCAAGGCUGAAUUUUGUAAUCGCUACAGUAGGAGACCAUGGUAAGCAUUAGAGUGUCAAAAUGGGUCCAUCACCCAUUUUUUGACUCAUAUUCUGAGAAGUGGGUCAUACAAGUUAUUCAAACUUUUAAGGGCCAGGCCUAAAUGGAUUUAAAAAGACUCAAAGUUUGGCGGGACGACAAAAUUUGGGUCCUCGACGGUGGCAUUGUGGGGCUGGGACAGAGGUGAGACUGUAUCGACUGAGUUGGACAUGCAACGAGGUAGAGUUCAUCUUCCUUCUCUCAACACAGCAACUGGUUGAUGGUCAGGCCUCCAAUCAAUGUGAACAACACCACCUUGUUUCUCUCCUGUCCUUGUGCUUCUAGAUCUACUCCGCUUCUCUGCACGCUUUGCACUUCUAGAUCUUCCUUCACUUCUCAGUCUCUGUAUUGUGUUAAGAGAGAGCCUUGAGGUCGAACUAUUAUUGAGAAUUAAAGAGGUAGCUCGUUCAUUUGAGACCCAAUUUGUCUCAAGCCCAAUUUGUCUCAAGCCCCAAUUCUAAGCCCAAUAAAAAACUGCCGAUGGGCUGUUCUUUGUUAUCGAUAUGGCCGAAAUUACCCCCAAAAAGAAAAAUAUAUAUAUGUCAGCAAAGCGAGUUGGGUUGGGUUGGGUUACGUUGGGUUGGAUCCAGUGGAGGUUGAAUAUGGGUUUGGAAGCGCACUGGUUGAUGAGAGCAAGGAUAUUGCUUGUCAUCGAGUAAGAUUCGUCAUCCUUCACCUCGUAAAAAUAUCAAAAAAUAGCGAUCCACGUAGAAAAUUAGAAAGAGUAAAGCAAAUAUAGGAAAACAAAAAUUAAUUAUACGUAUAUGCAUCGUAAAUAAUGGCUACUAAUGAGCUUUAAAUGAGUGGAUAUGAAUUUUCAUAGAUUUAGUUAAAUAUAGACGUGCUUUAAUAAUUUAGGUAUAGGUCAAGUUUGGGUCACUGGAUUUAUACUGCAUGUAAAUGAGUCAAAACGGAUUAAAUGGGUCGAUUUGAAUCGAACCAUUUUUUGACUCCCAACCUACCUAUUUGACAGCCCUGGUAAGCAUUACAUUUAGCUCCUCCAAUUAAUCAAAAGCGAGAGAGAGAGGGUGAUCAUGGAGACGAGUGUUGCUUCUCUAUGGAAGACUCGGUGCAGCUUUUGUGGAGAAAGAAUAUGCACGCAUGGCAUCCAUAGACUUGCCCCAAGAUCGCUUGUUCGUAGGUUUUGCAGCUCUUGAGCAUUUGUUGGAUGGUCACAUUCUGAGAAUCCUCAUCGGGGCUUAGUUGUGGCAAGGCAGAUGAAGCUAUAUUGGGCUGUGCAAUAACAAUCGACGUGUCCAAAUGACGAGAAAAUUUUCAUAUAUAAAAGCGAAAUAUUGAUUGGAAUGUACAUUACUAGAUUGGUGAGGUCACGUAUUUUCUUGUGUCAUGACAAGUUUGUUAGCCAUCGCCUAAGACCCACCACUGGCGAAAGGAAACAAAAGCUAAAAAAAAAAAAGGAAAAAAAAGGAAAAAAAAAGGAUGAAAAAUUCAAAAAUAAAAUAAAAUGUUGUCAACAUUAGCGCCAGUACGCCACAGGACGACUAGUUGGGACUAGCGUUUUCCAAUCAAAAUUGACUGAAAAGAUUAUUUGAUAAAUUGUCUUAAGUUUGAGGACUAAAUAAGUAAAAUUGAAAGGUUUAGAAUUAUUAUUAUUAUUAUUAUUUUGCCUAUAAAGUUUAGGGUUGAAUUAGUACAAGUGUAAUAGAUUUAGAAUUUUUUGGGAUUUUUCCUAAAAAAAAUGGAGGAAAGUAUCAUUCGGAAAUAAUUUGUAACGACAAUGACCUAGUUAAUGUAAUUUCUUUGUAACAAGACUUUUAGAGUGCGUUUGGCAACGUUUCUGUUCAAAAAUUGUUUCAGGGAACAGAAAUAGAAAAAACUAUUUCUAUUCCGGCGAACAAUUUUUGACCAGAAAGAUGCGUUUGGUAAACUUGUUCCGGGAAUAAAAAAUGAAUAGAAAUACGUUUGGUAAAUUUAUAUUCUUUUUUUUUUCUUUUAAAUUUUUAAUAUUUUUAUUUUAUUUUUUUUCUUUUUUCCUUUCUUUUUUUCUUCUUUUGGCCGAUUGCCGGCCUCCGGUGAUCGGCAGACGGGGGCUGACAGUCGAGCCUCGCCUUGGCUGGGCGAGCUCGGGCUCGCCUAGAUCCGGCGAGGCUUGGCCUGGCCGGUGGCUGGGCGAGCUUGGCCUCGUCCGGAUCCGACGAGGCCGAGCGUCGCCGGCCCCCGGCGUGGCUCAGCCUCGCCGAAUCUGGGCGAGCUCGAGCUCGCCAUGCUGGCGAGGCUCGGCCUCGCCGGAUCUAGGCGAGCUCGAGCUCACCUAGCCAUGGCGAGGCUUGGCCUCGCGAAUUUGGGCAAGCCCGAGCUCACCCAGCCAUGGCGAGGCUCGACCUCGCCGAAUCUGGGCGAGGCCAAGCUCGCCCAGCCAAGGCAAGGCCGAGCCUCGCCCCGGCCCCUCUCGGCCAUGCCGGAUUUGGGUGAGCUCGAGAGGCGAGGCCGAGCCUCGCUAGGGGCCGGCGACGCUCCGGCGAGGUCACCGACCCUCGCUGGCCAUGGCCGAGGCCCGCGACCGGCCAAAGAAGAAAAGAAGAAGAAAAGAGAAGAGAGAGAAAAAAUGUUCUUCAAAAGUGUUUCUGGAACAAAAAUAUAAUUUUUUUUUGUUUCUCAUUUCCGUUCCAAUUUUGUUCCGAGAACAAAAAAACAGAUUUUGAACAAAAACACAAACAAACGCGUUUCUAUUCUUUUUUUGUUCCCGAAAACAAAAAAAAAAAACAAAAUUUUUGUUCAUAAACAAUAAAAAAGAACAUUACCAUGCAGGGCCUUAGUCAUCAGAUGUUUCCACUUAUGCCCUUCUCGUUCCUUCCCUUUUUCACUAAUUUCUCAUCAGUCAAUCAAUCGUUGUCCCUUUCACAUGCCCUUUCCCAAUCUCUCUCCUCGUUAAAAGUUUCCACAAAUAUUCCUCCUUAAUAACUUUUUUUUCCUCUUUCUCAAAAAGAUGACAUUUGUAUAUUCCUUAUGCUAAAAUUCAAAUACAUUAUACUAAUCAGGGUCUAACCCUCAUUUGAACCGGGUCAAAUACUUUUUUUGGGAAGAAAGAAGAAGGAGAUAGAAUUCUUUUUUUUUUUAUGUCAUAUUUAUUCUCUCCCGCUAGACCUCUCUUCAACAACUUCUCAGUUUUCUUUAGUCUCCUUUCGAUUCCAUCUCUCUCUCUGAGAGUAAGUUUCCAAGAGGCUUCGAUGUUAACGUUGCAAUGGGACCAUGAGGAGUCACGUGAUGACCCAUACCAUAUGGAUAUAUGUGGGACCGUAGUGAAAGUUGGGACAAAAAAAGUUCAAAAUAGAACUGAAAUUGAAAUUAAAGUUGGAUUUUUUUUUUUUAGGGAAUUAACCCAUAAAAAUUCAUGAUUCCAUCAACAGUCCAAGAUAUCUCAAAUCAAAGAAAAUGCGAUCUCUUAUCAAGAUGGGAACCUAUUUUCAUAAUAUUUCACCAAAAAAGGAAAUGUUCAACUGCUUUGAAAGUAUUUUGACAGGAUUUAGUACAUCCAACAAUUACAAAAAUAGGUGCGUUCGUGCUUAAAAUAUGUUGCACUAUAGAUGUGUAUUUAAAGAAAGGGAUGAGUAGCUAUAUUGAAAUGGAGAAACAAUAACUAUAUAUUACUGGAUGUUUUUAUUUUGUUGAUUUUGUGAAUAAGACCUGUCAUUGACAUUUGUCAUCCCCCAGCUCUAUAAAAAUAGGGAAAACAACAUCAAGGUCCUCCUGCCUAGAAAAGAUAGCCUUAAACAUAAACCAACGUAAACAUGUUAUCAAAAUAUGUCUUCAUCUAUAUACUUGAUAUAAAGGUGAGUAGGUUACAAAAUCAAGAUUCUGAAAUUCAUCAAAAAAGUAAGUGUAUAUAAUAUGUAUUUCCAAACUCAAUUAAACCCUACAAAUAUCAUUUGAGACCUAUACGAGUAUCUAAACUCAUAUCAAAAUCCAACUAUAAAAUUUUAUUGCCGAUAACUCUCACAUCCUACCUUAGUUGAAGAAUUUGAAAAAGAUUUGAUAUAGAUAAUGUGAACAACCAUAAUUCAGUGACUAACACAAAUCUCUUCUAAGCAAAUGGGCAUCCGCCGUGCAUAUUAUAAAGUACUACUACAGACUCAUUUAUCCAAAUCCAAUAUAUAAUGUAUAGUAAAAUCCAAAUAUGAGCGAUAUCACUUCAACUCGGUUUUAUACUGAUCGGAAAUAUUCAUUCAAAUUUCAAAUACCAAAAGGGUAGUAUACACUCCAUCCGGCUUUAUGCGAUAAAUUUGUUUUAAACUGUACUUUUUUGUUUUAGCAAAAUCAUAUCAUGCAAUGCCUUUCUUAACAUAUAAUUUAUUACUUUUAAAACAUGAGUUUUUACAAAUUUAUAGAAUAUCACAACUUACCCUUAACCAAAAUCCAAAUCGAAAGUUACACCAAUCAAAAAGUUUCAAAAUCCUAUUGAAGGCGAUGCCAUAUUCAAACUUACGUGUCAACUAACCUCGACUAAAACUUCAGUAAGUGAUGCCAUAUUCUUAAGUCAAAUCGUUCACUUGAGAAAAGAGCUCUUAACAACUACUUUGCAAACAGAGUCAACCUCAUUUCAGAACUCUAAUUCAAGCGAGCUUACUUUCAACAAAAAAACUCCUUUGAAUUAUUAAGAGACCAUAAAGCCAAAAGAUGGCCCGAGAAGGGCAAAGUCCAUUGCCAAACACAGUAAUUGGGAAAUUGUUUCCAACAGCAUGCAAAAUUUUAAAAAUUUAUCACGACCAAACCAUAAACCUAAAUCAACUUUCAUGAAGUCUUGCUAUGCAACACCCUAAUUUUUUUUUUUUUUACAACAUAAUUUCACAACUUGAAAACCUCUAAAAUCAACCUGGCAACGUAGAAUCCAUACAAAACCUAAUUUAUAGAUUAACUACAAAAACCUAUUCCAUUAGAUAAAUAAAAGUUUCGAAUCCUUACCAAUUGCCAUGAAACAAAUAUAAUCGGGCUUGACCAAGCCUCUCAAAUGUGCAUGCAUUGAGAGUCCCCUUUGACUUGAGAAAAUAUUGGGUAUACUAGGGAGGCUAUCUCAACAAAUCACCAAUCCAUUCAUUGGGUGAUACAUGUCGCGUUAGGCUUAUCUUCCAUUAAUUUUCCCCUUUGACUUGAGAAAUUAUUCCCUCCGACUUAUUAUUCAUGAGGAAAUGAAUGGCAUGAGGAGAAUCACAAAUGCAAUGUGGUCAUAGCAAAACCAAUCGCAUAAUGACAAGUUAACAGGGAACAUGCAAGAGCAAUUUAGCAUAAAUAUUGCAGUACUAUCAACUAGUUUCGGGAAACGAAACACAUUACAGAGAACAUGAAGCAUCCCAGAACGUCUCCUUCUGUUUUGUUGUCUACACUGCAUAAUCUGAAUAAUCAUAAUUUAUGGCUUAAUUACGAAAAUUCCUGCACUUAGAUAAAUAAAAGUUGUUGCUACCAAAUAGAAUUAAUUCGUCUUGUCGAGUUCUCCCAAGCGUGCAUGGAGCGAAAGCCCCCUUUGUUUCCUCUCUCUCUCUCUCUCUUUUUCUCCGUUUCUUUCCUUCUUUUCUUUUUUGUUUUUCUUGGCCAGGCUCUGUUUUCUCUCCUCCGUUCUGCUCUUGUAAUUUCCCUUGCAAUGAAGCAAGACUAAAGAAAGGGCUAAAAUGAAACACUAGGCUUGGGCUUAGGCUUGGGCUUAAUGUUUUGCUCUUAUUUAUUAUUUUUUGCAAGCCCAUUUCUUGCAACUUCAUUGAUGAAGAUAAAUAUUUUAGGUUAUUAUGUACUGAUGGAUCCUAUGUGGCGUGAGGAUAAGGUCACUCAAAAUUAAAGUUGGACAUAUCUCUAUUUAAAGAAAAAUUAUAAAUCUAUUAUAUUUGUGUCAAUUUAAAUUAGUGUCAAUUCAGCCAUUUCGACUAAUUUUAAUUGGAAAUUACUGAUAUGGACAUCAGUUGUCCUAUAUGGCACAUCCAGCCCUAAUAUAGAUAAUUUUUUUUUAUAGUAAUUCAAUUUUUUAUUUUUUAUUAUUAUUAUUUUUUCUUUAUUCUUCCUUGGCCAUUUCCAUUGCGGGUUGGCCUCGCUUGGGUGAGGGUCGUCAUUGCCCACUACAGGCUAGGCUAGGCUAGGCUAGGCUAGGCUAGGCCAAGCGAGAGCGAUCCCAAGCAAGGCCACCUUGGCUUGGGCGAGGUCUUACGAGGGUUAGCCUCACCUAAGCUAGAUUUGGUGAGGCCAGCUUGCUCGGCUAUUGCUUAUCAUCAGCAAAAGAAGGAAGAAAGGAAAAAAUAAAAAAUAAAAAAAUUAGAAAAAAUAAAAAAAUAUUAAAUUAUUAUUAAACGUUUUCCAUGGCCAUCCAUAUCAGUAUCUAGUCAAAAUUAACUAAAAUGACUAAAUUGAUAUAAUUAUAAGAUUUAUGACUAAAUAAAAUUAAAUGCGAUAGGCUUAUGGCUUUUCUCCCUUGUCAAUAUAACCAAAUGAAAAAUAAAUAAAAAAGUUUAAGGCCUUCGUCCUCUCUAUAGUGUGGUGAGGAGUGAGGGUAGGGACAUCAUUUGAUCUUUAUUUUUUCAUGGAAAGUGGCACGGACAUCAAGUUAAUAAUCUUCUUUUGACAUCAAUCUAAUACUCUUUAUUUUGGACGUCCAUUCCAAUCAAGGACAUCCAAAUGCCCCUUUUCCAAGUUUCCUUUUAAAAAUUUUAAGAUGCAACGGGUAUCUUCCUUUAAAGAUAUCCUUAACAUUUUUCAAGCAAGUCGUGGUUUGUUUUUUUUGUUUCUGGAACGAAAUAGGAACAGAAAACAGAAACGAAAAAAAGUCGUUUCUUUUGAAAAGGAACACUUCUUCGAUGGAACAAAAGAACACAAACCCAAGGAACAAAAGAACAAAAUCAGAACAAAGGCGAACUCUUCUCCUUCGUGCGUGCUCGUCGCUCCUCUCGUCUGCUGAAGGCUUCCUUCUUCCCUUUCCGGAGUCUCUUCCCUUCUCUCCGGGGGCUCCCACUCGGCUGACUCUACCGGCGACUCCUCACUACCGGCAAUUCACGGUACGUUUCUAGGUGGUCCUCCUUCUCCGGGUAGCUUUGCUCCCCCUUCGGGNNNNNNNNNNNNNNNNNNNNNNNNNNNNNNNNNNNNNNNNNNNNNNNNNNNNNNNNNNNNNNNNNNNNNNNNNNNNNNNNNNNNNNNNNNNNNNNNNNNNGAUCAACUAUGAGCACAACCCUAUAGGCGCCUUGAUAAAAUGCCUGAUUUAUGAAAUGAAAAGCAAAGUCGAAAUCUAGGAUGUCAUAACUCUUCCUCUCUUAAAAAAAUUUCGUCCUCGAAAUUUAAACCUUUACCAAAUCUUUUAAUAAAAAUGUGGGGGUAUCAUAGUCUCAUCGAGUCUCACUUUUUCCGGUUACUUCUUUAGUCCCGCAGUGUUGUUAGAUGACUUUGACCAAGGGGAAUGUCCUUGAACCACGACUUGCUUGCGCAUAAAUGAAAAGUAUAAAUAAUGUCCCCCGUCUUUGCUCCUCCUCACAGCACCAUGGAUCUUCCCUCCAUUGUCUCUGUCCUGGCCAACUUCAUCCAAGUGAAAUUCCAGGGGAAGUCGCCUUCACCCUUUGAAACCCACCCCCUCGCCACCCGUGUCGCCAUCUGCAGCCUCCUCCUGCAUUUCUCGUUGGGGCGUGUCGCUACUCGGCUACCACCGCCUCUCGGCCCUGCUCUUUCCUGUGAUGGAGCAGCGCGCCUCCUCUUCCACUUCACCGGUUUGACAUCGGUGUUUUCGCUCGCGUGGUUGCUGCUCCACGACUCCUUCCACUCCCUCCUCUGGUUCGUGCUGUUCCUGUUGCUUGCCGUGCGUCUGUUACGGGGCCUCAUUCUAAGACUUUGGCUGUGGUUUUACCACAAACUCGUUCUCAUGAUUAUCCGUGCGGGGGGCUCCCGUGUAUGGCACGGUGGAAGAGCGCAGUCACAUUUGCCACGCCCGGUCGUGGAUCUGCGUUUCAUGCUGGAAGUUUGAGCGCUGUAAUUGUUCGAGUGACUGCUCCCUGCUUGGAAGAAGUAAUUUUAAUUGUAUGACCACUUCAAAUCAAAUAAUUAGUACGUUAGGAACCUAAGCUAGUUUUGUAUAAGAUGCACUUGGGGUUUUCUUCUCUUUAUCUGGAGCCAAAGCCGUAAGGAAUCCCCAAGCCUUCGGCGUCAAAUUAUCUCCCGAUCAUAACAAAGGAGAGCAGGGAACAAGCAAAAACUACCUAUGUAUCUUUCCUAUUCCUAGCCAUGAACGGUGAUGGACCUUGUAGUGACUAGAUCUGAUUAAGAUAGGCUAAGCCCUCGAAAGAAAUUUGGAUCUAUUGUUAUCGAAGAGAUUGAAGACGACCUCAACAAUUGUUAUGACGAGUAGAAUGGUCGUUUCUACUGGCCAUAUAAGGGGUAGUAAUGGUUCUUGAGGUUGAAGCUUCUGACCUCUUUGAAAACGUUGUUGAGUGUUGCAGAUUUCCUUCUUUUUUCAGUGAAUCUCUUUGUAGCUUUCUGUUUGGCCAGUGGAUGGAUAUGUGUGAUUUUACGUUCCUUGCUGGUGUACUAUGGUUUUGCUUAUAUGAACUGGGAUAAAUUGAUGCCUUGGAGAUGUGAGCACAGCUGCAGUUUCAAAAGCUUUGAUCUAACACUAACAUCAUUGAAUGAUCCAAAUCAAAAUGAAAGAUGUCAGCUUUUUCAUCUCUCUCGCAUAUACACUGUUACUGCUUACUAGCUAUUCCGAUGAUAAUAUAGUUGUAGUUUGUCAUUGCAGAAUGUGGGAAUGGUUACAUCAUAUGGUCUUCAUUUGAGCUCUGAGAGGUGACAACUACUAGAUCUUUGCUGUGGCAAACGUGUUAACUUGCAAUCUAAGACUUCAUUGUCUAGCUGGCUGAUUGACAUUCAAGUUGCCAGGGCCAAGGGGAGAAAAGAAUGCUGAAAUGUCGAUUUUUUUUUUUCUCUGUAGGCUUUAGUUCAAGAUUACUAAAUUUUGGCAAGACUGUAGAUGUUAAAACCGAAAUUUUCCCAUCUUCAUGUGCUAAAGAAUUUACGGUUCAUGUGUGCAAUGCUAGAUAGAUAGUAUGCAGAUGCUUGAGACAAUUCCGUACAAACUACACACAUUUGAUGUUCGUAUCUGAGGAAAUAAUUAGACCAGCAAGCUUCUUGACAAGUUGAUUCAUAAUCAAAUCAUGCAUCCCAAUGUUAGCACGUCAUCUCAUUACAUAGAGCACUCAAGUCUCGCACUUCAAAAAUAUGAUAUUUAUCUGCUUUACUGCAGAGAACAACAAUCUUGGAAGUCGACUGUAGCAGUGACACCAAUUGACUUGCAUGACAUCAAACAGAAAGGAAAUUCUUUUCAUAUUGAUAAGUGCCUCCCCAACUCUGCAAGUACAUGCACUUCACUUGCAGUUUUUCGAGACCAACAUUGCACGUCUUUUCUUGAGGACCUCCAAUUGUGUGCUCAUUCUUUUCACUUUUACCUGCAGAAUUGCAAUAUUUUCAUCUAGUUCAGCAAUAGCAGGGUCUCAGGUACGUCCACCAUUCCAGAAACCUGAUUUAAAAGGUGUUUGGUAUUGGAGCAUUUUCCGUUGAUUACUACUUAUUGUGGAGGAUGAAUAUAUAUAUACGAUGUUAAAAAGGAACAUGGCUACUCACCACAUCAUAUGGCAUUGUAUCCAUUUGUCGCCUAAAGUCUGUUUAGUAAGAGAUCAUUUCUGUGAUGAAAGCGCACUGUGGGCAAAACACAUUUGAUACGAGUAAUCAAUGGGCAGGGGCAUUCAUGGCAGAUGUAAGCACUCAGAUUCAGGUUCCUUAUCUUCUCACAAAGGUCACAAUAGUACUCACUGGUAUCAUCUUUGAUGAAUGAAUCGUAAAGAGUGAAUUGAUGAAAGUUAAUGGCAAUCUUUUACUGUGGUGGAAGGCAAUCUGUGAUGAUUAAGAUUGCACUGCACACAACCAUUGAAGACAAACCUGCAAAAUUUACUAGAGACACUGCUUAGGAAAUACAGUUCAUUAGAUCUAAAAUAAGAAAGAGUAUAUGCUCGUGGAGGUGUUGUUUCAAAGUGUGCCUUUCAAAAGUGCAUGAAAUGUUGAAGUCAUAGUCACAUUCCAUGCAGUGAAAGAUAGAGAGCCGACGCUCUACGACAUAUUUCAACAGUGUUCCUUCCUAAUAUGAGAAGAAAAAAGGAUGUGUGGGGUGAACAGGUUCUUGCAUGACUGAGGGCAAUUCAGCACAUGAUUAAUAGAGCAUAAGAGCAGCUUUGCUUCCACCAGCAAUAGGCUAAACAUUUGAUGCUUUAUCACAAGCCUCACAUGGACCAUCCCUCAUAUGACAGUUCCAGCGGCAGACAACUAUAGACCGCACCUGGUAUGUUCUGUUCACAAGCUUUGCACCUGAUUCUGCUUUCGAGUUUCAUGUGGAAGACCAGUGGAUGCUGAUGGUCACAAUUGUAAAAGACCAAGUCCUUCUUGCCCUUCAGGUCUUGCAAACAUAGAGUUCAAGCCAUGCAGUCCAUGUCAAGGCUGAAUUUGUAUUCACUGCAGUAGGAAACCAUGGCAGACGUUAUGUUUAGCUCCUCAAAUUUAUUGAAGAGAGACGGUAAUUAUGGAGAGAAGCAGGAGAGACAGGGUUAUUAUGGGGAGACAGGUGUUGCAUCUCUGGGGGAGAUCCGAUGCAGCUUUUGUGGAGAAAGAAUAUGCAAGCAUAGCAUCCAUAGGCCUCCCCCAAGAUUGCCUACUCGCAGGCUUUGCAUUUGAUUCUAUUUUUCAUCCCAAGAUGAUGGGAUGUGAGUAGAUGCUCAUGAGCAUUUUUUGAAUGGCCACAUUCUGAGAAUCCUCAUUAGGAGGACAAGCAAUCUUGGGCCGUGCAGUAACAAUUGAUGGAUCCAACUGGCAAGAGAAGGUUUUUAUAUAUAAAUGCAAAAUACUGUUUGGAAUGUAUAUAUCACUAGACUGGUGAGGUCACGUAUUUCCUCGUGACAAGUCUGUUAAGAAUAUGGACGAGCCUUGAUAAGCCAUUCCCUCUUGGGUCCAGCCGUCGAUCACAUCUAACUUCUACCAUAAGACUUAGUGUUCCAGACAAUGAGUGACUAAGUUUGCUAGGAAAUAAAAUGAUAGUGCAGCUCCAAGAUAAGUAUUUAUAGAUACCUUUCAGUGAUUUUAGAGUCCUCAAAACGAGCAGUUUCUCAAGAACAGAUCAGAGAAAACAUGUAACCUUGGAGCAUAAUAAUACAUGUCAUUAUUUGAAGGGCUGAACAGAAAUAUGGGAUGUGAUUUGAGGACUGAACCGAUGAUUUAGAUGCAGAUGGUAAUAAAUUCUUUUAUCCGGACUCUGAAGGUUACCCAUUUUGUAUGUGAUGUGCAGGAUUGCAGGUAUAAAGCAAAUCAAAUUAUGUUAGCAAAAAAUUUGGUACCAUCAUUUCCAAUGAAAGCAAUAUGUGUGAUAAAUGUUGUUGGCCAUGGAAACUGGAAAGAGCAAUAGAUGAUUCAUCUUCAGUGAAAGUAUGUCUCACAGACAACAGUAUCUUUCUCUUCUGGGUUGACCAUUCUUCCUCCUCAGGCAAUUUUUUCUAUCUACUCCAUCAAUUAAGUAUGCUACCCUUUAAUCCAUAGGAACUUCUCAUCAUUUGCAGGGUUUGGUUGCCCAAAAUCGAAUUGGCUUCACCAAAACUCCUCUUCUCUAGAAGCCUGGCCAGCAAAGUGUCCCGCUGGCAGUAGAGUGCUAAACUUCACCUUGCUUUUGUGACAUGCAUUCCAUAGUCAAGGGUGAGUCCCAUGCAUCAGUUUGUGGAUCGUGGUCUUAAAUGCCAAUCUCUACAAAUUCCUGUGGGAGGUCCAAAUUAUAUGCAUUUUAAUUUUCAUGUGGGUUCGUUCAUCAUUUGAUUUGACCUUGCAGUUGAUUUUCUUCUCACAUAUAUCUACAAGCCUAAAUGCUUAUUGUGAAAAAUAAUUCCCAGGAGAGUUAUCGUGAUACUAGGUCAAAUAAUGAAGCUAAGAAGUUGAUCAGCAGUAUGACUUAAGAUGGCAAGACUGUCAAAUGCUUCUGCUAAUUCAGUAGCAGAUACUUCAAAUUGUUACCAUCAACGAAAGGGCAAAUGUUAUUGAAAAGACAAAAAUAAUUUGACAAUUAUUGCGACUAGAAGAAUGGGGAGAUAUUUCAUUGUUUGCUUCCAGUUUACCUAAGAUCCUACUGGACCAAAAGAUUUGGAAUUUUUUUUUUUUUUUUUUUACUGAAGAGAGAAAAAGAGGGACAUUCAUGAAAGAAGGUACUUUUACUAGCAUUUUCGGAUACCAACUCCUUAUCAUCAAAUUGCCACGUGUCAAGCGUUGUCAUAUGGUUGUUACUAGUUGCCAAAAUAAAGUCAAAAUAAAGCUCCUGAAUUCUCUGAAAAUAUGGCAAGCGUUGUAGUUUUGCUUUUCUUUUUCUGGCAAAUCUCUUCGUAACUUUCUGUUUGACCAUGGAUCUAUAUGUGUUAUUUUACAGAAUCUUUGACCAUAUGCAAUGGUUUUGCUCAUUUAUCCAUAUGAACAAGGAUAAAUAGAUGCCUUGGAGACAUGAGCACAGCUGCAAUGUCAGAGCUUUGUUCUAUUGCCAUAGAUCUAGCAGAAUCAAAAUGAACAAUGUCAGUCUUUUCAUCUCUGUCCCGUAUGCACGGGUACUGCUUACUAGCUAUUCUGAUGAUGACAUUGUUUGAGUUUGUAACUGCAGAAUGACAAAGUGGUUAUAUCAUAUAGUCAGCAUUUUACCUCCGAGAGGUGACAACUAGAUCUUUGUUGCAGCGAAUGCGUUAACUUGCUUCGGCAACAAGAUUUAUAAAGACACUUCUUCUGUGGUGUAUCCUGUAUGUAUCAAGAAGCUUUUGGAUCUGAAUUAUGCAAUUACUAUGUUGUCUCUCUGCCCGACUGGUUUUCAGCCAGGAGCUAGAAUUGUUGCUUUGGUUGGAGAUUCAAGUUGCCAGGGCCAAAUUGAGAAAAGAACGCUUGAUUUCUUUUUUGGGAGGCUUUAGUUCAAUAUAACUGAAUUUUGGUAGACUGCAGAUGUUAGAACUGAACUUUUCCCAUCUUCACUUGCUGGAAAAGAAUUUACAGCUCGUGAAAGCAAAGCUAGAUAGCUAGUAUGCAAAAGCUUGAGACAAGUCUGCACAAACUGCACACAUCUGAUAUUCAUUUUCAGGGAAAUAAUAAGACUGGCAAGCUUCCUAACAAGUUGAUUCGUAAUCAAGUUAUGCAUCCCAAUGUUAGUACUCCUAUUCAUAAAUAACACAGAGCACACAAGUCUUAUGCUAAAAAAUAUGAUAUUUAUCUGAUUUUGCUGCAGAAGAUAAAAAUAUCGGAUGUCAAGUGUUAGUGGUGAUUCCAACUGACUUGCAUAUAAGUGGGUAAGCUGAAACAUCAAACAGAAAGGUGGUCUCCUGCCUCCCCAAUUCUUUCCUUCUGGAUAAGAGCGCCCAUGCACUUCGCUUGCUGCUUUUUGAGACCAGCAUUGCAAGUCUUUUUUUGGAGUUCCUCCAAUUGUGUGCUCACUGUCCACUUUUUCCUGCAGAAUUGCAAUUUCUUCAUCUAGUUCAGCUAUAGCGGGGCUUCAGGUACUUCCAUUACUUCAAAAUAAAUUUUGUAUUACCAUAUUUCCUGUUGAUUAUAUUUUAUUGUGGAGAUUUGAGUCUGUAUAUGAUGUAACAAAAGAAAAAAGAACAGGGCUAUUCACAUCAUGGGGCAGCAUCUUGUAGCCGUUUGUUGGCUAAAGUCAGGUUAGUGAGAGACCACUUCUGUGAUGAAAGCAUACCGUGGGUAAAACACAUGUCGAUAUGAGUAAUCAAGGGCAUUCAUUGGCAUUCAUUGCAGCCAGAAGCACCCAGAUUCAGGUCUUUUUUCUCUCAAAGGUCACAGAGGUACUAACUGGCAUCAUCUUUGAUGGACGAAGUGUAAGGUGUGAGUUGAUGGAGGUGAUGGCCAUCUUUUAUUGUUGGUGGUAACUGUGGAAGGCAAUCAUGAUUUACAUUAAGAUUGCACUGCGCAAAAACGUGAAAGUCGAAUGUGCAAAAUUUACCAGACACUGCAUCAGUAGUGCAGGUCAAUAGAUCUAAUACAAGAAUGAGUAUAUGAUCGUGGAGGUGAUGUUUCAACGUGUGCCUUCCAAAAGUGCAUGGAAUUUUGAUGUCGAAGUUGCAUUCUGCGCAGCAAAAGACAGCGUCAAUGCUCUUCACAAUGCGUCAGUGAGCGUUCCUUCCUGAUACGGGAAGAAGUGGAUGUGCAGGGUGAACAGGGUGUUGCAUAACUGAGGGCAUUUCAGCACAUGAUUUAUGGAGCAGGAAAGAGCAGCACUGCUCCAGCGGCAGCGGAUGAUUGUGAAUUGGAGAAAGAAGAGGCAAUCCAGACAAACAUAGACCUCACCUAGUAUGCUUUACACUCUGAUUCUGGUUUCAAGCUUCACGUGGAGGGCACCAACUAGAUGCUGAUGGGCGAAAUGGCAAAGAAACUGGGCCUUUCUUGCCCUCCAGGACUUGUGAACGUAGACUUAUAGCCGCACAAUCCAUGUCAAGGCUGAAAUUGCAUUCGCUGCCGCGGGAAACUAUAUGGCAGGCAUAACGUUGGAGGUCUGCCAAUUGAUCGAAAGGAAGAGAGAUGGUGAUCCCGGCGUUGCAUCUCUAGGGGGAGAUUCAAUAAUUAUAAAGCUGAGUUGAAAACAAAAUAAAGAGGUGCUCUUCUUAGUAAUUACAAGUAAGCCUGUCUAAAUGAUGGAAUGAACUAUAUUUGGAUGAAAUAAAAAUUAUGAUGCAUGCACAUUUUUCAUCUAUGGUGAUCAUCUUCCUUUCACUAGUUUGUACGCUUCUUUUGCUGGUACUUUGAAUUUAUUAUACUAAUCAAAGUAACGAUUGGUCCGACCUUGAUUUUGAACCGGGUCAAAUCCUUUUUUUGAGGUAUAAAAGGAAGACAGAAUGCUCUCUUUUUUAUCAUAUUUAUUGUCUCAUGCUAAGGUGUUUGCGUGUAUAUAAAAACCUCUUUUCAAUAACCACUGGGAUUUGCCCCAGUGGCCACCCUUCCAAUAUGGAAGGGGGAGGUGAGAGGUUCAAAUCCCCACUCUCAGGGGGGGAUGGGGUGGGGACGCAUAAGUUUCAAAAGUGGGUUUCGACUUCCACGCCCUGCACGAGGCAGAGCAAGAGUCUAAAAGUAAGUGUAAAGUAGGAAUAGAAUAGGACUGAUAACAAAAAAAAAAAAACGUGCAGGGCAAGAGUCUAAGAGUAAGUGUAGAGUAGGAAUAGAAUAUGACUGACAAAAAAAAAAAAAAAACUACUUUUCAAUCUCCUUUAAUGACUCUCUCUCUCUCUCUCUCUCUCUCUCUCUAAGAGAGUUUCCAAUGGGUCUCAGGGGAAGCUUCGGUGUUAACAUUGCAAUGGUUGGACUAUGCGGUGUUACAUGAUGAUCCAAUGGCCACUCAUGGGCAGAAGUGGGGCUUUCAAGAAAGUUGGAAAUUCUUUUUUAAAAAGAAAAAUCAAGGUAGAAUUGCGAUUAAAAUUAAAAUUUGAGAUUUUUCUAGGAGAUUAGCCCAUAAAAGCCCAUACUUCCAUCAACAAUUCAAGGUGUCUCAAACCGAAGAAAAUGCAAUUUUUAGUUAAGAUGGAAACCAUUUUUAGCAAUAUUUCACCAAGAGAAAAUGCUUGCUGCUUCAAAAGUACUUUAAUAGGAUUUUGUAUAUCCAACAAUUAUAGAAAUAGGUGAGUUUGUGCAUAAAACAUGGGGACACGAGAAUGCUCAUGUUGUGAUAUAUUAUUUGCACAAUAAAUGGAUAAUUAGAAAAAAGAGAGGAGCGGCUAUUAUUACAAUAUGAAAUUGGUAAGAUUAUAAUGAUAUAGAAAAACAAUGAUGAUAUAUUGAUGUAUGUUUUCAUUUUGUUGAUUUUGUGAAUAAGAUUUCUCCUUUAUCUAUUGUCACACCCCAAAUCUAUAAAAUAAGGAAAAUGACACCACCAUGCUCUUAUUCAAAGGAUGUAGCAUCAAAUUAUCAAAAUAUAUAUUCAUCUAUAUACUUGAUAAAGAGUGAGUUGGUUACAAACUCAAGAAUUCUAAAAUUCAUUAAAAAUAAAAGUAUGACUCAAUCUCCAAACUCAAUUAAACCCCACAAAUAUCAUCCCAGACAGAUAUAAGUACCUAAACUCACAUCCAAAUCUAACUGUAACUAAUUUCCCGCCGAUAAUGCUCAUGUCCUACUUUAGCUUACCAGAAAAAGAUUUGGAAUGAAUAAUAUGAGCAAUCACAGUUUAGUGACUAAUCCAAAUCUCUCCUAAAUAGAUCAAGAAUUUGCUAUGAUAAAUCAAUACUAGAGAUUGAUUUAUCCAAAUCCAAUAUAUUAUGUACAAUAAAAUCAAAAUAUGAAUAAUGUCACUUUAACGCAACUUUAUACUAAUAAAUUAUAUACCAAAAGGGUAAUAAAUGCUCAAUCUAAUUUUAUGCAACAAAUAUGUUUCAAAUAUUACUUUUUCAUUUAAAAAAAAUCAUUUUGUGCAAUGUUCUUCACAACUUAUAAUAUAUCAAAUCCCUAUCACUUUCAAGACAUGAGCUUAUAAUUUUUUAGAGGAUAACAACCACCCCUAAAUAAAAUGCAAAUCGAAAGUUACGCCACUCGAAGAGUCUCAAAGUCCUAUCAAAGUUGAUUUAAAUGUCAAACUUACAUGUCAACUAACCUCGACUACAACUUGAGUAGGCAAUACCAUAUUCUUGAGUAAAAUCCUCCACUAGACAAAAGAUCUUUGAACAAUUACAUUGCAAAUAGAGUAGACCUCAUCUUAAAAUUUCAAUUCAAGCGAGCUUACUUUCAAAAGAAAACUCUUUCGAAUUAAUUAUAAAGCCAAAAGAUGGUCGGAGAAGGGUGAAAUUCAUUGCCAAACAUAGUAAUUCGAAAACUGUUUUUAGCAAUGCGCAAAAUUUUAAAAAUUCAUCCAAAUCAAAUCAUUAACCUACAUUAACUUUUUUAAAGUCCUGUUAUGCAAUACCCAAAAAUUUCUUUACAACAUAAUUUCACAGCUUAAAAAUCUAUAGAAUAGACCUGGCAACAUAGAAUUCAUACAAAACCUAAUUUACGAUUUAGUUACGAAAACUCCUUCAAUUAGAUAAAUAAAAGUUUCGAAUCCUUACCGAAAUAGAAUUAAUCCGGUGCAUGUAGCAAGAGCCCCCUUUUGUCUCCUCUGUCUUUUUGUCGGUUUCUCUGGACUCAGCUUUCCUCAAUUUCUUUUUUUUUUCCGUGUUCUUCUUGGCCAUACUCUGUUUUCAUUUUAUUUUAUUUUUAUCUCUUUUUGCUCCAGUAAUUCCCUUACCCCGGCAUCAACUGAAGCAGGACCAAAGAAAGGGCUUUAACGAGACACUUGGGCUUGAGCUCACUGUUUUGCUCUUAUUUAUCAUUUUUUGCCGGAGGUGGUGGUGUAGGGCUGGCCGUAGCCGUAGUUGGGCGGCGCGUGGGGGUAGCCUGACAUUUUUCCGGGAGGAGCGACGCGCGAGGAUAUAUUUUCUUCCGGUCAAACUUCUAUUUUUUUUUUUUUUCUGGGAGGGGGCAAAAAGAGGCGAAGCUUUUCCGGGGUUCGCUUUGGGGGAGGGCUUGACGCGUAUAAAUUAGACGAGCGACACCGCCUCGCGUUGCGAAUUGGGGGUUCGGAUAGGAGGUAAUUUACGAGAUUGCCAUUAUUAUCCGGGGAACCGUGCCGAAUUUCGAAACGGAAAUUUAGGGUGCGUUUGUUUGCGUUUCUGUUUAAAAAUUGUUCCAGGAAACAGAAAUAGAAAAAAGUGUUUCUGUUCCUGGGAACAAUUUCUGAACAAAAAAACGCGUUUGGUAACUGUAUAAAAUUUCUGUUUCUGGAAUAGAAAAAGAACAGAAACACGUUUGGUAACUGUAAAAAAAUUUUGUUUGCGUUUCUGUUUAAAAAUUGUUCCAGGAAACAGAAAUAGAAAAAAGUGUUUAUGUUCCUGGGAACAAUUUCUGAACAAAAAAACGCGUGUGGUAACUGUAUAAAAUUUCUGUUUCUGGAAUAGAAAAAGAACAGAAACACGUUUGGUAACUGUAAAAAAAUUCUGUUUCUAGAAUAGAAAAAGAACAGAAACACGUUUGGUUAUGUACAAAAUUUAUGUUCCAAUUUUUUUUCAAUUGUUUUUUUUUUAAUAAAAUGUGAACUUGGUAUUGAAUUAUCAUUCUCAUGAAAUGCUUAUCAAUUUAAUUUUGUUCAUAUUAAGUGAAAACAAACAUUCUAAACUUAAUCAUAUUUGCUUAGUCGGAAUAAAUUUUUUUAAGUUCAUACCAAAAUUUUCCCAUUUGUUUUUUUUUUAAAAUAAAGUGUAAACUUGACUUUGAAUUCUCAUUAUCAUAAAAUGCUCAUCAAUUUAAUUUUGUUCAUGGUUAGUAAAGUCAAACAUUUUGAACAUGGUUAUAAGUGCAUACUCUGAAGAAAAUUUUAUAAAUAAACUUUGUUCCAAAUUUUUCUCACGUGCCUUUUUUUUUCAAUAAAGUGUAAACUUGGUAUUGCAUUAUCACUCUAAUGAAAUGCUCAUCAAUUUAAUUUUGUUCAUGGUUGGUGAAGACAAACAUUUUGAACAUGAUCAUGUGCAUACUUGGAACAAAAUUUCAUAAGUAAAAAUCCCAUAAUAAGAGCUACCUAAAAGAAGAAUACUUCAUAGAUCUCUACGUAGACCCUUUCAUACAUAACAUCACAAUAAUGAAGUAAUAUAGUUCAUUGUUCAACUUCAUCAUAUUAGAUUUGAUAAGUGAAUACUUAAAAACAAAAUUACAAAAGUCGGAAACACAAAGUCAUGAAAUUUAGGCAUAUUAUGAUCCAUCGCCAUUUUAUUUGCAAUCCUUGUCCUAAGCAUGUUUAUUCCAGGUGCAUCAUGCAAUGUAUCAUCUGCAACCUCCAAUUCUAUAGGUCCGCAUGGAACUUUGGAUGGAUCCACCGAAGUUCUCAAAGCAUCAGCGUUCACUUGAGAAUGAAUCAACCAAUUGAGGAUGUACCUUAAGUAAAGAAAAAUUCAAGACAAUAAGCAAUAAGGCAACAACGAAACAGCACCCUCCAUUCUCGCAAAUCCAUAACUUAAAGAGAAAAAAUCGAAGCAUUAUAGCCAUAAGAUAUGAAGGAUCUCGCAUAAUGUAUAAUCCCCAACAUUCCUACAAAAAAAAGUCAAACAACGUUGUUCUUAUAGAUUCACAAAGAAUGUACUAAAUGAACAAGUCAACAACGUUGUUCUUCUCACGUGCCUUUUUUUUUCUGUUCUUUUCUUUUCUUUCACUUUUAUUUUUCUCCUCCCCUUUAGUCUACCCCUCUACACGUUCUCUUCUUCGGGCGUCAUCUUCUUCCUUUUGUCUUUCUCACUUUUAACACCCAUUUUUUCCUUUUUCUUCCUCGACUUCCGAUUGGAUCAAAAUGUGGCUGAGUCGCAAGGGUUCAUAGAGACACACAGAAAAUACUAAUAUUAGACCAAAUCCAAGCAAUACGGGACAAAACGCAAAUUGAGAAGCUUUAACACAAAGGCAGAAAAAUAAAUAACAAUAACUUCGACAUUGAUUCACAUCACUUUGAUAUAUUCAGCCACAAAUCCAUAGAUCUACAUGAUGUCAUAGAGAUUGAGACAUGAUGUCAUAGAGAUUGAGAUUAAAGAAACAAUAAUGUAUAGAACUCUGAGAGUGAUAAAAGGCUAUUUUGUCAUGCCCGAUGUUGUCAAUUGACAGUCCACACACAAUGAAAAGUGUAGCAGCAGUAAGCAGACGCUCGCUUGGCAACAAUAACUUCUAUGCUCGCUGUUGCGAGCGCUCGAGAGAGCAGAGCAGGGCUCGUUGCUCUGCUCGCUUGAUUCAGGCAUUUGCAUGAUUCUUGCUAACUACUUUGAUUGACAUUAAUAGAUCAAUAAAUGGAGAAAGACUAGGAAAAUACCCACUGGAAGAUAUUGGCCUAGAUAGGGCAUCGUUUUUUUUGCCACAGAACAACAGGAUCGCGGGACAAAGAUCAACAGAACAGCAACUCGUCAUGGUGUCGAGGAACGCCAGCAAAGGCCAGAUAUUUGCCCCGUUUCGUGCCCUUUCCCCCAUCACCAGUGCCAGCACCAUUGGGCACGGCAGAAGAGCCGCCGAUGGUUCCAGUUCCGACACACAGCGGGCGGCUCGCUGGAGCCUGAGCAGCAGCGACGCUCGCUGCUCUGCUCGCUCGAGCCGAGCCUGAGCAGCAGCGACGCUCGCUGCUCUGCUCGCUCGAGCCUGAGCAGCAACGACGCUCGCUGCUCGAGCAGCAACGAUGCUCAAUGCUUUGCUCGCUCGCCCAGAUCUCGAGCGAGCAGAUGAGCUGCUGUCGCAAAUCUGGGUGAGCAACGCUCGCCCAAAUCUGCGAGACUCGCUCAAGCAAGCGGCUCGCAGAUCUGGGCAAGCGCUGGCUCGAGCGAGCCCUAACACUCGAGCUCUCGUCGAAGUGAAGACAAUCAGUGAAGGAGGAGCAGUGACCACGUUUACCUGGUGAAGGAGCAGCGGCUGUCGAGACAGAGGCCGCUGUUGGCGCCGGAGAAGACGAUGGAAUUCUCUGCUCGCAGGAGGAGACGCUCGUUGCAGGAGGAGACGCUCGUCGCAGGUCGCAGGAGGAGAAGCUCGUCGCGGGGGGGAGAGAGGCGUUGUUUGAGCACUAUCCAAGAAAUAAAAAAGGAACACAAUUUUGUUCCUUUUUUGUUUCUGAUUUGUGUUUCAGAAACAAGAAACACAAAAUUUGGCUGCGUUUGGUUGUAUUUCUUUUUUUUUGUUUUUAAACACUUUUUCUGUUUUUUGGUUCUUUUAUUCCCAGGAACAAAAAAGAAAUAGAAACAAGAAACACAAAUUUUGUGUUUCUUGUUUCUGAAACACUUUUGAGAAACACUUAUUUUUUUUUCUUUUUUCUCUUAUUUUCUUGUUCUUUUUUCUUUUGGCCGGACGCCGGCCUCGGUCAUGGUCGAGGACCGGCCGACGAGGGCCGGCGGCCUCGANNNNNNNNNNNNNNNNNNNNNNNNNNNNNNNNNNNNNNNNNNNNNNNNNNNNNNNNNNNNNNNNNNNNNNNNNNNNNNNNNNNNNNNNNNNNNNNNNNNNUUGAAAGAUAGAAAAUAUAUUUUCAAAUUUAGAAGGUUUUUAUUAUUGAUGAAAAAUGCAUUUUCUAUCGGUUCAUUUUGUGAAACGAAUAUUGAAAAAUGCGAGAAUUUUGUUUCCGAAAGUUUUUCUUCGUGAAACGAAGGAAGCUUGGCAAUUUGGACACAUCAAGAAAAAAAGCGACCUUCCUUUGAUUAUUCGUUUUAUUCCUAAGUACGGUCUACUUUUUGAGUUCCUAUUCUGUCGAAACAAGACCGUCAUUUUCCAGAGGAAAAUCAGCCAAUCACCGACCGUCCUUGGCACGGGCCUGGGUGUGGUGGGGGGCGGGGAUCCAGCGGUUCCCCACGUGCGGGCCCUACCAGGAGUUCCCGCGAGUCGUGGGGGCCACGUGCGGAUUCCGCACCGUUUUUUCUUUUUGAAUUUUGGGAACCUCGAAAAACGGAUAAAAGGAGUGCAGGCCCACUUCGCAAAAUCAAUUUCGGAAAAGACGUGACGGGUGUUUUUUUUUAAAAAAAAAAUACAUUCGUUUAUCAAAUUAGAGUUUCAUCGAGAAAGAAAAGAAAAAGAGAGCAGAAAUUAGAGAAUGCCUAGUGCCAACUCCCGCACACCGACAGAGCACCGGCCAAAAGAAGAAAAAAAAUAUGAAAAGGAAAAAAAGGAAAAAUAAGAGAAAAAUAGAAAAAAUAAAAGAAAUAAAAAAAAUUAUCCAAAAUUACCAAACAUGUUUCUGUUUAUUUUUUAUUCCCGGAACAAGUUUACCAAACGCGUUGUUUUGUUCAAAAAUUGUUCCCCGGAACAGAAACACUUUUUUUUAUUUCUGUUCCCUAGAACAAUUUUUAAACAGAAACGCAAACAAACGCACCCUUUGUGUUUCUUGUUUCUGUUUCUUUUUUGUUCCUGGGAACAAAAGAACAAAAUAACAGAAAAAGUGUUUAAAAACAAAAAAAAGAAAUACAAACAAACGCAGCCUUACUAGUAAAGGCGACGACCUUUUCGAUUUUCGCAGGCAGUGGGCGAGUUCAAAUUUGACAGGCCUCUUUGCCCCCUCUGAUAACGUCAAAAUCGUCGUCCGACCGACAUGUGGAAAUUCAUUUAAAAAAAAAAAAAGAUAAGUGCUUCGACAUCGACUAAGAAUAUGCCUCGUAAGCUUCGUAGGCCUUAUGUUACAAGUGUUAAGUAAGGAUGAAGGGUUCCAAAUUCCUUAUAAAUUUUGUCUAAAUUCUAAAACCUACUUUUGGGUAUAAAUUUUUAAUUUUUUGGAACCUAAAACUUCAAUUCUAGAAUUCAAUGGAAUUUCGAUCUUGAGGUCUCUACAAUAAAGUGGCCAAAACUGAAUCAAUUUAGUUGCCCAUUGAUGGGUAAGAAAGUCUCUUUUUCUAACACAAGAAAAAAUAGAUGGCAAAGUUCAAAGGCCCUUCCUCCUCUCCAGUGGUGGGGUGAAUGCAGGGACCUUGGCGGACCCCCCGUGGGGAAGGUAUCUUUUUCCAGCCCCUUACCUCUUAGAAUAUUCCUGGCUUAUGUGACGCCAAAUCACUUAUGAAAGUACCAGGAAACAGGAUCGCUUUUGCUUUCUUGUCCUUUGGCUCGCUACUAAGAUGUUUCAGUUCAAUGUACCUAUCUUCACCACAACCGGCGCCAUGGACUUUAGCUCCAUCGUCUCUAUCCUUGCGGCGCACUCCCGUGUAUGGCAUGGUGGAAGAGCGCAGCCACAUCCGCCGCGCCCGGGCGUGGAUCUGCGUUUAUCGCUAGAAGUCUAAGCACUGUAGUUGUUCGACUGACUGUUCCCUGCUUGGAAGAACUAAUUUUAAUCGUAUUUGACUUCUUUAAAAUUAAAUGAGUAGUACUUAAGGAACCUAAGCUAGUUUUGUAUAAGAUGCACUAGGGGCUUUCUUCUCUUUAUCUGAAGCCAAACCCAUAAGGAAUCCCCAAGCCUUUGGCGUCAAAUUAUCUCCCGAUCGUAAGAAAGGAGAGCAGGGAACAAGUAAAAACCAUCUAUGUAUCUUUCCUAUUCCUAGCCAUGAAUGGUGAUGCACCUUGUAGUGACUAGAUCUGUUUAAGAUAAGCUAAGUCCUCAAAAGAAAUUGGGAUCAAUUGUUAUUGAAGAGAUUGAAGAUGACCUCAACAACAGUUACGACGAGUAGAAUGGUCUUUUCUAGUAGGCAUAUAGGGGGUAGUAAUUGUUCUUGAGGUUAUAGCUUCUGACCUCUUUGAAAGCAUUGCUGAAUGUUGCAGAUUUCCUUCUUUUUUUCUGGUGAAUCUCUUUGUAGCUUUCUGUUUGGCCAGUGGAUGGAUUUGUGUCAUUUUACAUUCUUUGCUGGUGUGCUAUGGUUUUGCUCAUUUAUCCAUAUGAACUGGGAUAAAUUGAUGCCUUGGAGACACAAGCACAGCUAAAAUUUCAAAAGCUUUGAUCUAAUACUAACAUCAUUGAGUGAUCCAAAUCAAAAUGAAAGAUGCCAGCUUUUUCCAUCUCUCUCGCAUAUACACCAUUACUGCUUACUAGCUAUUCCGAUGAUAAUAUAAUUGUAGUUUGUCAUUGCAGAAUGUGGGAGUGGUUACAUCAUAUAAUCUUUAUUUUACCUCGAGAGGUGACAACUAGAUCUUUGCUGUGGCAACUGCGUGAACUUGCAAUUUAAGAUUACGCCAUCUCGCUGACUCAUUGACAUUCAAGUUGCUGGGGCCAAGGUGAGAAAAGAAUGCUGAAAUGUAGAUAUUUUUCAGGAGGCUUUAUUUCAAGAUAACUGAAUUUUGGUUGACUACAGAUGUUAGAACCGAAAUUUUCCCACCCUGCAUGUGCUAAGAAUUUACAGUUCAUGUACGCAAAGCUAGAUAGAUAGUAUGCAGAUGCUUGAGACAAGUCUGUACAAACUACACACAUUUGAUGUUCGUAUCUGAGGAAAUAAUUAGACCAGCAAGCUUCUUGACAAGUUGAUUCAUAAUCAAAUCAUGCAUUCCAACGUUAGUACUUUGAAAUAUGACAGAGCACACAAGUCUUGCACUUCAAAAAUAUGAUAUUUAUCUGCUUUUUCUGCAGAGAACAAUGAUCUUGGAUGUUGACUGUAGCAGUGAGUCCAAUUGACUUGCAUAAGAACGUGACUUGUCAAUCAAAAAGGGUAGGUUCUCCUGACUCCCGAAUUUUUUUUCUUCUUGGUAAGUGCCUCCCCAACACUACAACUGCAUGCACUUCAAUUGCAGCUUUUAGAGACCAGCAUUGCAAGUCUUUUCUUGAGUACCUCCAAUUAUGUGCUCGUUCUUUCUGCUUUUUCCUGUAGAGUUGCAAUUUUUUUCAUCUAAUUCAGCUAUAGCAAGAUUUUCGGGUACUUCCACUAUUCCAGCAACCUGUAUUAAAAAAUGUUUGGUAUAAGCGCAAUUUCUGUUGAUUAUUAAAAAAAAAGUUUGGUAUUGUGGAGGAUGAGUCCAUACAUAUGACGUUCAAAAAGGAAUAUGGCUAUUUACCACAUUAUAUGGCAGCAUCUUGUAUCCAUUUGUUGGCUAAAGUCUGUUUAGUAAGAGAGCCCUUGUGUGAUGGAAGUGCAUCGUGGGUCAAACACAUUUGAUAUGAGUAAUCAAUGGGCAAGGGAAUUCAUUGGAGUCCUAAGCACCUAGAUUUGGGUCCCUUAUCAUCUUGCGAAGGUCAUAUUAGUACUCACCGGUAUCAUCUUUGAUGGACAAAGUGUAAAAUAUGAGUUGAAGGAAGUUGAUGACAAUCUUUUACUGCAGUGGAGGUUAAUCUGUGAUGAUUAAGAUUGCACUGCACACUACCGUAAAAGUCAAACCUGCAAAAUUUACCACAGAUGCUCCAUAGGAAGCAUGGUUUGGUAGAACUAAUAUAAGCAUGGUUCUGUCCCCUCUGCAUUCCACAGGCAAGGGUGAGUCCCAUGCAUCAGUUUGUGGAUCGCGCUUUCACACACUAAUCCCUACAGAUUCCUGUGGGAGGACCAAAUCCUAUUGAUUUGAAUUUUCAGCAGGUUCCUUUAUCAUUUGAUAUGAACUUGGAAGUUAAUCUUCUUCUCAGGUUUAUAAAAGCCUGAAUGCUUAUUGUGGAAAACAAUUACCAGGAGAGUUAUCAUUAUCCUAAGUCAAAUAAUGAAGCUAAGUACAUGAUCUACAGAAGAACUUAAGACUGCAGGACUGUCAAAUGCUUCUGCUCAUUCAAUAGCAGAUACUUAAAAAUUGUAACCUUUAACUGGAGUGUGAAUGUUACUGAAGAGACCAAAAAUACUUUGACAAUCAUUACAACGAGGAGGUUGGGGAGAUGUUUCAUUUUUUGUUUCAAGGUUACUGAAGGUCCUACUAGACCAAAAGAUUUGGAAGUUUUUUUCUUUACUGAAAAGAGAAAAAGAGGCAAGUUCAUGAAAAAUGGUGCUUUUACUAGCAUUUUUAGAUAUUGACUCUUUACUAACACAUUGGCACGUGUCAAAUGUUGUCAUAUGGUCGUUUCUAGUUGCCAAAAUAGAGUUAUGAACUAGGAUAAAUAAGAUGCCUUGGAGACGCGAGCACAGCUGCAAUAUAGAAGUUUUGUUCUAUCGUGACAGAGUUAUCCAUAUCAAAAUAAAAAAUGUCAGUUUUUUCAUCUCUGUCCCAUAUGCACGGGUACCGCUUCUUAGCUAUUCUGAUGAUAAUUUUGUUUGAGUUUGUCAUUGCAGGACGACAAGAGUGGUUAUGUCAUAUAGUCAGCACUAUCUCUCAGAGGUGACAACUAGAUCUUUGUUGCUGCAAAUGUGUCAACUUGCUUUGGCAAAUAAUAUUUAUAAAGGCAGCGACUUCUUUUGUGACAUAUCCUGUUUGUAUCUGGAAGCUCUUGGAUCUGGGUGAUGCAAUCUAAGACUAUGUUGUCUCACAGGCUGAUUGGUUUUCGUGGGGACCUAGAAUUGUGGCUUCAGUCAGAGAUUCAAGGUGCCAGGGCCAAGGUGAGAAAAGAAUGCUGAAAUAUGGAUUUCUUUUUUGGGAGGCUUUAGUUCAAUAUAACCGACUUUUGGUAGACUGCAGAUGUUAGAACUGAACUUUUCCCAUCGUCAUGUGCUGGAAGAGAAUUUUUGCAGUUCAUGAAUGCAAAGCCAUAUAGAUAGUAUGCAAAAGCUUGAGACUAGUCUGUGCAUACUACUUACAUCUGAUAUUCUUUUUUUUUGAGGAAAUAAUAAGACCCACAAGCUUCCUGACAAGUUGAUUCAUAAUCAAAUUAUGCAUCUUUUUGUUAGCACUCCAACUCUUAACAUAGACCAAACAAGUCUUACACUCAAAAAUAUGAUAUCUAUGUGCUUUUGCUGCAGAGAAUAACAAUCUCAGAUGUCGAGUGUCAGCAGUGAUUCUGUGUAACUACAUGCGCUUUGGAUGCAUCUUUUUGAGAUCAGCAUUGCUCAUCUUGUUUUUAGUACCCCCAGUCGUGUGCUCGCUCUGUCCUCUUUUUCCUGCAGAGUUGCAAUUGUUUCACCUAUUUCAGCCAUAGCAGGGUCUUCAGGUACUUCCACUAUUCCAGCAACCUGUAUUUGGUACUAGCAAGUUUUCUGUUAACUAUUACUUAUUGUGGAGGAUGAGUCUAUAUAUGUGGUGUUAAAAAGGAACUAAGCUAUUAAAUGGCACUGGCGGCAUCUUAUAUCCAUUAGAUGGCUAGAGUCUGUUUAGUAAGAGAGCACUUCUGGGAUGAAAAUGCACUGUGAGUAAAACACGUUUGAUAUGAGUAUUCAAUGGGCAAGGGCAAACAUUGCAGUUGUAAGCACCCAGAUUCAGGUCCCUUAACUUCUCGCAAAGGUCACAAUAGUACUCACCGGUAUCAUCUUCGAUGAACGAAGCGUAAAGUGUGAGUUAAUGGAAGUUAAUGGGAAUCUUUUACGUAGUGCUAGGCAAUCUGUGAUGAUUAUAUUGCAAUGCACACAACUGUAAAAGUCGAACUUGCAAAAUUUACUGCAGCAGACACUGCAUAGGAAGCACAGUUCGGUAGAUCUGAAUUAAGAAAGAGUACAUGGUCGUGGAGGUGAUGUUUCAAAGUGGGCCUCUCAAAAGUGCAUGGAAUCUUGAAGUUGUAGUAACUUUCCAUGCAGUGAAAGAGCGUCGACAAUCUUUACAACAUAUGUCAGCAAUGCUCCUUCCUGAUAUGAGAAGAAAAAGGAUGCGUGGAGCAAACAGGUUGUUUCAUAACAGAGGGCAAUUCAGCUCAUGAAUUAUGGAGCUGAAAAGAGCUGCUCUGCUCCAGCCAGCGAUAGGCUGAACAUUUGACGCAUUCAUCGCAGUCUUGCACAGACCAUCCUUCAUAUGACAAUGCCAGCAGCAGAGGAUGAUUGUGAGAGAAGAGGCAAUAAAGACAAGCAUAGACCUCACCUGGUAUGUUCUCUUCGCAAGCUUUGCACCAGAUUCUUCUCUUGAGCUUUGUGUGUAAGACCAGUCGAUGCUGAUUGUUGAAAUGGUUAAAAACCGAGUCCUUAUUGGCUCCAGAUCUUGUGAACGUAGCCGUGCAGUCCAUGUCGCGGCUGAAUCUGCAUUCGCUGCUGUAGGAAACCAUGGUAAGCAUUACAUUUAGCUCCUCCAAUUGAUCGAAAGCAAGAGAGAGAGAGGGUGAUCAUGGAGAGACAGGUGUUGCAUCUCUGUGGGGGGAUUCGGCGCAGCUUUUGUGGAAAAAGAAGAUGCACGCAUGGCCUCAAUAGACCUCCCCCAAGAUCGCUUGCUCGCAGGUUUUGCAUUUAUUUCUACUUUUCAUCCUGAGAUGAUGGGAUGUGAGCGGCUCUUGAGCAUAUAUUGGAUGGCCAUAUUCUGAGAAUCUUCAUCGAGCCUUAGUUGUGACUAGCCAGACGAAGCUAUAUCGGGCUGUGCAAUAAUAAUCGACCCAUUCGAAUGGCAAGAGAAGGUUUUCAUAUAUAAAAGGCGAAAUAUUCAUGGAAUAUAUAUAUAUAAUAUCUAUAUCACUAGACCGGUGAGGUCGUGUACUUCAUGGUGUCGUGAUCAACUUUUGCUAGGAAAAUAAAAUGAUAUUGUUUAUGUAUGCGCGUUACGGUUGGGUGAAUCAACCCAGCGACAUAGAUGGAUGAAAAGCAUCUCUGAAAGACGACACGUAAGCGGUGACGACUUUAUGCCCUUCUCAUUCCUCCCUUCUUUUACUCAUUUCUCAUCCCCCGUUUGUCCCUUUCACGUGGCCUCUCCCCAUUUCUCUCUCCUCUCUAAAAGUUUCCACAAAUAUUCCUCCUCAAUUCCUCGUUCUUUCUUUGUCACGAAAGUUGACAUUUAUGAUGCAAUUUGGACGAAAUAAAGAUUAUGAUGCAUAGGCAUUUUUCAUCUGUGGCGAUCAUCUUCAUUUCACUAGUUUGUAUGAUUUUUUUGCUAAAAUUCGAAUUUAUUAUGGUCCGACAAACCGCAUAGGGUUGGAUCAUGCGGCGUCACAUGAUGAUCCUAUGUCCCCGGGGGCACAUAUGAGAUCUCAAUUGAAUUUGGAGAUUUUUGUUUUUUAACAAAAGAAAAAAUUGAAGUAAAAUUGAGAUUAGAAUUAGAGUUGUGCAUCUUUUUAGGAAAUUAGCCCAUAAUGAAUCUUCCAGGUUAAUUGCGCACACUGCUGAAACACAGGAACAAAUAAAUAGGAAAGUUUAAAGGCGUUUCCCCGCUGUCCACCCCGGUGGUGGGGUGAACGCAGGGACAUGAUUGAUGUUUCUGCUUCUUUUAUUCGAGGUGACAUUUGCACCUAUUCAUGCUGUGAAUAUUAAUGAUGUCCAAAUUUCACUUCGAAUAAAAGAAGCAGAAGCGAAGCAUCAAUGAUGUCCCUGCCUGCGCCCAACACGGCGCCAUGGAUCUUACCCCAUCGACGAGGAUCCCAUCGUCUCUAUCCUCGUCGAUUUCAUCCUAGUGAGAUAUAGGGGAAGUCGACUUCGCCCUUUGAAACCCACCCCGUCGCCAUCGGCGUUGCCAUCUGCAGCCUGCUCCUGCGUUUCUUGUUGCUGCGUCUCGCUGAUCGGGCACCACCGUCUAGCGGCCGUGCUCCUUCUCAGGAUGCAGCAUGGCACCUCUUCAUCGACUUCGUCGGUUCGAUAUUGGUGGCUUCGUUCGCGUGGUUGCUGCUCCAUGACUCCUCCCACUCCGUCCCCUGGUUGUUCGUGCUGCUCCUGCUGCUUUCCGUGAGUCUGUUGUGCGGCCUCAUGCAAAAACUUUGUCUGUGGUUUUACGACAAAAUCCUCAUGAUGAUCAUCCGUGCCGUGCAGCGUGGUCUCCCGGCCGUGGAUCAGCGUUUAAGGCCGCAUCUCUAAGCUAGUUUUGUAUAAGAUGCACUCGGGCCUUUCUUCCGUUUAUAUGAAAACAUAAGGAGUCCCCAAGCCUUCGGAAAAAUCAAAUUAUCUCCCAACCAUAAGAAAGGAGAGCAGGGGACAAGUACAAACCACCUAUGAACGGUGAUGGACCUUGUAGCGACUAGAUCUGAUUAAGAUAGGCUCAGUCCUCAAAAGAAAUUGGGAUCUACUGUUAUUGAAGAGAUAGAAGAUAACCUCAGCAAUCGUUUUGACGAGUAGGUCUACUCUAGUAGCCAGGUAAGAGAUAGUAAUUGUUCUUGAGGUUAAAGCUUCUGACCUCUUUGAAAAUGUUGUUGAGUGUUGCAGAUUUUCCUUCUUCUUCUGGUGAAUCUCUUCGUAGCUUUCUGUUUGGCCAGUGGAUGGAUACGUGUCAUUUUAUAUUCUUUGCUGGUGUACUAUGGUUUUGCUCAUUUUUCCAUAUGAACUGGGAUAAAUUGAUGCCUUGGAGAGGCGAGCACAACUACAAUUUCAAAAGCUUUGAUCUAAUGCUAACAUCAACAAGUGAUCCAAAUAAAAAUGAAAGAUGUCAGCUCUUUCAUUUCUGUCCCAUAUACACCAUUACUGCUUAAUAGCUAUUCUGAUGAUAACAUAGUUGUAGUUUGUCAUUGCAGAAUGUGGGAGUCAUUACAUCAUAUAGUCUUCAUUUGACCUCUGAGAGGUGACAACUAGAUCUUUGCUGUGGCACAAGCAUUAACUUGCAAUCUAAGACUACAUUGUCUUGCUGGCUGAUUGACAUUCAAGUUGCCAGGGCCAAGGUGAGAAAAGAAUGCUGAAAUGUUGAUUUUUUUUUCUGUAGGCUUUAUUUCAAGAUUACUAAAUUUUGGCAGACUGUAGAUGUUAAAACCAAACUUUUCCCAUCUUCAUGUGCUAUAGAAUUUACAGUUUAUGUAUGCAAAGCUAGAUAGAUAGUAUGCAGACGCUCGAGACAAUUCUGUACAAACUACACAUCUCUAAUGUUCGUAUCUGUGGAAAUAAUUAGACUGGCAAGCUACCUGACAAGUUGAUUCAUCAUCAAAUUAUGCAGCCCAAUGUUAAUACUCCGAUUCAUAAAAUGGAGCACACAAGUCUUGCACUUCAAAAAUAUGAUAUUUAUCUGCUUUUACUGCAGAGAACAACAAUCUUGGAUGUUGACUCUAGCAGUGAGUCCAAUUGACUUGCAUAAGAAUGCAAGUUGAAAAAUCAAACAGAAAGGUAGGUUCCCCUGACUCCCAUAUUCUUUUCAUCUUGUUAAGUGCCUUUCGAACUCUGCAACUGCAUGUAAUUUGCUUGUGGCUUUUGGAAACCAGCAUCGAACAUCUUUUCUUGAGUACCUCCAAGUAUGUGCCCACUUUUUUCUGCAGAAUUUUAAUUUUUUUCAUCUAGUUCAGCAAUAGCAGGGUCUUCAGGUACUUGCACUAUUCCAGCAACUUGUAUUAAACACUGUUUGGUAUUGGUGCAUUUUCGGUUGAUUAUUACUUACUGUGGAGAUUAGUCUCUAUAUAUGAUAUUAAAAAGGAACAUGACUAUUCACCACAUUGUACGGCUGCAUCUUGUAUCCAAUUUUGGCUAAAGUCUGUUUAGCAUGAGAGUUCUACUGUGAUACAAGCACACCAUGGUAAAACAUAUUUGAUAUGAGUAAUAGAUGGGCAAGGGCAUUAAUCACAGUCAUAAGCACCCAGAUUCGUGUCUCUUAUCUUAUUACAAAGGGGACAAUAGUACUGCUAACUGGUAUUAUCUUUGAUGAACAAAGCAUAAGUGUGGGUUGAUGAAAGUUAAUGGCAAUCUUUUACUGAAGUGGAAGGCAAUCUGUGAGGAUUAAGAUUGCACUGCGCACAACUGCAAAAACCUAAUUUACAGUUUAACUACGAAAACUCUUUAAUUAGAUAAAUAAAAGUUUCAAAUCCUUACCAAUUGCUAAGAAACACAAAUAAUCUGGCUUGACCAAGCUGCUCAAAAGUGCAUGCAGCGAGAGCCCCCUGUCUCACUUUGUCUUUUUGUCUGUUUCUCCGGACUCUGCUUUCCUCCUCUUUUGGGGUUCUUCUUGGCCAGACUGUUUAUUUUUAUUUUCUCUCUAUCUGCUCUAGUAAUUUCGUUGCAAUGGCAUCAACUGAAGCAAGACCGAAGAAAGUGCUUAAACGAGACACUUGGACUUGGGCUUACUGUUUUGCUCUUAUUUAUUGUUUUUUGCCAGCCCGGUUAUUGAAACUUCAAUAGGAAAGUUAAGUUCAAAGGCGUUCCUCCACUCCAGUGGUGGGUUGAAGGCAGGGAUAGCAGAGUGGCAUAAAAGAUGACAGUCUGGAACUGGGAGGAUCACUGCCACUGUCAGUUUGGAGUUUAGUUGCUACAAGGUGCAUUCCCAUUCAUGGCUAGGUAUUGGCACGAUACAUGGGUAGUUUUUACUUUCUUAUGGUCGGAAGAUAAUUUGAUGAUUCCAAAGGCUUGGGAACUCCUUAUGUUUCAGAUAAAGAGAAGAAAGCCCCAAAUGCCUCUUAUAAAAUACUAGCUAGCUUCCUAAAGUACUUGUCACUUGUUUUAAAGUGGCCAUAUAGAACAAGAGUACUUUUUCCAAGCAGGGAACAGUUGAACAACUAUGGCACUCAGACUUCCAACAUGAAAUGCAGAUACAGGACUGUGCGAGGUGAAUACGGCUGCACUCUUCCACCAUGCCAUACAUGAGACUGCACCGCAUGGAUUAUUAUGAGAAUGAGUUUGCAGUAAAACCAUAGCCAAAGUUUUUGAAUGGGGCCUUGCAACAGACUCAUGGAAAGCAACAGGAGUGGCACGAACCAGGGAACGGAGUGGAAGGAGUCAUGGAACAGCAACCAAGCGAGUGAAGCCACCGAUAUCGAACCGGUGAAGUCAAUGAGGAAGGAUGAUGCUCCAUCACAAGAAGGAGCAUGGCUGCCAGAUAAGCGAAACGCAGCAACAAGAAAUGCAGGAGCAGGCUGCAGAUGGCGACGAUGGUGGUGACGGGGUGAGUUUCAAAGGGUGAAGUCAACUUCCCCUGGUAUUUUAAUUUAAUGAAGUUGACCAGGAUAGAGACAAUGGAGGUUAAAUCCAUGACACCAUGAGGGAUGAAGGCAGGGACAUCAUUUGUGGUUCUUUUUAUGGACAUUGGCCCUCAAAAGAAAUUGGGACCUAUUUGUUAUUGAAGAGAUCAAAGAUAAUCUCAAAAAUUGUUACAAGGAGUAGAAUAAUCGUUUCUAGUAGCCAUAUGAAGCGUAGAAAUUGUUCUUGAGGUUAAAGCUUCUGGCCUCUUUGAAAACAUUACGAGCAUUGCAGGUUUCCUUCUUUUUCUGGUGAAUCUCUUUGUAGCUUUCUGUUUGGCCCUUUGAUCAACAUGUGCCAUUUUACAUUCUUUGCUAGUAUACUAUGGUUUUGCCCAUAUAUCCGUAUGAACUAGGAUACAUAGAUGCCUUGGAGACACGAGCACAGCUGCAAUUUCAAAAGCUCUGUUCUAACAUCACUGAGUGAUCCAAAUCAAAAUGAAAGACAUCUGUUUUUUCAUCUCUGUCCCACAUACCCCAUUACUGCCCAAUGAUGAUAAAGUUUUAGUUUGUCAUUGCAGAAUGAAAGUGGUUAUAUCAUAUAGUCUUCAUUUGACCUCUUGAGAGUUGACAACUAGAUCAUUGUUGUGGCGAAUGCAUCUACUUGCAAUCCAAGACUACUUUGUCACUAAUCCCUGCAGAUUCCUGUAGGAGGACCAAAUCAUAUUGAUUUUAAUUUUCAGCGGGUUUCUUCAUCAUUUGAUAUGAACUUGGAAGUUGAUAUUCUUCUCGGUUUUAUAAAAGCCUGAAUGCUUAUCGUGGAACUUGCAAUCUAAGACAACUAGAUCAUUGUUCUCAGGACUGUCAAAUCCUUCUGCUAAUUCAGUAGCAGAUGCUUAAAACUUGUAACCUUUAACUGGAGUGCAAAUGUUACUGGAGAGACCAAAAUACUUCAACAAUCACUAUGACAAGGAGGAUGGGGAGAUGUUUCAUUGUUUGUUUCGAGGGUAACCAAGAUCCUGGUAGACCAAAAGAUUAAGAAGUUUUUUCUUUACUGAAAAGAGAAAAAGAGGCACGUUAAUGAAAAAUGGCGCUUUUACUAGCAUUUUCAUAUAUUAACUCUUUAUUAUCGCAUUGGCACGUGUCAAAUGUUGUCACAUGGUCGUUUCUAGUUGCCAAAAUAAAGUCGUGAACUAGGAUACCUUGGAGACGCGAGAACGGCUACAAUAUAGAAGCUUUGUUCUUUCAUGAUAGAGUUAUCCAUAUCAAAUGAAAAAUGUCAGUUUUUUCAUCUCUGUCCCAUAUGCACAGGUAUCGCUUACUAGCUAUUCUCAUGAUAAUUUCGUUUGAGUUUGUCAUCGCAGAAUGACGAGUACUUACAUCAUAUAGUCAGCACUUUUCCUCUCAGAGGUGACAACUAGAUCUUUGUUGCUGUGAAUGCGUCAACUUGCUUCAGCUAAUAAUAUUUAUGAAGGCAGCGACUUCUUUUGUGAUGGAUCCUGUAUGAAUCUGAAAGCUCUUGGGUCUGAGUAAUGCAAUCUAAGACUGUUGUCUCACUGGCUGAUUGGUUUUCGUCAGGAGCUAGAAUUGUAGCUUCUGUCAGAGACUCAAGUUGCCAGGGCCAACGUGAGAAAAGAAGGUUGAAAUACAGAUUUCGUUUUCCGGAGGCUUUAGUUUAAUAUAACUGACUUUUGGUAGACUGCAGAUGUUAGAAUUGAACUUUCCCAUCUUCAUGUGCUGGAAAAGAAUUUUUGCAGUUCAUGAAUGCAAAGCCCUGUAGGUAGUUUGCAAAGGCUGAGACUAGUCCAUGCAAACUAUUCACAUCUGACAUUUAUUUUUCAAAGAAAUAAUAAGACCGGCAAGCUUCCUGACAAGUUGAUUCAUAAUCAAAUUAUGCAUCCCUAUGUGAGUAGUCCAACUCAUAACAUUGAGCACACAAGUUUUACACUAAAAAAUAUGACAUUUAUCUGCUUUGCUGCAGAGAAUAACAAUCUCAGAUGUCGAGUGUCUGCAGUGAUCCCUGUAAGUUGAAACAUCAAACAGGAAGGUGGUCUCCCGCCUCCGCAAUUCUUUUCUUAUCGAUAAGUGCCUACCCAACUCUUCAACUACAUGCACUUUGGUUGCAUCUUUUUUAGACCAGCAUUGCACAUCUUUUUUUUUAGUACCCUCAGUUGUGUGCUCGCUCUGUCCUCUUUUUCCUGCAGAAUUGCAAUUGUUUCAUCUAGUUCAGCCACGGCAGGGUCUUCAGAUGCUUCCACUAUCCCAGCAACCUGUAUUUGGUUCUAGCAAGUUUUCUGUUAAUUAUUACUUAUUGUGGAGGAUGAGUCUAUCUAUAUGAUGUUAAAAAGGAGCAAGGCUAUUCACCACAGCAAAUGGCGUUGGCAGCAUCUUGUAUCCAUUAGAUGGAUAAAGUCUAUUUGGUAAGAGAGCACUUCUGGGAUGAAAAUGCACCGUGGGUAAAACGCAUUUGAUAUGAGUAAUCGAUGGGCAAGGGCUUACAUUGCAGUCAUAAGCACCCAGAUUCAGGUCCCUUGUCUUCUUGCAAAGGUCACAGUAGUACUCACUGGUAUCAUUUUAUCGAAGCGUAAAUUGUGAGUUGAUGGAAGUUAAUGGGAAUCUUUUACUGUAGUGGAAGGCAAUCUGUGAUGAUUAAGAUUGCAAUGCAGACAACUGUAAAAUUCGAACCUGCAAAGUUUACAGCAGAGCAUCGACACUCUUCAUGACAUGUCAACAGUGCUCCAUCCUGAUAUGAGAAGAAGGUAGGAUGUGCAGGUGAACAGGUUGUUGCAUAACUGAGGGCAAUUCAGCACAUGAUUUAUGGAGCAGGAAAGAGCACCUUUGCUCCAGCCAGCGAUAGGCUAAACAUUUGAUGCAUUCAUCAGAAGCCUUGCACGGACCAGCCUCCAUAUGACAGUUCCAGCGGCAGAGGGUGAUCGUGCAGUGCAGAAAGAAGGGGCAACCAAGACAACCAUGGACCUUUGCACCUGAUUCUGUUUUAGAGCUUCAUGUGGAAGACCAGUGGAUGCUGACGGUCGAAAUGGUAGAGAACCGAGUCCUUAGUGCCUCCAGAUCUUGCGAACAUAGAGAUAAAGCCAUGCGUGCAAUCCAUGUCGAGGCUGAAUUUGCAUUUUUUGCAGUCGGAAACCAUGAUAAGCAACUAAGGACGGAUUUUGGUAAUGUUGCUGUUUUAGGAAACAGUUUUUUUUCGGAAGCACUUUUUUUCUAUUUUUGUUCUUGGGAACAAUUUCUGAGUAUUUUAAGAUGUUUGGUAAAUAUUUAAAAUUUUUGUUCACAAAACAAAAAUACGUUUGAUACGCAAAUAUUUUUAUGAUUUAGAAUUUAUUUUAAUUUAUUAAUAAUUUUAUUGCAUUUUUUUCUUUUCUUUUUUCUUUUUCUUCUCCUCCCUCUUAGUCGACUGCCGACCUUGGCCAUGGCCGACCAGCGAUCGGCCAGACAAGGGCCGGCGAGGUCCCACCGAGCCUCAUGGUGGCUAGGCAAGGUCAUGGCCGAGCGACACCGACGUUGCCGAGGUCGCUGAACCUCGUCUGGCAGGUCGCUUGACCGGUUGGGGGAAGAAGAGAGGAAGAGAAAGAAAGAAAAGAAUAGGAAGAAAAGAAAGAAAGAAAAAAACUUGUUUCUUAUUUCUAGAAUUAUUUCUUGGAACAAGAAACAAUUUUAUUUUUGUUUUUUGUUUCCGUUCUAAAUCUAUUCUCAGGAACAAAUUGUUCCCAAUAAUAAAAAAAUUACCAAAUGCGUUUCUAUUCUAUUUCUAUUCCAGAGAACAAAAAGACAAAAAUACGUGUUUCGGAGAGUGUUACCAAACCCUCCCUAAGCAUUAAAUUGAGCUCCUCCAUUUGUUCGAAAGCAAGAGAGAGAGUGUCAUCUUCGCGGGAGACUCGAUGCAAGUUUUGUGGAGAAAAGUAUGCACGCAUAGCACCACAGACCUGCCCCAAGAUCGCUUGCUCGCCGGCUUUGCAUUUGAUUCUACUUUUAAUCCUGAGAUUAUGGAAUGUGAGUAGAUGAUCUUGAGCAUUUGUUGGAUGGCCACAUUCUGAGAAUCCUUGUUGGAGCUGAGUUGCAACUAGGCAGAUGAAGCUACAUUGGGCCAUGCAUUAACAAUCGACACAUCCGAAUGCAAGGGAAGGUUUUCAUAUAUAAAGGUGAAAUAUUGAUUGGAAUAUAUAACUACAUAUAUCACUAGACUGGUGAGGUCGCAUAUUUCAUCAUGCUGUGACCAAGUUUGUUAGGAAAUUAAGAUGAUAUUGUAUAUACAUACACGUUAGGGUUGGGCGAAUCAAGACACCAACAUAAAGAAUAAUGGAGGAAAGUAUCUUUUGAAGACAACAGGUGAGCGGUGAAGACAAUGACCAGUUUAAUUUAGUUUCUUUGUAAUUAGACCUAGUCAUCAGAUGUGUCCCCUUACAACCUUCUCAUUCCUCCCUCCUUUUACUCAUUUCUCAUCCCCCGUUUGCCGCUUUCACAUGCCCUCCCCCCAUUUCUCUCUCUUCUCUAAACGUUUCCACAAAUAUUCUUAAUCGAUACCUUUUUUUUUUCCAAGCAAAAAGAAAAUACCUUAAUUUUUCUCUAUCUCAAAAAGAUGAAAUUUAUGUAUGAUGCAAUUUGGAUGAAAUAAAGAUUAUGAUGCAUAUGCAUUUUUCAUCUAUGGUGAUCAUCUUCAUUUCACUAAUAUGUAUAUUCCUUCUGCUAAAUUUUUUGAAUUUAUUAUACUAAUAAGGGUCAAUCCUUGUUUGAACCAGGUCAUAUCCUUUUCCCAAGCCAAAAAGAGGAAGAAGGUAGAAUUCUCUCUUUUUAUCAUAUUCAUCCUCUCCUGAUAAGGUGUGCGCGUGCAUAUAUGAAAACCUCUCUUCAAUAGCUUCUCAGCCUACCAGACAAAGCCAUUGUCUCUCCAUGCGAGCGCUGGCUAAUUUUUUCCUCUCUCUCUCUCUCUCUCUGAGAAAUAAAAGUUUCAAAUCCUUAUUGAUUGCUACAAAACAAAAAUAAUUGGGCUUGAUAAAGCCUCUCAAACUUGCAUACAUCGAGAGCCCCUUUGUUUUGAGAAUAUAUUACGUACAUGAGGGAGGCUAACUCAACAAAUUACCAGUCCAUUCAUUAAGCAACACAUGUCGCAUCGGGCUACCUUGCAUUAAUUUUCCUCUCUCUGUCUUUUUGCUUUCCUUUUUUGUUUUUUGUUUUUUGUUUUUUUGUUUUAUGUUGUUUUGUUUUGUUUUUUUUGUUUUUUUGUUGGGUUCUUCUUGGCCAGACUAUGUUUUCUUUCUUUGUCUCUCUCUUUCCGCCAUAGAAAUUCCCUUGGGACGGCAACAAGUGAAGCAAGUCCAAAGCAAGACCAAAGAAAGCGCUUAAACGAUACAUUUGGGCUUGGGCUUACUGUUUUGCUCUUAUUUGUUAUGGUUUGCAAGCCCGGUUAUUGAAACGUUAAUCAGGGAGAUAAAUCUAUUCGGUUGUUAUGUUAUUGAUGCAAAACUAUGUGGAGAGAGAAUAAGGUGAUUUUUCCUGGUGGUAAGAAAAUUGAAUGGGAUGAGCCAUGUGGGAUGAGGUUUAGUUUCAGAUAUGAAGUCUGACUUCCAUAUUCUACUGAAAAAGAGAGAGGAGAAUUAGACUCCAUUUAUUUCAGUUGAUGCGGUCAGCUUCAUGAAAGAAUUCAAGUUGGACAAAACAUAAGUCUUUUUUUUUUUUUUAAUCCAAGAAAAAAUAAAUAGGAAAGUUCAAAGGCAUUCUUCCACUGUCCACUCCAGUGACGGGGUAAAGGUAGGGAAAUCAGUUCCUUUUAGUUAGAGCCACUUUGAAUAAACGAACUGAUGUCCCUGCCUUCACCCAACACGGUGCCAUGUAUUUUACCUCAAUUGUCUCUAUCCUGGUCGACUUCAUGGAAGUGAAAUACCAGGGGAAGUUGAUUUCACCUUUUGAAACCCACCCCCUCACCACCCGCGUCGCCAUUUGCAGCCUCCUCCUACAUUUCUCGUUGCUGCGUUUCGCUAAUUGGGCACCACCGCCUCAAGGCCUUGCUCCAUCUCGUGAUGGAGCAGCGCACCUCCUCUUCCACUUCACCGGCUUGGCAUCGGUGUUUUCGCUCACGUGGUUGCUGCUCCAUGACCCAUUCCACUCCGUCCUCUGGCUUGUGCUGUUUCUGUUGCUUUCCGUGAAUCUGGUGUGUGGCCCUAUUAAAAAAACUUUGUUUGUGGUUUUACUGCAAACUUGUUCUCAUGAUUAUCCGUGCGCCGUGCUCCUGUGUAUGGCAUGGUGGAAGAGCGCAGCCACAUUUGCCGCGCCCGACUGAGGAUUGGCGUUUCACACCAGGAGUCUGAGCACCAUAGUUGUUCGACUAUUCCCUGCUUGGAGAAAGUAAUUUUAAUUGUAUGACCACUUUAAAUCAAAUGAUUAGUACUUUAGGACGCUAAGCUAGUUUUGUAUAAGAUGCACUUGGGGCUUUCUUUUUUUUUAUCUGAAAACAUGAGGAGUCCCCAAUCUUUCGUCAUCAUUGAGUGAUCCAAAUCAAAAUGAAAAAUGUCAGCUUUUUCAUCUUUGUCCCAUUUACACCAAUACUGCUUUCUACUUAUUCCGAUGAUAAUAUAGUUGUCACUUACCAUUGCAAAAUGAGUCAUUAUUAGGUAUCGAAAAUGUGCUAAUUGGUUAAUUAGUGUAAUCAAGUUCCCGAUCUUAGACUUUCUAGUUGCGUAAGAAUUGAGAUACACUGAUAUGUCUCACUUGAUUUCUAACUGAUCCCAAUAGACUAGUAGCGACUUUUUUUUGUUACAAAAUUCUUAUGAACGUCCCAAAGUGCACAAGGUAUGGGCUUGGGAGAGCCCAUGCUUAAUCAUGGGCCGUAAGUUCAUCUUUUAGAUAAUAUCUCUAAACAUAUUCCUUAUCCCGAAAGGGAGGUGGCAACAAUCACACGUCACAAGUCAUUGAGAAAGGUCCUCCUCCAGAUGUAACAUGGCGGAUGCAAUUUCUCGUGUAUUUACUUUUUCUCUAGCAAUUUGUGUUGUUCUUCGAAAGACUUCAAGACGCCUCGAAGUCUUCUUGCACCGAGAAAGCGGCACGAGUCUAAUGUCACCGUCACCACAUCUCCCUAUACUAGACAUUACAUGGUCAUGAGGCGUUGGGCCCAUGGUUUUAGUGUAGAUACAAGCCAAACGUGCAUGAAUCAGAAGCACAAGAUCCCAAUGAAUUUCAAUUGUUAGAUGAUAUCGGUUUUAUAUUUCUUGGGUUCGAGUUCAGGCCAACCAUGUCUAAAGUGAGCAUGAAGACGAAAAAGUCUUCUCACAGGUUAGUACAAGGCACGUUCAAUUUUAGUGGCUUAACACAUGUUGCUUUUGUUUGAUCUCACAGAGGGGGACUUCGCAUCUAAUAUAUGGGAUAAAAAUUGGAUCUGCAACAGGAUUAACUAAUUCACAAGCGAAGGAUAAUACAAAGGAGUGAGUCUUAAGCUGAAGUAUUCUAAGAAUCUUACAUCCUAAAGAAGUUUCGGCCUCUCCGUCGAGAAAUAAUACUACUCGUUCAAAAAUCAAUAACUUUUAACGAUUCAAUGAGAACUUAAACCACCAAUAGGCAUGCUACCUUGUUGGUAAGGGGAUUGAGGGGUGGGGCCAGAGAGUACUGGACCCGAUGUUUGAUCUCCAUGACUAUAGAAUAUACAUGUACAUAGAAGAGAGGAGUGAGACAAGAAAAGAAUCAGAGCUUAAAUGAGAAAGCAUUUUUUCAAUGGUACUUGUACCCGUUCAUCAAGGUCUUCUGUGGAGAGUAUGUAAUUCGAGUGUCACUAGAAGUCAUGGUCUUCGUGGUUUUAUGUGUAGAUAUUCAGACCGUGAGAACUACAACAUACAGCGGGUCCUUGGGGUUUGAUAUGUUGAUUUUCUGGACGACUACGCGUUACAUGGUUCGUGAGAAAUGAUGGCCUUACAGAGACUUUUUGCCGAUGUUUGGCCUUGGAAAAUACCCAUCUUUUAUGGAGCGAAAUAUAAUAUCAGAUAGACUUACUCUAUGAGUUCAUCUGAAUAUAAUCAAUUACAUUAUGGAAAUUGUGAAUGGAUACUCGUGUUUUAUAUAGGGACUAGAGUCGGUUUAGUCAUUUCUUGAUGCAUUGUUCGUUGAAAAGAUGAAAAAUAAACGGAUGUCAUAUAUAAACUGCAUCUCACUCUUACAGCAUAGAAUGGAAAAGAGUUCUCCAAGACUUGCUAAUUUGCAGAAGCCAUACAAUUUUAUUUCCUCAAUCCACUUUCACCAAACUUCAGCUUCAAUUUAUCAAUUAUCCCUUUCCUGGACAAGCACUUAAUGACCCUUACUCAUCGCUCUAUCCUGAUGAAGCUUCUGUUGAUUCGCCUUCCAACCGUGAUCUAUUCAUAUAUCGGAGCUGAGCCAAUGAUAUCUCAUGGAAGGGCUGAGCCAAUGGUGACUUUUGAGCUAGAAAAGUUUCCGAGACUUGCUUCAUAGUUGGUCGAGACUUUGGAUUAGCACUCAAGCAAGCAAGUGCAAGAGAAACUAUCAAAACUAUACUUCUUACAAUAGAGUUCUCUCUUGGAAAAGGCAACCGCCGGUCUAGAAUUUUAUGUAGCAUGAUAUCUUCUCCAGAGGAUGUCAACAAGAUAGAUAUAAUAUCUCUUGGAUGCUCACCCAUCAUUGUUUCCAUUAUUACCACUCCAAAACUAUAUACGUCGCAUUUCUCAUUAACGACCAAAGUAUACGCGAGCUCUGAAAAAAAAAAAAAACACAAAAGGCAUACAAAACUUUAGCAAUUGAGGCUUUGGAUGGGAUGACAACACCCUUAGCCGCCCGCCCCACGAGGGUCAACUUUUCCCUCUCCAUCGUGGCCCACAUGACUAUGUGCGGCACCCCACCCUGCUCCAUUUGCCCCUCCAAUUUUUAUUUAAAAACAGUUAAUUUUAUUUCCACAAUAAAACGUUUAAUAGAAAUGAAUGAUUUAGUAAUGCCAAUAUAGAUGUGAUACAAAAUCUAAAAAUCUUACUAUUCCGACAUGCUUUUACUUAGAUGCAACAUAAAGUUAUAGUUUAUGAGACAUUUUUAUUCUAAAAUAAGUAACCUAGUAAUACUAACAAUAGUAGCAUACAAAAUAAAUAUUCAUUUUCCAAAAAUAUUCAAAUAUAUAGAAAUGAAUAAAAUGAAUACAAGAGUGAGAGCCACAGCAAACAAGGUGGUUCCGGGGGGACAUUUUGCCAAUCGUGGCACAACCAAUCCUUAGCUAUUGUUGGUAAGUACAAUAAUAGUCUACAAGUCACCGAUAUGCAUGGAUAGCGAAAUUUCUACAAUGUUGUUUAUUUAACAUCUACCUCUAGUAGUAACUUUCAGGGUGAAAAAAAUAUAUAUAUGAAGCAUAAAGUAUUGCUCACCUGGUGCAAUGUAUCCAUAGGUGCCAGCGAUAUUUGCAGUGAAGUUAGAUGAGGAAUCAUGAUCUAGAAGUCUCGCAGUGCCAAAAUCUGAUACAAAAGCCUGCAUUUAACUAUUAAGUAAGAUGUUAUUACUAGAUAUGUCUCGAUGAACAAUUGGCCGAGUGCACUCAUGGUGCAUGUAAGACAAAGCAUGUGCCAUAUCUCGGACGAGAUCGACUCUUUGGGACCAAUCCAAUUCCACAGCUUCAAUAUCAUCUCUCAAAGCACAAAAUAGACUCCCAUUUUCCAUAUAUUCAUAAACUAAGAACAUGCAUCGCUUGUGUAAGCAGAAACCAUGGAGCUUGAUUAUGCUUCUAUGCCUUACUUCUGUCAAGAGUUUCACUUCAUUUCGAAAGCUCUUGUCGAAGGACGGGUCCUCUGCUUCAAGACGGUGAAGUUUCUUCAAUGCCACAACUUUCCCAUUGGGCAAUCGUGCUCUAUAGACGCUACCAUAACCACCAGUCUCGAUGCAAUAUCUAAGAUCAAAGUCCUCUCUUGCAUCAAUUAUGUCUUCAUAUGCAAUCCUCCCGUCAUAAUUCCAUAUUGACAAGAAAUUUCCAUUUUUCUCUGUAGUCUUUGGUUGCUCUGUUUUUGUUGCAUGUCGAAAUAGAAAGCAAUAUUCGACCACUAUACAAGAAAUCACAACAAGUGGAAUGAACACCACAAUAAAAUCAAUAUUGCUAGACCUUCUUUUGGGGCCUUGGGUUUCAGAAAAUUGGUUCAAAUCUUUGUCGUCGGGAAAAGCACUAUUAGGAAUAAUACCCCUGAGAUUAUCUGGAAUGGAGCCAAAAAGAGGAUUGCUGCGAAGAUCGAGAUAGUUUAACAACCUCAGUUUCCCAAGUUCAACGGGGAUUUCCCCGACCAAGUUGUUUGAGCUCAAAUCUAGUUGUUGGAGAUCCCUUAAAUCUCCCAUUUCUGAUGGGAUGGCACACUCAAUUAUAUUUUCAUGUAAAUUUAGCUCAACCAAGCUUUUCAGAUUGCCUAUUUGUGACGGAAUACAUCCACCGAGUUUGUUUUCUUGCAAAUAGAGAUAAGUCAAGUUUGUCAAAUUUCCUAUUUCUGGAGGAAUAGAUCCACCGAGUUUGUUUCCUCGCCAAGAGAGAUUAGUCAAGCUUGUCAAAUUCCCUAUAGAGGACGGAAUGGGACUAGUGAAGUUGUUGAAACUUAAAUCAAUAACAUUCAUUUUUGCAAGGUUCCCUAGUUCAAGAGGGAUUGAGCCACUUAAAUUGUUUGAGCUAAAUCUAAGGGAUCGUAAAUUGUGCAAGCGACCAAUAGUCAGAGGGAUUGCACCAUUAAGCAAAUUGUACUUGAGAUCCAAGUUGGUCAAUCUCUCCAAAUUUCCCAACUUAGCAGGGAUAGAGCCACUAAUGUAAUUAACACCGAUAUUAAGAACUUGAAGCCUAGUGAGGUUUUGGACACAGGGAGGCAACUCGCUAGUGAGGGAAUUGGAGGACAAGUCAAGGUAAGUUAGCCUUGACAGAGUACAAAUUUGAAGGGGGAUUUUGCCGGCUAGCCUGUUAUGAGAGAAAUCAAGUAAGGUGAGGCUCGAAAGUAGAGAGAAGUUAAGGUUGCUGAAAAUUACCUCCUAUUUGGUACUCAUAUGGCAAGCAAAUCCCAUUGACGCUCCCAGAGGCGUCGCACAAUACCCCAAGCCACGCACAAUGAGGUAAGGUAGUGACGAAGGGAGGCCACCGCCCGCUGUAGAAAAGCGCACCUGCCUCUGACUAGUUAGAAGGUGCUAGUGCUAUAACAAUCGAAUUGUAGUAGGAGAAAGCUAUAGUGAUCAAUAUAGUUAAGGACAUGUUGCAGAUUAUGCUCUUCAUGUUGCAACUCGAGUCACUUAUUAUUGCCAUAUUCUUUGGACUACAGCAUUUAAAAAGCAAAGCGAGACACUGUACCAACACGUCAAAGGAAACACGAUUUCCACAAUUCACGCUUUAUCUUUGUACUGAGUUGACACUUACUGUCUUUUAUUCUUUCCUCUCUUCCUUUUUCUUUUGAGAUGAUGGAGUUGCCAUCAACUCGUAGGCUGUAAAAGGGGAACUAAUUACUAAAAAUUGAAUUAGGUUGUGAAGCAAUCCAAGUUUCAGCACCCCUACAAACCAAAAGCUGAGUAUCAAUUAUCAUCUCUACUUUUGACGUCCUUGCAGAGUCACAAUGCUUCAUCAAGAACUAUUCUAUUAUUUCGAACAAAAAAGAAGAAGAAGAAGAAGAAAGGAUCUUCUUCCAUGCCCAUAAAUUACUGAAAGAGUUGGUAAGUGCCAAAAUACUAAUGAUAAAUGGAUCUUCAUCGGGUGUGAUUUUAUGCAACAUAAAAUCAGCAAUAGUAAUACUAUGACUUUUUAAGUAAUCAAGUAAGUGUCAUAGUUUUUAGCUCACUUAAGUUACAUAGGUGAUUCUUUUACUAGAAAUUCCUAUGUGGCAUUGAUUCUUGGCAAAUCAAUUGGAUUAUUUAAUAUUAAAUUAAUGCCACAAUGAAUUUUCAAGUUAAAAAAACCAUUAUUGUAAUUUUAGAUAUUCGGUUUUUAAAAGUUAUGCCUCUAAUUUCUGAGGAAACAAAAUAUUCUACUCUUGUAAAUCUCUGAAUUUCGUAGUUUUGUGAUUCGAUUGGAAUUUAAACAAGCAUACCGGCUAAAACAAAAGGAUUUAAACCAUGUAAGGAUGGAUCUUGUGCACAUCCAUCAAGAAGUCAAGAUCUUUUGGGGUUUUACGUGUGUUGACUUUGGAUUAGUACGUGGUCGAUGGUUCAUGGGAAGUCAAGGUCUUCAUGACACUUUUAUUGGGUAAUGUUUGGCCUUAAAAAUCUCUAACCCAUCGUAAGGGAAACGUCAUAGACCAAUUUUUUAGCAUUUUCUUCUUUUGACUAACAAGCCUUCAACUUAGAGAGGAAACGAUCCUUGUAAUUCUAAUCACACUAUAAAUAUCAAAGCGUGUUGUGCAUCAAUGAUAGUGACCCUAUUGGAAUCAUUUCUCAAAGCACAUAGUAGACUUCCCCUUUCAUCAUCUACUCAUAAACCAAGAACAUGCAUCGCUUGUGUAAGAAGAAACCAUAAAACUUAAUUAUGCUUCUAUAUCAUACGUCCGUCAAUUGUUUCACUUCAUUUUGGAAGCUCUUGCCAAAAUACGGGUCCUUUGCUUCAAGAUAGUGAAAUUUCUCCAAUGCCACAAUUUUCCUUGGGCAACGAUGCCAUAUAGACACUACCGUAACAUCCACUCACUAUGUAAUAUAUGAUGUCGAACUCUUCCGUUGAAUUGAUUAUGUCUUCAUGUGCAAUUUUCCCAUCAUAAUUGUGACAUCCUAAAUUUCUAGUACUGUUUUCAAUUGAAUAAAUCGGGCAUUUCAUCAACACGUCUAUAGUGCUAUUUUCAGAGCCGAUCACUCGUGAGAUAAUUAGACUAUCUGAGGAAGUCAUUAAGAGAUUUCAAUGUAAUGAACUUAAGAAUUCGACUAGAAGUCGACCGCUCGACCGUGCUAGUCUACAAGGGUCAUUACGGCAUUGUCAAAAUCGAUAAGAAAUCAAAGAUAGGUCAAUUCGAUAGAGAUGUGUGAUAAAAGUGUGGGUGAUUCCACCUGAUGGCAAAAUUCUCAUCAAAUGGUACUGGACCGAUUUUUUGUCGUUUUCAGUACCCUGUGCCCGUAAUUGAAACUUUGAGAUUUUCACAACCACCGAGAGUUGCCAAUGUAUCGAGUGAUUUCAUUGUGGCUCGAAGAAAAUCGACCACGGAUCAUUUGCACUAAAAAUCUCCGAAAAACUACUUAGUAGCCUAGGUCAUGCUAAAAACGCGUCGAAUGGAAAUUAACCGUGAAUUUGAACCCGAUUUCAGAAAUUGAAAGUUAUGUGGUGUCACGAUUUAUUUUAGGAAUGUCGACUCAUCCUCAAAAAAAAUUUCAGAGAUUUCAGGAUUUUUAUGAAAAACCGUUUCAGACGUCGUAGAAAAUUAGCGGAAAUUCAAAUUGGCUAAAUCGAUGGAAAUUGAGACUUCUAAACCAAGCCUUUGAGUGUUGGGGACUUACAGAAAAUUGUUCGGGAUUUUUCUUCACCGAAAUUGAACGUCGAUUUGGGAAAUUUCGCAAAGAAAUUGGAGCUUAAAUUUAAGAAAUUCGGAGCUAUGGUUUUAGGGCUGCAUUUUGGCAUCAAUUUGGUGAAUUUAUGUGUUUAAUUUGUUGGAAAGUAAUGGGGGACAAACAAUAAAUUGAAGAGAUAAAUAUGUUGACUUUGGCCCCUUCAACUGUGGUUUCUCCAUCACGUUUGCCAACUGCCUUCCCCUUCGACGCCGACUCCAUCAGCUCUGUCUUGCAAUUUCUUUUCUUUUGUUUACUCUUCAACCGAAGCCCCUCUCAUCCUCUCGUUUUCUCUCUUUCCAUCAACACCGGACCAUCAUCCACCAUCACCCUCCACCGAAAACCUUCCCCCACUCACACAUGCCCACUUCCACCCAUCGUUUCUCCUCUUCAUGCCACCUACCUGUUUUUCUUCUUCAACGGUCAAUCGAAGAAGCCCUCCCCACCAAUGGAGACUCAGGCUGCUCAAACAUCCACCAAAUUCUGUCUCUGCUGAGCCAAUCCCUUGCUGUGAAGCUCCCAUCUUUGACCGCUAGCUGCCAUCCCCAUGUGCAGCUCCAUUCCACCAAAGACUCACGCUAGCUUGCUCGAAUCCUCGUGCAGUUCAUCUCACUGAAGCAGCACGUCCACAACCCAGCUCCAAUUCAGGCCAUGUCUCUAGCGAAAUCAUCUCCACCGAGGCAAGUUUUGAAGCCCAUCUUCAUGCAGCCCAGUUCGGUUUUGUUGCACCAACCCAUGAAACGUUCUACUCCAUCCAGCGUCUUGGGCUAGUGUCUUCAGCCCACGUGAAUGAUCAAGCCCAGCAACCCAGUUUUUGAAGCCCGCUUCAACCUUGAUCCAAUCCAUUGAAGCCCACGAAGGCAAGCCCAGUCCGCAGCCAAAGCCCAAGGCCUAAGCCCAGCUUUUUGUUGUGGGCUUGCGAGGUUUCUUGGCCCGGUCUAAGUGUCCAUCGACACUGUUGAAAAUUCAGAAUUCGGCCGCUGUCGCGCCGUCGUUGCGGUGUUCUGGUCUCCACUUUCAAACAAGUGAGUUUUGCUCACUAAUCCCUUAUUACUAUGCUAAUGAUGCUUAGGGGUUGUGUAGAUUUAAUUAAGUGAAAUUAUGUUGAUAUAUUAGAUUAGCGCAAUUAAAUUAGUGCAUUCUCAAUGCAUGUUAGACAAGUGGCUAGUGAUAUUAGCUAGUGAAUAAUUUAUAGUAUUUAUUGAACGAAUCUCGGAAUUUUUUUGGGUCCGUUUUAGCUUCUAAUUAGGCAUUACGGGCCUAAAUUGGAUUUAUUGCAAUUUAUUUAAUAAUUUUGGUAAUUAUUUAUUUAUUUAUUUUUCGAAAAUUAAGUUGGGAUAGUCGAUGACCAAAAUUUUAUGUUGAUUGUUGUGGUGCAAUCCUUUUUAUUUAUUUGAGCAUUGAUUUGUACCGAAUUGAAUUGAUUAUGAUUUUAGGAUUUUAUUUCUAAGUUAAUUAAAUUUGGUAAUUAAGUGGAAAAUUAUCGGGCGUCGGUUUACAGCGCCAAAAAUCUAUUUUGGGACUGUUGAAAAUAGUGAGAGAUUCAAAAGUGAAAAUCUUAUAUUUUGGCUAAGGCUGACCGUGUACCCGUGCACAUGUAUUUUUAUUAGGAAUGAUAAAAAUGAUGAAUUGAUAAAAUGAUCAAUUAUCAAUAUACUAGGAAAGUAUGGCUGGCAGCUUUUGGCGAGCAUAUAUACAUUUAUCAUCAUGCUAUGAGAGUAUGGCUAGUAGCUUCUGGCGAGCAUAUUAGAUUAGCGAAUCAAUGGAUCUAGCAGCUUCCGGUGAGUAUAUAUAUUAGAUUAUCGAAUUAAUGGAUCUGGCAGCUUUUGGUGAGCAUUGUGACAUCCUAAAUUUUUAGUUCUGUUUUCUAUUGAAUAAAUCGGGCAUUUCAUCGAUGCACUUAUAAGGCUUUUUUUAUAGCUGAUCACUCUCGAGAUAACUAGACUAUCUAGGGAAGCUAUUAAGGGAUUUUAAGGCAAUAGACUUGAGGAUUCGAUUAGGAAUCGACUUUUUGACCGUGCUCAUCUUUAGAGGCCAUUACGACACAAAAUGAAAUCGAUUUGAGAUCAAAGAUAGGUCGAUUUGACUGAGAUGUAUGGCUGACCGUGGGUGACAUCACUAAAUUGGAAAAUUCUCAUCAACCGACCCUAGACUAAUUCUUUCGUCGUUUUGGUACCCUAUGUCCAUAAUUGAAUCCUCAAGAUUUUCACGACAAUCGAGAGUCGCCAAUGUGUCUAGUGGGUUCAUUGUGGCUCGAAAAAAAAUCAACCGUAGGUCAUUUACAUUAAAAAUCUCUGAAAAUUACCCGGUAGUUUAGGUCAUGCUAAAAACGCACCGAAUGAAAAUUUACCGACAAUUCAAGUCCGAUUUUAGAAAUUGAAGAUUCUAUCAUGUCACAAUAAAUUCUAGGAGUAUCCACUUAGUUUCAGAAGAUUUUUUUUGAAAACCAAGAUUUUUUUAGAAAAAGUCGGCUUAGGACCAUUUUUGUGCAGAAAAAGCUAUGGAUUAAUUUUGAUUACAAAACUGGGAAACAAGAUGGAUUCAUGGGUGAGGAAAAAUAUCAAUUGAAGCAUUUGGGUGCCAAUUGAAUUAAUUGAAGCUAUAUGAGAUUAAAUCAAGAGAGAUGAAGUAUCCAAUUGAAGCCCAUUUCUUACAAAUUCGUAGCUCCCCCUUUCCCCUAGCAUUUUGGGCCAUCUCAUAUGUUGUGGAGAGGGUGUUGGUGGCUUAAUAGCAGCCAUGGGUUAUUGGCUUAAUGGACAAGUCUUUGGGGGACAAGAGUGUGGAAGAAGUUGGCCAAGAGACCUCACCAAAGUAAACUUGCUCCACACACUUCUCUCUCUCCCUCAUCUUCUCCCUUUGGCUAGCCAAAAUCACUUUAUUCUCUCCCUCCAUCUUGUUUUUCGACCAGUAGCAAGAGGAGAAGGAGCAGCAACCAACGGAGCCAGUCGCACGCCACCACCGUCGCUGAAACGCCGCCCGCAUGCUCCGUUGUCCCCGCACGCUGUUUGCCCUCGAUCUUGCUUCCCCCACGCUAUACAGCCCUUUGUCCCGCCGUUCCAGCAACCGUGAGUGGCUAAGGAGGCUUGCUGGAGCUAUCGUUCAACUCGCCGGAGCUCUGCCUAGUUAUUACCAGCCUUUGCUCGCCAUUUCAACCGCCAAAGCUACACCAACCAGCUAAGAAUAGAAGCUUUUCCAGUGGGUUUUCAGCACCAUUCCAAGCUCUUUUUGAAGUGGUUAUAGACCUUGGAACCUAGGCCCGCUUUGGAGAAAAAUGUCAUUUGCGACGUUUCUAACGUUUCAAUCCGAGCAGAAUGUUAAUCAAGUGAGUUUUGCUCACUAAUCCCUUAUUAGUCGGUUAAUUAUGCUUAAAGGUUAUUUAAAUAAUCUUAAGGAUGGAUUAGUGAUAAGCUAUAAUGGAUUAGUAUAACUUAAUUAGUAAGAUUUGUGUAAUAGAUGAUGGAUUAGUCGAAUCCAGUGAAAUUCCUGCAGUUUUGGUUUCUAGACUCUAGUUGUUUGCCAUUUUUGUAGAUCAAAAUGUGUUACGAAUAUGAGGUUAAUGUUUUCUUGAGAAAUGUUUUAUACAUCCUCAGCUACAACAUAUAUUUUACUCAUGAUUUUUCGAGAUUUAAAAUAUUGAGAUAUGAGCUCCGUCAUUUGCAAAUAGAAUCUCGGACUGCGCUGUAACUUGUGACUUUUAAGGAUUCUAGGGGUUUUUUUACUAACUCUUAGGGUUCGAAUUUUAAAAUGUUUUCUUGAUAAACAUUGUUUGUCAUAUCUUCUAGUUUAACAUACUCAAAUUUCAUAUCAAAUGGACAUGGUUUAGAUUUCGAACCAAACUAAUUUCGGAAAACAUAUUUUUGGAAAACAGACAUAGUUUUGUACUAGAUUGAGUGAUUUACUGGGCCGAACUUAGAAGGAUCUGGGUUUAUAUAUCCUCAUGAAAAAUGUUCAUUUAUGUGUCUUUUAUAACAUAUUCAAAUUUGAGAAUUUUUCAAAAUUAUUUUAUUUGGUUUAUGGAUUUAAACUUGGAAACAUGCGAGUGAGCCUAUUCUACCAGUUAGAGUCGGUUAUGAGUUGUGAUGGUUCUUGAUGCUUAACUUGCUAGAAAUUGUACAUUUGAUGAUAUGGUUACUUUGUGCUAUGCCUUGAGGACUAUGUGUGAUGAGGCAUGAAUAGUUAUGUCAUAGCUGUGGUGUUGUUAGUGUAAUGCUUACUGAUUUGUGCAAAAUUGAUAAUGUAUGGUUGGUUUGUGAGAUGCCUAGAACUCAUACUUGAUAAUCGUGUGGGCACUGCUCCUAAAUGGAAAGCCCGUGCCUGUGUAGCGAUAAUUAAUCGUGCCUGUAUGGCGUAAUAUUAGGCUUGUGUGGUGUAGAACGUGCUUGUGUGACAUAAUACCGAGCCGUUUGGCUGUAUUUCUGUGAGUGUCAGGUAUCAUGCAUGUGUGGCCGAAAUUAAUUGAAAGGCACGAGUUAAGCACAUCGUUUAUGGCACACACACGCAUGAAUCGAUGACGUGCAUGGUGUGGCAAUGGCUAGGUAAGAUCACUUGUAACGCGACUCAUUUGUGAUUAAUGAAAUGCAUCAUCUAAUGGCCAUAUGCAUUUCGUGUAUCAUGCGGAAUUAUAACGUUCAAGAUAUGGCAUACGAGGUAAGGAUGUAUGCAAAUCGGCAGUUGCCUAUUCAAAUUGUGUGGUUGUGCUUAGGCAGCUCCUAAAGCAUAUUUUCUUCCUAAUCGGGUCUUAGGGAGUAUAACUUCCUGAGACAUUAUCUCAUUGGUUAUUGAAUAACCAUUUUCAGGUCUAUAGAUGGUGUUGGUAAAGGACCAAGAGCUCAGAGUUAGUGAGGUGAAGUUCGAAGAAUCGAUGACCAUGUCCGACUAGCUAGUCGUAGACAAUUCUCCUUUGUAGGGAGCCGAUUCUUUUCUAUAAACCUUUGUGUAUAGACCCAGAUGUUUAUAAAAAGGUAUAUUUUGAAAAAAAAAAAGAAAGGGCUGGCACUGCUUUUCUAUCCCAUUGUAUUAUUGUCUAAGAAUUAUAUAUAUGCUUCCGCAUGUGCAUUUAAAUAAAUAGGUCGAUGAUGUGUCCUAGAACAUCGCUACUUAAUUGAUCAAGAAAGGAUGGGCACGUGCUCGAAGGAUCGAUGCGUGACAAGUAUAUAUAUAGAAUAGCGGAUCAAUGGAUUUGGCAGCUUUUGGUGAGCAUAUAUAAUUCUCAGCAUACUAUGAGAGUAUGUAUAGCAGCUUCUGGCGAGCAUAUAUAAUAUACUAUAUCAGAAAUUGAGGUAGCUCUUGGCAAGCAUAUAUGUAUAGUAUAUUAUCUCAGUAUUUAAGGUAGCUUCAGGCGAGCUAUAAUAUCUACUAUUGGUUUAGAAUGAGCAGUCAUGGAUUAUGGUUGGACUCAUAGAUAGUAUUGAUUGAGAUGACCAAGGAAUGAUCUGCGUGAUAUGUAAUCAACUAAGUCGAUUGAUAAAUGAUUUUAUCUGAUGCUGUGAAUGGAUGUGGUUCCUAUAUAUUUGAUAUAUACUGACUUGCAGGAAGAAACUGAGACUAAAUUAAGUCAUUUGACUCAUGUUGUGCUUAGGCAGCCUUUAGAAUAUAUUGGCUUUCUAAUCGGGUCUUAAGGGAUAGAAGUCCUUUGACUCGUGUUGUGCUUAGGUAGCCUUUGGAGUGUAUUGGCUUUUUAAUCGGGUCUUAAGGGGUAGAACUCGCUAAGACAUUGUCUCACUGGUUAUUGUAUAACUAUUUUCAGGUCCCUAUGUGACGGUUGUAGACAGUCGGAAGUCUCGAAGUUUGGGAAUGUGGAAGAAACAGAAUCGGCAAACUUGUCUGGCUAAUUAGUCAUAGGAUAGUUCCUUUUUGGUUAAGCCGAUACUUUUGUAAGUGACCUGAUGUUGUGGAUAAAACAUGUUUGUUAUAAAAUGUUUGUUUUGGUUUGAAAGGUUGUGGAAAAAUUGGCCCUACUUUUAUAUCAUAUUGCUUUAUUAUCUGGGGAUUAUUAUUAUAUGUUUCCGCAUGCAUAUUAAAAUGAAAGGAUCGGCAAUCCAACCUGGGACGUCGCUAUUUAAUCGACCAAGGUAAGGGAUGAGUGCGUGCCCGAGGAUCGGGGUGUGAUAAUAAUUCCUUAUAAAAAGAAAUCUCCAUGUUUCUUUGAUGCCUUUGAUUGCAUGCUUUUGUUGUACAUUGAUAUAUGAAGUAAGGCCUAAGAACUAGAUGGGAAAUUACAUAAGUGAGAUUAUCCAAACACAUCCAUUAAAAAAUGUCCAAAAUUCAAAGAGAGUCACGAGUUCAUGAACAAGAUCUAAUUUUUUCUGGUGAACCAUAUAAAAUUGUCCAACCUCUCUCAAAGGUUAAAUCCAAAUUAUUUUAAGAGUCCAUUUAUGUUUCCGAAAUUGAUUAUUAUUGCUUCAAGGACACUGUUGUUGUUGAGUAAUUGAACUUUGUUGUUCCUUUUAAUUAUCACGCCCCGAACCUCGAGUAUGCACACAUCCCUUGGUGGUCGAUAAAAUUUGCGACAUCCCAGGACGCGUCGUCGAUCCAUUCAUUUUAAUGCAAAUGCGGAAGCGUAUAAACAAAACUCUAGACAACACAAAUAAGAUAUAGAAAAGCAGGAAACAAAUUUCACAAAACUCUUUUAUAAACACAUUAGGUUUAUAUACAAAAGUUUACAAAAGAUCGGCUCUAAAAAAGAAGCUGUCUUACGACCUACUUGUCAGACACAUUCAUCAAUCCUUCAGACUCUACCUCCACAGGUUCUGGGGGCUUCAGGUCCUCCACAAUCCCAUCAGGAGGGUUAGCUGCACCCUCGCCUAGAGCAGUGUUGACCGCAAUGGCGGGGAUAUCAAAUCCUUGAAUGGGACCUACCCUAUACCCAUUGAGUCCAUGGCGAAACAACACCCUAAAUCGAUGAGGUAUCAUUUAAGGUAGAUCCUCAUCAACCCGGACAAUGAUCAUAAACAGCUCAUAGACCUAAUAACUCCUAGGAAUAAGGAUGUCUAUGCUUUGCUCAAUAAUAGCCCGAGGUUGACCAAAACAUUCCGGAGGGACUACCAUCUAAGAACCUGAAAAAAUUGAACCCACGAUGGAGUGAGACAACGUCUUAGCAAGUUCACCCCCCUAAACCCCUAUUAUGAAGGAAAUACGCCUAGGGGCAACUUAACCACACAACCAUAGAGACUCAUCUCGCCUCAAUUCCUCCCUGCAUGUUAGCACAAUUCAUAUACAUAAUGCAUAUAAUAGAUGCACACAUCAAUUGGACCGACUCACUAAAACUCAAUCAAUCACAGGGGUUCCGAUUAUAAGGCCAAAUUGUUAUGACACGUCACAUAUCACGCCACACAAUUUUGUCCCAUAAUCAAGCGUGGUUAAACCGUUCAUUCAUGCAUUCCAAUUUUAUCAUGCCCCAAUGGGCACGGCCUACUCGACGUUCGGCGGUCUUUUGGCAUAACCAGGCAUCAUCUCACCCUAUUGAGCACGUUAACGUCUAUCUUGAGAUGGCAAUCCCAAAGGAGCAUCGGUCUAGAAUCUACUACGACUAGUAUCCAUUGUCUAAGGGCAUCCCAUAUAAGGGCAACGUCCACCCGACUCAUAUUGGGGACGGGUUCUCAUAUCCAUCACACGAUCAUUCACUUAUGGCCAAUGAUAUUGUGCAUUGCACUCAAAUGUCUCAAUUAAAAUAGUAAACUUGGCCUAUUUCAUUCAUAUUAAAAACACACGGUAAAAUAAUCGUAUGUGGGUACACGGUUAAAAUUGAAUCAAAAAAAUUGAUAUCCUCCCUUUUAAAAUCCCACGGUUUGAUAUAGUCUUUAAAAAAAAUUUCGGUGUCAAAACCCGACACCCAGUAAUUUCUAAUUAAUUACCAAGAUUUUGUAACUUUGAAAUAAAUACUCAAAAUCACAAUCACCACUCAAUUUGUAUAGAUUAACACUCAAUUGCAUAAACUAAGUAUACCACUGCAAUCAGCAUGAAAUUCCAGUCACUGACUAUUUCGAUAUAAUUUUCGGAAAAAUAUUAAAUAAUUAAAUAAAUUACAAAAAUAAUUAAAUAAUGCAAAUUAAAUCCAAUAAAUGCUAUUCUAACCACUUAAACGGGCCUACAAAUAUAAUGCACAUAUCUAGAUAAAUAGUACAAUCUAUUUAGUAUUUAGUCCCUAAUCAAUCUAUUCUAAUCACCUAACAAGCAUAAUUAAAUAAUUAAAUCACUAAUCCAAAAUAAAUAACCACCUAAUCUCAUUUUAAGUUAAGCUAAUCAACUCUUAAGCAUAAUUAACCUCAUAAGUAAGGUUUAGUGAGUAAACUCACCGUUUUAGCGGGUCGGUGAAUCCACGACGACGGCGACGUAGACACGAGAGACAAACAAGCCUGUGGCGACACCAAGUGAGGUCUGAACAAGGCCUCAAAGUCUCAGCUAGGCUGAAACUUUAGCUUCUGGUCACGACUGAAAGGGGCUGUCCGAGCGGCUGCUUAGCACGGAAAUGGCGAGGAGGUGGACCAGGUGGCUACAACGGGCAACAACGAUGGCUCCAGCGGCUUAGACGGCGACCAAGGUGAGUUCGAGGACCUACGAGCAAAUGCGGGAUGACAGCCUGGGCUCGCGAGGGACGUCGAGCAGGCGCGAGACGAGUGGGACGCGAGCGCGCGACAAUGUGGCGUGCGGGCGGCAGCGACGACUCUCGACAGGCUCAGGUGGUGCUCGGUUGUGGCUGGCUCAACUGCAGGGCCUCUCUCUAGUUUUCUUGAGCUCAAAACACCACACAACAAUGGAGAAAUCGAUGCAAGGAAGAGGAAGACAGUUGUUGAAGAGGGGGGCACAAAAUAUCCAAACACUCAAGUUUCAUGCCCCACCAUGCUCAGCCAUCAUCCUCAACCAUUAUCCACACCAAGGCUUCUCCAAGAAGUCUCCCAAGGUGGUUGAAAUGUUGCUCCCCCCUUGACCUACGAAUUUUGUAACAUUUCCCCUCAAUUUCAUCCAAUUCCACUUCAAAACUUCUCCAAUUGAGCUCAAAUCAAAGGCCAAAAUGUCAAGUCGGAUGCCCACAUCACAUUCUACAUUUUUCCUUGCCAAUUAGUGUAACUUGAUUGCCAAAAGUGCGAUAAAAACAGUCAUUUAAUUUUCCCGAUCCAAAAAUGCCUAAAUUUGAUUUUUCGCCAAAAACUCAAGUUUGCAGAAAAAUCUUUUCUAAAAUAAAUCGCGACAUGACAGAACUUUCAAUUUCUGAAAUCAAGUUCAAUUUCGUAGUUAAUUUCAACCGAGCGCAAUUUUAGCGUGACCUAACUUAUCUAGUGGCUUUUAGGAAAUUUUAGUGCAAUUGACCUGUGGUCGAUUAUUUUCGAGCCACAUUUUACAUUUUUGACUUAUUUGUGACUCUUGGUUGUCGUGAAAAUCUCGAGAUUUCAAAUACGAGCACAUGAUAUAGAAAUGACAGAAAAAUCAGUUUAAUGUCAUUCGAUGAGAAUUUUGCAACUCAGUGGAAUCACCCACACUUUAAUCACAUACCUCAGUCGACCGAUCUACUCCGAUCUCUAGUCGAUUUUGACAGUGCCGUAUUGACCCUUGCAGAUUAGCAUGGUUGAGCAAUCGAUUUCUAGUCGAAUUCUUAAGUCUAUUGCUUAAAAUCUUUAACGGCUUCACCAGAUAAACUAGUUAUCUCGUGAGUGAUCAACUCAGAGAAAAAGACUAUAGGCGUGUCGACGAAAAACCCAACUUAUUCAAUCGAAAACAGAAUAAGAAAAUCAUGAUGUUACACUAAUCAUCCAUAAAUCCAUUCAUAACCCCAUUUUAAUUAUUUUGUUUAAUCUCCCACAAGACUGUUGAAAAAUUGCAAGGAACUGCCAUGAAAGAGACUAUUUGCAAAAGUUGUGUGGUCAGUGGAACAAGACGGCUAAAUGUCAAAAACAGCUUUCGACAUACUUUGUCGAAGUUCGACUUUGGCAGCUACACGUAACAUGUUAUUGUCUUGAGCACUUCACAAAAAACCACUGAUUGAUAACCCUCGUAGCUGGACUUAUGGUUCAUCAUCAAUGAAUCGCUAGGGAGGGAAGAGCAAAUUUCCCUUUUGCAAGCCCCCCUCAAACAUGAGGAUAUAGUCAUAAUUGACAGUGACAUUAUCUCUAUAGAUGGAAUUACAAUGUAGUUUGUAGGAUUAUUUUUUCACGCUAGUUCAAGUCUUGAGUCACCACAACCUUUCAAGUCACUCUCUAAUCGAAAGGGAUAUCUUAUCUUGGGAACUUCACGACAAUAGUGUCGUUCAUUCUACGCGUUGCAUAUCCCUAGUGGCACAACAAGAAAGACGGAUAACAAAAUAUUUGUUGUGCUAUUUUCUUGCCUAAAUCCUUGAACGCUCGCCCAACACCUCUGUCCAAAGAACUCUAACCUGAAUUCAAUUGAGAUCUCGCUCUAAUCUCUUCAAAUCUCAACUCAAAUUGAAAGAUUCUUGGUUGAGCCUGAGCUGUUUCUUUCCACAAUUAGGAGAAAAUGCAAAUGUUUUCUCCCAUCCCAAAAGAGUUAUUGUGUAGUAUAACCCCUUAACUACUUGACUUAAUUAGAGCGGAUUCUAAAAUGCGAGGCUAUAAUGGUAAAUGUGGGAUGAGACAUCAAAUUUAAGAUUUUGUUCAUACAUGAUAUUGAUAACUAAAAUGGAAAGACAAAUAAUGCACAGCAUUAAUUUUUUAACUUUCGAGAAUGCUUUUAUCCAGAUAAAAAAGAAAAAUGAAAAUUCUCAAUAUGAAUAGAAAUUUUAAAAUCAAGCUUUAUUGGAUGCCAGUUUGAACAUUUUGACAAUAACCGGUGCUAUUUUCGUUUUUGGCCGAACCAUUUUUCCACGACCUUUCUCGUUCUAAAAGAUGCAUUUGCAAAACUGAAAUUGAUUCCCUAAAGAGCAUGGUAAAAAGCGUUUUCCGAAGGAUUUCAUCAAUAUGCGAAAAUCAACGGUCGCGAUUGUUUUGGUGUAGGAACCGAAACUGGAGACAGCAUAUACGGUGGUAUGGCAUGGGAAGUCGCCACGUGGCGCGUCGUGGAACUUUUGCUUGGCCUUUCAGUUUCUCUGCUGGAGGACUUCUGACUAUGAGAGAGAGAGAGAGAGAGGUCGCCGGACGCUUGUGGUUGGCGACGGCGGAAAAGAGGAUGGCCGUGGCGGCGAGCCUCUGCAACCGCAUCCCCUCUCCGCGCCUCGGCCGCUUCCCUCCUCCUCCUCCUCCUCCUCCUCCUCCUCAUCCCCUCGCCGUCAGUCUCUCUCUCUCUCUUCGUGUCUUCCAUGGAGUUCGCUUUUUACUGUAUUCAUGUUGCGGAUUCUUCUUGAACGAAUCCGAAUGUUUUGCCCGAAAAUAUGCUUCCUUUCUUAUGUUUCGCGGGCCUGCUUCUUCAAUCUCACGACGAUUUCUCAUGUUCUCCUUCUUCUUCUGCGCCUGCGUUUUUUUGAAUUGAGGAGUUGUUGGUUGAUGAUUGGAUAAUGUGAUGCUGUCGCCCAAAUCCAAACCCCUCGCUCGCGCGCGCAGUCGCCCAAAUCUCCCCCAAACCUCAACUCAAACCGCGAAUGGAAGCCUCGCUGGCUAUGUAAAUGUGUUCGGACGACUUGUUCAUUAGUUGGGGACGAAUGGUUGUUCCGCUCUCACAUCUAUAUCCGUCGGUUGAAGUGUCUGCUAGCUGUUUGUGAAAAUGCCCAAGCGAACUUUUGCGAAAAUUUCCCUCUGGAUUUACAUAUCUGAACUCCAUUGCGUAUCCAAAUCGUAAUGAGCGCUUUUGAUUCAUUCAUUUAGUCUCGGUUUUUCAUCUUUGAAUCCGAAAGCAAGAACAACGUAAGGAUGUUUGUUUCUCUGUUUUAUGUGCUAUGUCUUGUGGCCUUAAAUGCCGGUGGGAGAUAUGGUCUGGAAUCGUUGAUACGCAUGGUGAUUUUCUCGCUGGUGGCACCCCAACUUCUUUUAUGUUCAUGUACCAUGUGUCUCGGUGAUCUAUGACCUGUAUACGUUGUAUCCGUUGAAUGGUUGGAAAUCGUCACGGUGGACGGUGGUGGUGCCUGGUGACUCCGGCAGUGGCUUGAUAAUGAUCAUAAGUGAACGAUAGUGAUGCUCAGUUGAAAAAUAUGGGCCGUAAUGCCACUUCAUUGAACUCAUCAGUGACAAAAAAAUAAUAAUAAUAAUAAUAAAUAAAAAAACAGCCACAACACUACUUCCUAUCACUAUUUCUUUACGUUGGAGUUGCUUCCUCUCCAUAUUUUUCUUCUUUCUUGACAGGCUUAUUGCUUUAACUAGAAAUUCAAUUGCAGCUGAUUAUGAUGUUGAUUCAAUCUGUAUUUCUAUAUCAACUUUCUGUCCCUUACCUUGUCUGGCACUUCUACUCUUAACCUGAUAUUAUAAGAUUUCAUUAGUUAAAAAAAAUUGACGUUCUUUGUAGCUUUCUGUUUGGCCAGCGGAUGAAUUUGUGUCAUUUUACAUUCUUUGCUGGCGCACUAUGGUUUUGCUCAUUUAUCCAUACGAACUGGGAUAUAUAGAUGCCUUGUAUACAUGAGCACAGCUGCAAUUUCAAAAGCUCUGUUCUAUUGUUGAGUGAUCCAAAUCAAAGUGAAAGAUGUCAGCCUUCUCAUCUCUGUAGCCCAUACACCAUUACUGCUUACUAGCUAUUUUGGCGACAAUAUAGUUUUAGUUUUCCAUUGCGGAACAGAGUUGGUACAUCAUCUAGUCUUCAUUUUACCUCUACUAAAGCUUUGCUGUGGCAAAUGCAUCAACUUGCAAUGUAAGACUAAGUUGUCUCACUGGCUGAUUGGCUUUUGGCCAGGAGCUUGAAUUGUUGCUUCGGUCAGACAUACGAGUUGCUGGGGCCAAGGUGAGAAAAAAAUGCUGAAAAGUAGAUUUUUAGUCAGGAGGCUUCAGUUCAAUAUAACUUUUGGUUCACCGUAGACUUUAGAACUAAACUUUUCUUAUCUUCAUGUGCUAAAGGAUUUACAGUUCAUGUAUGCAAAGCAAGAUAGAUAGGAUGCCAAUGCUCAAGACAAGUCUGUACAAACAACACACAUCUGUCGUGCGUGUAUGUGGAAGUAAUUAGACCAGAAAACUUCCUGACAAGUUGAUUGAUCAUCAAAUUACGCAUCCCCAAUUUGAUACUCCAUUCAUAACAUAGAGUACGCAAGUCUUGCACUUCAGAAAUAUGUUUUUUUAUCUGCUUUUACUGCAGUGAACAGCAAUCUUGGAUGUCAACUGUAGCAGUGAGUCCAAUUGACUUGCAUAAGAAGGCAAGUUGAAACAUCAAACAGAAACGUGUUCUCCUGACUCCCGAAUUCUUUUCAUCUUGGUAAGUGCCUCCCCAACUCUGCAACUACAUGCACUUUACUUGCGGCUCUUCAAGACCAGCAUUGCAUGUCUUUUCUUGAGUACCUGCAACUAUGUGCUCAUUAUUUCCACUUUUUUUCUGCAGAAUUGCAAUUUUUAUUUUUUAUUUUUAUCUAGUUCAGCAAUAGCAGAAUCUUCAGGUACUUCCACUAUUCUAGCAACCUGUAGUAGAAAUGUUUGGUAUUAGCGCAUUUUGUUUUAAUUAUUACUUAUUGCAGAUGAUAUAUAUUUGAUGCUAAAAAUGAAUAUGGCUAUUCACCACAUCACGUGGCAGCAUCUUGUAUCAAUUUAUUGGCUAUAAGUCUGUUUAGUAAGAGAGCACUUCUGUGAUGAAAGCGCACCGUGGGUAAAACUCAUUUGAUAUGAGUUAACAAUGGGGAAGGGUAAGCACCCAGAUUUGGGUCCCUUAUCUUCUCACAAAGGUCACAAAAGAACUCACUGGUAUCAUCUUCGAUGAACGAAGCAUAAGUGUGAGUUGGUGGAAGUUAAUGGCAAUCUUUUACUGUAGUUGAAGGCAAUCUGUGAUGAUAUUUACUGCAGACACUGCAUAGGAAGCAUAGUUCGGAAGAUCUAAAUUAAGAAAGAGUACAUGCUCGUGGAGGUGAUGUUUCAAAGUAGACCUUUCAAAAGUGCAUGGAAUGUUGAAGUCGUUGUCACUUUCCAUGCAGCGAAAGACAGAGCGUCAGCAUUCUUCAUGGCAUAUGUCAACAGCGCUCCUUCUUGAUGCAAGAAAAGAGCAGUCCAGGUUCAGCCAGUGAUAGAUGCACGCAUUACGAGCCUUGCACGCACCAUCCUUUGUAUGACAGUUCCAGCAGCAGAGGAUGAUCCGGCAGAGGAGAAAAAAGAGGCAAUCAAGCCAACCAUGGACCUCACCUGGUCUGUUCUUUUUACAAGCUUUGCACCUGAUUUUGCUACCGAGCUUCAUGAGGAAGACCAAUGGAUGCUGAUGGUCGAAGUGGUAGAGUCCUUCUUGCCCUCUAGAUCUCGCGAACAUAGAGUUAAAGCUGCGUCCAUGUUGAGGCUGAAUUUGCAAUCGCUGCAGUAGGAGACCAUGGUAAGUAGGGGUGUGCAUGGUCCGAGCGGGUGGUUCCCGACCUAGAAACGGGAACUGCCUGCUAAGAACCGCUUUCGAAAAAUUGGAACCAGGAACCACCUGCUAGUUGCGUGGAUCCAUCCGGGGACCAGACCACCGGUCUGGUCCGGUUCCUAGGUGGAUCCAUAGAACUGGUCCAACCUCCAUGCCUUUCCCUUUUCGCCUUCAACCGAUCACAACUCUCGCUCCGCUUUCGUCUUGGCCACCACCACCAUCUUGGCCACCACCUCUGUCGUCUCCCCCUCCUCCCUUGAGACCAACAAUGAGGACAGUGGGGACGAUGAGCCAUUCUUAGACUUAGAGUUUGCUCGUCUCUAAAGAUGAGGAUGAUGGGGAGGAGCCUGAGGAGGGGGAGGAGGAAGAGGGGAGGUAGAAGCGGGACAAGUCCAACAACAAAGAGGACGAUACUGACAGUGAAUGCGAAGAUGGCAACAACGUGGAGAGGGAGUUCAAAUUCGAGGGAAGAAAAGAGAAUUAACUCAUUAUUUCGCCAAGUUCAGAUAAGGACUCAAAGGGAGAUGAGUAGAUCCGGAGGUAAAUCGAAGCGGAAGAGGGAUCUCGGGAAGAUUUUGAACUGAAAGAGUCAAGAUGGAGUAGGAAAGUAGUGAAUUGAGACAAGAUGGUUAUUAGAGCCCUAAAUUUUAGAUUUGCUAAUUUCGAAUUAUUUUAAUAUUAAAAAUUAAUAUAUUAUUAUAAUAUAACUUAUCCAGUUCGGGUGGGCGGGUGGGUGGAUCCACCCAUGGAACUGGGAACCGGACCAGUACUCACUGGUUCCCAUAAAUUGGAACCGGGAACCGGAUUGAUUCCCUUAAGAACCAUUGGUUCCGGGCAGUUCUGAUCUGGUUCCGGGCGGUUCGGGCGGAUCCCGGUUCUUUUACACACCCCUAAUGAUAAGCAUUUGAGGGUGUCAAAAAAUGGGUCAGUCAAAAUGGGUCCAUGACCCAUUUUUUGACUCAUAUUCUGAGAAGUGGGUCAUUCAAGUUAUUCAAACUUUUAAGGGCCAGGCCUAAAUGGAUUUAAAAAGACUUAAAGUUCGGGGCGACAACAAAAUUUGGGGGCUCGGUGGUGGCGUUGUGGGGCUGGGACAGAGGUGAGACUGUAUCAACUGAGUUGGAAAUGCAACGAAGUAGAGUACUCAUCUUCCUUCUCUCAGCACAGCAACUGGUUGAUGGUCAGGCCUCCAAUCAAUGUGAAUAACACCACCUUGUUUCUCUCCUGUCCUUGUGCUUCUAGAUCUACUCCGCUUCUCUGCACGCUUUGCACUCCUAGAUCUUCCUUCACUUCUCUAUCUCUCUGCAUUGUGUUAAGAGAGAGCCUUGAAGUCGAACUCUUAUUGAGAAUUAAAGAGGUAGCACGUUCAUUUGAAGACCCAAUUUGUCUCAAGCCCCAAUUCUAAGCCCAAUAAAAACCACCCAUGGGCUGUUCUUUUUUUUUUUUUUAUCGAUAUGGCCGAAAUUACCCCAAAAAGAGAAAUAUAUAUGUGGGCAAAGUGAGUUGGGUUGGGUUGGGUUGGGUCGGGUCCAGUGGAGGUUGAAUAUGGGUUGGGAAGCGCACCAAUUCAUGAGAGCAAGGGUAUUGCUUUUCAUCGAGUAAGAUUCAUCAUUCCUCACCUCGUAAAAAUAUCAACAAAUAUCGAUCCACUUAGAAAAUUAGAAAGAGUAAAGAAAAUACAGAAAAAAAGAGAGUAGUUAUACGUAAAUGCAUCGUAAAUAAUGGCUACUAAUGAACUUUAAAUGAGUGGAUAUGAAUUUUCAUAGAUUUAGUUAAAUAUAGACGCGUUUUAGUAAUUCAAGCAUGGGUCGGGUUUGGAUUAUUGGAUUUAUACUACACGUAAACGAGUCAAAACGGAUUAAAUUGGUCGAUUUGAAUCCAACCAUUUUUUGACUCCCUACCUACCUAUAUGACAGCCCUAGUAAGCAUUACGUUUAGCUCCUCCAAUUGAUCAAAAGCAAGAGAGUGAGGGUGAUCAUGGAGAGACGGGUGUUGCAUCUCUGUGAAAGACUCAAUGCAGCUUUUGUGGAGAAGGAAUAUGAACACAUAGCAUCCAUAGACUCGCCCCAAUAUCGCUUGCUCGUAGGCUUUGCAUAUGAUUCUUUUCAUCCUGAGAUGAUGGAAUUUAGUGGAUGCUCUUGAGCAUUUGUUGGAUGGUCACAUUCUGAGAAUCCUCAUCGGGGCUUAGUUGUGACAAGGCAAAUGAAGCUAUAUUGGCCGUGCAAUAACAAUCAACGUGCCUGAAUGGCAAGAGAAAACUUUCAUAUAUAAAAACGAAAUAUUAAUUAGAAUGUACAGUACUAGACUGGUGAGGUCACAUAUUUUCUUGUGUCGUGACAUAUUCGUCAACCAUCGCCUACGACCCACCACCGGUGAAAGGAAACAAAAGGGGGAAAAAAAACAGAAAAAGGAAAAAAAAAGCAAAAAAGGAGGAAAAAAGAGUGAAUUUUUUUAAAAACAAAUUAAAUAUAAUUUUUUUUAAAAUGUUGUCCACAGUAGUGUCAGUACGCCACAUAGGAUGACCGGUUGGGACUAGUGUUUUCCAAUCAAAAUUGAGUGAAAAGAUUAUUUGACAAAUUGUCUAAAGUUUGAGGAUUGAAUUAGCAAGAUUAAAAAGCUUAGAUUUUUUUUUUUUGCCUAUAAAGUUUAGGAUUAAAUUAGUACAAGUGUAAUAGGUUUAGAAUUUUUAGUAUUUUUCCUAAAAAUAAUGGAGGAAAGUAUCAUCCACAAACGACUUGUGACAACAAUGACUCGUUUAAUGUAAUUUCUUUGCAACAAGACUUAGUCAUCAAAUGUUCCACUUAUGCACUUCUCGUUCCUUCCCUCUUUCACUUAUUUCUCAUUAGUCAAUCAGUCGUUGUCCCUUUCACAUGCCAUUUGCCAUUUAUCUCUCCUCUUUAAAAGUUUCCACAAAUAUUCCUCCUCAAUACCUUCUUGUUUUUCUCUUUCCGGAAAAGAUGACAUUUAUGAUUCAAUUUGGAUGAAAUAAGAAUUAUGAUGCAUUACAAAUUUUUCUCUUUCUCAAUACCUUUUUUUUCCCUCUUUCUCGAAAGAAUGACAUUUGUAUAUUUCUUUUGCUAAAUUUUCAAUACAUCAUACUAAUCAGGUCUGACCUGAUUUGAAUGGGAUCACAUUUUUUUUUUUUGGGAAAAAGGAGAUAGAAUUCUUUUUUUUUUUUUGGGUCAUAUUUAUUCUCUCCCACUAGACCUCUCUUCAAUAACUUCUCUGUCUCCUUUAGUCUCAGAUCUCUCUCUCUCUCUAUGCAAGCACUGGGUAAUUUCCAUGACAACGAUUCCAUCUCUCUCUCUGAGAGAGAGUUCCCAAGAGACUUCGAUGUUAACGUAGGAAUGGGACCAUGGGGAGUCAUGUGAUGACCCUUACCAUAUGGAUAAAUAUGGGACCAUAGUGAAAGUUCGAACAAAAAAAAUUCAAGAUGGAAUGGAAAUCGAAAUUAAAGCUGGGAAUUUUUUUAGGGAAUUAGCCCAUAAAAAAUCAUGAUUCCAUCAACAGUUCAAGAUAUCUUAAACUGAAGAAAAUGCGAUCUCUUGUCAAGAUGGGAACCUAUUUUCGUAAUAUAUCACCAGAAAAAAAGAAAUGUUCAACUGCUUUUAAAUAUUUUGAACGGAUUUAGUACAUCCAACAAUUACAAAAAUAGGUGAGUUCAUGCUUAAAACAUGUAGCACUAUAGAUGGGUAUUUUGAGAAAGGGAUGAACAUAUGUUAUUGUAAUAUAAAAUUGAUAAGAUUAUACUGAAAUAGAGAAACAAUAACGACAUAUUGCUAUAUGUUUUUAUUUUGUUGAUUUUGUGAAUAAGAUCUGUCAUUGACUUUUGUCAUCCGGCAAUUGUAUAAAAACAAGGAAAACAACAUCACCGUACUCCUGCAUAGAAGAGAUAGCCUCAAACGUAAACCAAUGUAAACAUAUUAUCAAAAUAUUUCUUCAUCUAUGUACUUGAUAAAAUGGUGAGUUGGUUACAAAAUCAAAAGUUCUGAAAUUCAUAAAAAAAAAUGAGUGUAUAUAAUAUGUAUUUCCAAACUCAAUUAAUCCCCACAAAUAUCAUUCCGGACAUAUACAAGUAUCUAAACUCAUAUCAAAAUCCAACUAUAAAAUUUUCUCGCCAAUAACUCUCAUGUCCUACCUUAGUUGAAGAACUUGAAAAAGAUUUGACAUAGAUAAUGUGAGCAACCACAACUCAGUGACUAACACAAAUCUUCUCUAAACAAAUGGAGCAUCCACCAUGCAUAUUAUGAAGUACUACUAGAGACUCAUUUAUCCACAUCCAAUAUAUAAUGUACAGUAAAAUACAAAUAUGAGCAAUAUCACUUCAACUCGGCUUUAUACUCAUUGGAAAUAAUUCAUUCAAAUUUCAAGUACCGAAAGGAUAGUAAACGCUCCAUUCGGCUUUGUGCAAUAAAUAUGUUUUAAACUAUACUUUUUUGUUUUAACAAAAUCAUAUCAUACAAAGCCUUUCUUAACAUAUAAUAUAUUACUUUUAAAACAUGAGUUUACAAAUUUAUAGAAUAUCACAACUUACCCCGAACCAAAAUCCAAAUCGAAAGUUACACCGCUAAAAAAAGUUUCAAAAUCCUAUUGAAGGCGACACCAUAUUCAAACUUACGUGUCAACGAACCUCGACUAAAACUUUAGUAGGCGAUGCCAUAUUCUUGAGUCAAAUCAUUCACUCAACAAAAGAGUUCUUAACAACUACUUUGCAAAUAGAGUCAACCUCAUUUCAGAACUCAAAUUCGAGCGAGCUUACUAUCAACAGAAAACUCUUUCAAAUUAUUAAGAGACCAUAAAGCCAAAAGAUGGCCAGAGAAGGGCAAAGUCCAUUGCCAAUCAAAGUAAUUGGAAAAUUGUUUCUAAUAGCGUGCAAAACUUUAAAAAUUUAUCAUGAUUAAAUCAUAAACCUAAAUCAACUUUCAUGAAGUCCUGCUACGCAACACCCUAAAAUUUCUUUACAACAUAAUUUCACAACUUGAAAACCUCUAAAAUCAACCCGGCAACAUAGAAUCCAUACAAAACCUAAUUUAUAGAUUAACUACAAAAACUUCUUCCAUUAGAUAAAUAGAAGUUUCGAAUCCUUACCAAUUGCCAUGAAACAAAAUAAUCAGGCUUGACCAAGCAUCUCAAACGUGCAUGCACUAAGAGCCCCCUUUAUCUUGAGAAAAUAUUUGAUAUACUAGAGAGGCUAAUUCAACAAAUCACCGGUCCAUUCAUUGGGUGAUACAUGUAGCGUUGAGCCUAUCUUCCAUUAAUUUUUCUCUCUCCGUCUUUUUCUUGGUUUCUCUAGACUCUACUUUACUUUUUUUUUUUUUUUUUUUUGGGUUCUUCUUAGUCAAACUCUGUUUUCUUUCUUUCUCUCUCUCCUUGCCCUAGAAAUGCCCUUGUGACGGCAUCAACUAGAGCAAGACCGAAGCAAGACCAAAGAAAGGGCUUAACCGUUACACUUGGGGCUGGGCUUACUGUUUUGCUCUUAUUUAUUACGGUUUGCAAGCCUAGUUAUUGAAACUUUAAUCAUGGACAAAAAUCUUUUAGGUUGUCAUGUAUUGAUGCUAAACCAUGUGGAAUGAGAAUAAGGUCACCUUGCCUGAUGGUAAGAAAAUUGAAUGGGGUGAGGCAAGUGGGGUGAUGACAUUUAGUUUCAGGUAUGAGAUUCGACUUUUUUUUUUUUUUUUUGGUAAGAGCAAGCAAUAUAUUAAUAGGGGUCAAACUGUACAAACAACAUGGCUCCAAAAGCUUACACUCAAAAUGAACACGCUCAUUAAGAGUGAAAGGAAGCCGCGGACAAGCAAACAAAACGACCUACAGCAAGCCAACGGCAAAACAAGCCUGGCAAAAACACCUAAACAACCACCGAAAAGCCUAAGUCAGACUAUAAUCAGAGGAAGCGAAAAUAAUGGGGUCCACAUCCCACGAGCGUUGCAUCCGCCUGUUCCUAGGAGAGUCCUCAACAUUCUCAAAGGUUAGGGCCUUAUCCUUAACAACCUUGAGGAGAUGCUUCUUCAUGGCCGAAAUAGAUAACGGCUCCCCCCUGAACAGAAUAUUGUUCCUGUUUCUCCAGAUGAUGUGACAUAGCGCCCCAAAGGAGAACCGGGCAACACGCUUAUAAAACUCCUUGCCGCUGAGCAAGGUAAUGGCCCAACUAAGAGUCUCCUCCCAAGUCCUGUUGGUCCAGGGGAGAUUGCAUCUAGUAGCCCAGAAAAAGGCAAUACUCGAGGUAAUGUGACAACCAAAAAAGAGAUGAUUGAUUGAAUCAGGCACCUCGUUGCAAAAAGGGCAGGAAGCAGCAUCAAUCUUACCAUAAGACAUGAGAAGAGACUGAGUAGGUAACCUCCUCUUGGUGAUGAACCACAGGUUUAGUUGGUAGCGAGGCAGGAUGGCAUUACUCCAAAUGAAACAAUGCCAAUUGACUCUGGCCUUCUUCCUCCUUAAGGCCUCCCAAGCCGAGGCCACCGAGAACAAGCCCGUCGAGUCCUCCCUCCAACAGAACCGAUCUUGGGUUCCAGACAAGGAAGGAAGCGGCGAACCCCAAGACUCAUUCUCUGAUCUGAUAGCUUGUCCAUCCUCAGAGAAGAGAUCGGCAACCAAAGCCUGCCUAGAGAGACCGGAGCUAUAGAUGAGGGGAUCCGUGAAAUAUAAAUUCAAAGGACCCCUGGGAUGCCAAUUGUCAAACCAGAGUAACGUUGAUAAUCCAUCGCCUACCCUCCAAUGGAAGUGAAGCCGGCAAUCUGUCCUGAGUUGUAAAAUUUUUUUCCAUGCCCAAGAGCAGCAGGUUGGCUUUUUAACUACCCAAAAGUUCUUGGUUUUUAAGAAGGUCGAGUGGACCUACUUACACCAUAGCGAUUCUUUAUCUGAAAAUAGAUUCCAGAUAUGCUUGAGCAUGGCCGCCUUAUUACACUCACGCAAUCUCCGGAUACCAAGACCUCCCUCCACUUUAGGAAGGCAUACAUCUUCCCAUGAGACUUUGGCACCCCCCUGCCCAACUCAGGUCCCUUCCAAAGGAAUUGUCUGAGAAUGCGCUCUAUCUGGUCCAGUACAGCUGCAGGAAGAAUAAAGACACUUGCCCAAAAAGCCUGAAUGGCAUGGAGGACUAACCUGAUCAGCUGAAGUCGGCCAGCAAAAGAAAGAAACCGAUGAGUCCAGGACUGCACCCUGGAGGUGAUGCGCCUCACAAGUUCAACGCAAUCUGCCUUCCGAGGCCUCGAUGUGAUAAUUGGAACCCCAAGAUAACGGACUGGAAGGUUACCCUCAACAAAGCCAAGCUCCAGGAGGAUUUGAUUUUUCAAGGUCGGCAAGCCUCCCGAGAUGAACACCUCGCUUUUCCUUGGGUUUGGGAAAAGUCCGCUCCAAGAAGAAAACAUAUGGAGACCAUCCCUGAGAAGCUUCACGGAUGGCAGGUGGCCCUCGCAAAAUAGAAAGACAUCAUCCGUGAAAAACAAGUGCGAGAGGCAAGUAGUCUUACAUCUCCAGUAGAAUCUGAAAUCCGGCUGUAGCGAGCACCUCCCAAGAAUCCCAGAGAGCACCUCCAUAACCAACGUGAAUAAGUAGGGAGAGAUGGGGUCUCCCUGACGUAAGCCUCGCCCACUAGGGAAGAAACCAUGUAACUCCCCAUUCAAAGAUAUUGGAAAACCGAGGAGUCCUCACACAGGUCAUGAUGAGGUGAACCAAUUGAUCAGGAAAUCGAAAAGCAAGUAGUACACUCUCGAGAAACCGCCAAUCCACGGUAUCAUACGUCUUUCUGAAGUCGACUUUGAUAGCACACUUGGGAGAAUAGGGUUCGAUAUGGAACUUAGAGAAAAGUUCCUGCGCCAAGAGAAUAUUAUCCCUAAUUCGUCGUCCCUUGACGAAGGCACUCUGAGACGGAUUGACAAGGUCUUUUAGCACUGCUGCAACCCUAUUCGCCAUCACUUUGGUAAUAAUCUUGUAGACCGUGUUGCAACAAGCAAUAGGCCUGUAAUCAUCAACGGUAGUCGCAUUGGGAACCUUCGGAACCAUGACCAAAAUGGUGUUAUUGAUUUCUCUGAGUAGUCUCCCCGAUGUGAAAAAGUCCUUGACGGCUUCCGUGACCAGCUGACCCACCGUAUCCCAAUUCUCCUUGAAGAACUCAGCCGUGAAGCCAUCCGGACCUGGUGCCUUACCUCUGGCAAGGGAAAAAAGAGUAUCUCGAAUCUCUAGAUCAGACACAGGGCGAGCAAGAAAAGAAAUCUGAUCAUCAUUCAGCUGGGUGCGGAUAACUUCCCGAAUCUCCGAUACCUGAGGGGUGUCCAGCUCCAUCCUUGGCUUAAGGAAAUCAUGAAAAUGCUCCACAAAAUGCUGUUGGACCAAUUGAGGCUCAGUGAUUUGGUUACCUGAGGAAUCCACAACAGAGAGAAUUAUGUUUCUCAGAUGUCUCUUACUGACAUACUGGUGAAAGAACUUUGUGUUCCGGUCACCUUCCUUGAGCCAUCUUAUACGAGCUUUCUGUCUAAAGAAUGACUCUUCCUGAGACCUAAGCUCCACUAAAGUACGCCGCUGAGCUCUCUCCAGGUCCGCGAGGACCAUGCUAGUAGGGUCAUUGAGGAGGCCCACUUGAGUUUGCUUUAAGGCUUCCCUCACUUCAGAAAUCCUUACAGAGAUGUUGGCGAAGGAAUCUCUAUUUAACUGCUUGAGCCGACCCUUCAAGAUCUUUAGUUUGCGCACCAACCUAAACAUGAGCACUCCAUAACCCGGAUUCUCCCAAACUUGCUUCACAAUUGAGUCGAAAUCCGGAUGCUGCAUCCAGAAGUCGAAGAACUUGAACGGCCUUUUCCGAAGGAUCGGGUUCUCCACCUUUACCACCAUAGGUGAGUGGUCGGAAAUCCCAGGCACAAGGAAGGACGCUUCCGAAAAGGAAAAAACUUGGCUCCAACAAGGGUUUACCAGGACUCUAUCAAUUUUUCUCAUUUUCCGAGAGGGCCCUGAAAAGGUCGACCAAGUGUAUCGAAACCCCACAUACCGAAGGUCAUCCAGCUCCGCCUGAUCCAGACACUGCCGAAAUUCAUCGAAGCACGGCAACCAAAGGUCCGAGCCACCCAAUCUGUCCGAGGGGUCCUUUGUAGCAUUAAAGUCUCCCAAAACAAGCCAAGGUACGUCCUGCAGAGAAUAGCUUCUCGCCACCAAAUCCUCCCAAAGAGGUCGGCGAGUAGAAAAGGAAUGCUCAGCAUAAAUAACAGAGACAUAGCAGGCUACUCCGGUCUCCAACCAGCAAAGCUUCCCAAGAAUCAUCUGAUCCGAGACCGACAAAACUUCAAAGGAAACCACAGUAGGAUCCCAACCAACCCAAAUCCUACCCCGAUUAGAGUACUCAGAAUUAGCCUGCCAGCACCAAUUCGAAAUCAAGUUCCCAGAAAUGGCAUUGAAGAGGUUAUGAGGAAUUUUAGUCUCAACUACCCCGAUCAAAGCCAACCGGUUCAUCAAAGCGAAGUUCCUCACUUCCGCUUGCUUGAGCGGGGCACCAAGCCCUCUAAUAUUCCAGCAACCUAUAUACAUAUAUAUACAAAAGAAGAGGGCAAGAGCAUUACCUCCUUUUAGAGGAACUACGCCUAGUAAUAGGCGGAGCUGUCCGGAUUGUCGAAGGAGGAGGAUCCGGGGCAAGAGCAAGCAGGUUGUCCUGUGUAGUCGAAGGACGAUGCUUCGGCGUCUCAGUAGGCCUCUCCUCCUCUACAGAUGCCUUCGGUGAAGUGCAAGGGGAGAGGAGGUCAUCCUCCAACAAAGAGAUGUAUGUGCCCCCUACACCCUCCAGGCGGGGCACCGCAGUGUCUACCGGCACCGAAGUGGUGAUAGCUUCAGCCGAAGUAGUUGGAGCAGUAUCACCCUGCUCCGAGAUAAUCAAAGGCCCCCUAGGGGGUCUUCGUGAAUAAGUACCAGGCAGCCUCUUCUCCACAGCCGUAGUCUUGAGAUUCAAAGACCUCUCUCCUUCACUAGGACUGGGUAACAUCCCUUCCAAAGGUUGAGCCUUGUUCUUCUUGCUCUUCACUUGCUUCCAGCCUUGCUCCGAGUCUUCAGGAGUCUCAGCGGGUUGGUCAAGGGGGCGAGUAGUGUCCAAAGGAGCAGGAAGAGGCCGAACAGGGGGCGGGCCAACAUCACAUUUAUGUCCAAAGACCCCACACUUGGAGCAUUCAAGGGGCCUCCAUUCAUAGUUCACAGCAAUGGACCUAGUGACCCCAUCAACAUUCACUUCCACUGUCGAAACUCUUGGCCGAUUAGCUUGGAUCUCCACGCAUACUCUGGCAAAGGAAAUCAUCCUCGUGCCCUCGGUUCGUUGAUCCACAUAAAGGGGUUUGCCAACGGAGCUGGCUAUAACACUAAUCGCCGAUGCGGACCACAGGUCAAGGGGAAGGUUCUUGAGUCUUAUCCACACCGGAACAGAGGUUUGCUUAGCCUUCUUCAACUCCAUAAGGGGUUUCCAUUGUUGUAAAAUAAGGGGCAUCCGAGCUACAGUGAUCGGUCCCUCCUCUAGGAUCUUCCUCCUGAACUCCGGGUCCGGGAUAUGGAAAUAGUAGAACUCUUGGUCAUCCGCCAGCAUAUCAAUUAGCUUUGUCCCCCAAAUAUUCUUCAAAGUCUGUUCGAUCAUCUGAAAAGGAAGCUUCCUCCCAAUAAAAUAUCCUACCAAGAACUCAUUCCAUUUGGGAUCUGCAACCUGCAGCACUUCUCCCGACAAAUUUACAACCGCUUUCUCUCCCACAACAGCAGCAGCAGGAGGAAUAUAUGAAAGGCCGUAGCCCUUUGUGGCCAACCGUGCCACAUUGGCCCACGAACGGGCUUGGGGGGGCCUUGACGAGCUUACUGGCUUGUUCGGGGCUCUCUUAUUAGGAGCCCGAACUUGACUUCGACCCCGAGAACGGCCUUCCCGAAGAGGCUGAGAGAUUGGCCCACGUCUCGAGCCAUCCCCUGCCACAGAAGACUCUCCUACGGGUCGGGAUUGCUGGCCCGGCUUGCUAGCUUGCCGGUCCACAGCCUUAUGAGGAGGGGAGCUCGGCCCCUUGCCCCUGCUACCACCUAGUCGAGGUUCCACCGAAGUAGAGGCCAUCGAGCCACUAAGACAACAAAUCAACAGCCAGAGAGGAGCUCCAUACCAGGCCAAGCUUCGAAGAGGAGGGAUACUUGAACCACCCCAGCCACCUCAAGACCAAAGUCGAGCAGGCCACGAUCCCGAGCAGCUCCCGCAAGUCUCGAACUAGGGCUGAGUGGAGGUCUGAGCGUGAGCAGCUCCCGCAAAGGCUACGAACUAGGGCCGUCACGAUCCAGAGCCGAGACGGGUCGGUGCGUGAGCCGAGGCGGGUCCGAGCGUGAGCCGAGAGGGACCCCCCAGCCGUCCCGAGCCAGAGCCGAGACGGGUCCGAGCGUGCGCAGCUCCCGCAAGACCGUCGAACCAGAGCCGAGGAGGAGCGGGAAGAUGGAGGAAGGAGAGGGGAAGAAAAACCCCCAAAAAUCGGAGCAAGAGGGAGGCCGAAUCGUCCAAGCCGAGCAGGAAACCAGUCGGCGUGAACAGUGCACGAUCGCCUGCUCUUGAGAGAGGAGAUGAACAGUGACGCGAGAAAACAGAUGACCCCCUUGGUAUGAGAUUCGACUUUCGCAUUUUGCUAAGAAAGAAAAGAGAAUUAGGUUCCGUUUGUUUCGGUUGAUGCAGUGGACUUCAUCAAAGAAUUCAAGUAGGACAAUAAAGUUUUUUUUUUUUUACCCAAGAAAAAAUAAGUAGGAAAGUUCAAAGGCCUUUCUCCACACUCCAAUCGUGGGGUGAAGAUAGGGACAUCAGUGCAGUUCUUUUAUUCAGAGUGGCAUUUGGAACUUAGCAGCUACAUAGGAAAAAGUUCUCCAGACACGGUCUGUAGAGAGUGGACCUUUGGGCGGGGGAGUGGUUGCAAUUGCAGAGGUUGAGUGCAUGAGAGGGGGGGGAAUGGCGCAUUGGGUUGCCCCACCCUUGGUGGUGUGAGGAAGGACGUUUUGANNNNNNNNNNNNNNNNNNNNNNNNNNNNNNNNNNNNNNNNNNNNNNNNNNNNNNNNNNNNNNNNNNNNNNNNNNNNNNNNNNNNNNNNNNNNNNNNNNNNGGUUUUUGGGACGGUCCGGUUUUCAUCCAGAAAUUGGGAACUGGACCAGUGGGACUGAUUCCCCAUUUUUCGGACCCAGGAAUUGAACCAUUGGUCCCAUAACCGGAUGGUUCGAAUCGGAGUGGGUAAUAGAAUGGUGGCUGGCGACCUGGAAGCAUGACCGUCAUGACGAGCUGCGGUGAGGGAUGAUGCCGGGAGCUGCAAAGUCAGCAAGAAGCCUCGUCGAAAUUGGCGUGGGCGGACUAGUGGAGGGGAAAAGCCGUUCCGUUGAUUCUGCUUGCUGUUGUUGUUGGGGCUUUGCCGACGUCAGAAGGACACGACAGAGCUGGGUUUUCAAUGCUAAUCUCGGGCAAUCGGUAGCGCGGUGGCAGGAAAUGCAAGAACAAGCUUCGGUCCCGACGUCUAGCGGCUGGACUGGCGUGUCGGAAUGGAAUGCGGGAACACUCUGAAUAAAAGAACCACCAAUGAUGUCUCUGCCUUCAUCCCUUACCGCGCCAUGGAUCUUACCUCUAUCGUCUCUAUCCUGGUCAACUUCAUCCAAGUGGAAUUCCAGGGGAAGUCGAUUUCACCCUUUGAAACCCACCCCGUUGCCAUCGGUGUUGCCAUCUACAGCCUGCUUCUGCAUUUCCUGUUGCUGCAUCUCGCUGAUCGGGCACCCCCGUCUAGCGGCUGCGCUCCUUGUGAUGGAGCAUCAUCGCACCUCCUCAUUGACUUCACUGGUUCGAUAUCAGUGGCUUCGCUCGCGUGGUUGCUGCUCCACGACUCCUCCCAAUCUGUCCCCUGGUUGUUCGUGCUUCUCCUGUUGCUUUCCGUGAGUCUGUUGCGCGGCCUCAUUCAAAAACUUUGGCUUUGGUUUUACGAAAAAAUUUUGCCAUGAUAUUCCGUGUGGCGCCGUCUCGUCUAUGGCAUGGUGGAAGAGCGCAGUCACAUCCGCCGCACCCGGUCAUGGAUCUGCGUUAAUUGCUGGAAGUCUGAGCGCCCUAGUUGUUCGACUGACUGUUCCCUGCUUGGAAAAACUAAUUUUAAUCGUAUGACCACUUUAAAGCUAAGCUAGUUUUGUAUAAGAUGCAGUUGGGCCUUUCUUCUGUUUAUCUCAAAACAUAAGGAGUCCCCAAGCCUUCGGCAUCAUUGAAUUAUCUCCCGACUACAAGAAAGGAGAGCAGGGAACAAGCAAAAACCACCUAUGUAUCGUUCCUAUUCCUAGCCAUGAACGGUGAUGGACCUUAUAGAAACUAGAUCUGAUUAAGAUAAGCUAAGCUCUCAAAAGAAAUUGGGAUCUACUGUUAUCGAAAAGAUCGAAGAUAACCUCAGCAAUUGUUUCAACGAGUAGAAGGGUCUUCUCUAGUAGCCAUAUAAGGGGUAGUAAUUGUUCUUGAGGUUAAAGCUUCUGACCUCUUUGAAAACAUUGUUGAGUGUUGCAGAUUUCCUUCUUUCUCUGGUGAAUCUCUCUGUAGCUUUCGAUUUGGCCAGUGGAUGGAUAUGUGUCAUUUUACAUUCUUUGCUCGUGUAGUAUGUUUUUGCUCAUUUAUCCAUGUGAACUGGAAUAAAUUGAUGCCUUGGAGACACGAACACAGCUACAAUUUCAAAAGCUUUGAUUUAACACUAACAUCAUUGAGCAAUCCAAAUCAAAAUGAAGAUGUCAGCUUUUCCAUCUCUCUCGCAUAUACACCAUUACUGCUUACUAGCUAUUCCGAUGAUAAUAUAGUUGUAGUUUGUCAUUGAGAAUGUGGGAGUUACAUCAUUUAGUCUUUAUUUGACCUCUGAGAGGAGACAAUCUUUGUUGUGGAAAAUGCGUUAACUUGCAAUCUAAGAUUACAUUGUCUCGUUGGUUGAUUGGUUUUUGGCUAGGAGCUUGAAUUGUUGCUUGAGUCUGACAUUCAAGUUGCUGGGCCCAAGGUGAGAAAAGAAUGCUGAAAUGUAGAUUGUUUUUUUUUUUUUUAUGGGGGGAGGCGUAGGUUCAAGAUAACUGAACUUUGGGUUGACUGCAGAUGUUAGAACCAAAAUUUUCCCACCCUGCUUGUGCUAAGAAUUUACAGUUCAUGUAUGCAAAGCUAGAUAGAUAGUAUACAGAUGCUCGAGACAAGUCUGUACAAACUACAGACAUUUGAUGUCCGUAUCUGAGGAAAUAAUUAGACCGGCAAGCUUCUUGACAAGUUGAUUCAAAAUCAAAUUAUGCAUCCCAAUGUUAAUACCUUGAUAUAUGACAGAGCUCACAAGUCUUGCACGUCAAAAAUAUGAUAUUUAUUUGCUUUUUUCUGCAGAGAACAACAAUCUUGGAUGUCGACUAUAGCAAUGAGUCCAAUUGACUUGCAUAAGAACGUGAGUUGAAACAUCAAACAGAAAGGUACGUUCUCCUGACUCCCAAAUUCUUUUCUUCUUGGUAAGGGCCUCACCAACACUGCAACUACAUGCACUUCACUUGUGGCCUUUAGAGACCAGCAUUACACAUCUUUUCUUGAGUACCUACUACAUGCUCAUUCUUUUCAGUUCUAUCCACAAGCCUAAGUGCUUAUUGUGGAAAACGAUUCCCUGGAGAGUUAUCAUGAUACUAAGUCAAAUAAUGAAGCUAAGUAGGUGAUGUGCGGUAUAAUUUAAGACUGCAGGACUGUCAAAAGCUUCUUCUAAUUCAGUAGCAGAUACUUCAAGAUGUUAAUGUUAAAUGGAGGGCAAAUGUUACUGAAGAGACUGAAAGUAAUUCGUCAAUUAUUAGAGAAUAAUGGGGAGAUGUUUAGCCAUUCUUUUCGAGGUUACUUAAGAUUCCACUGGACCAAAGGAUUUGGAAGUUUUUUUCUCUACUGGAGAGAAAUAGAGGGAUGUUCAUGAAAAAUGGCACUUUUACUUUUCAGACACCAAUUUUCAUUAUCAAAUUGCCACCUGUCAAACAUUGUCAUAUGGUCGUUUUAGUCUCCAAAAUAAAGUCAAAAUUGUCUUUGAGGUUAAAGCUUCUGAAUUCUUUGAAAACAUCACGAGCAUCACAGUUUUGCUUUUCUUUUUCUGGCGAGUCUCUUCGUGACUUUCUGGUCGGCCAGUGGACCUAUAUGUGUUAUUUUACACACUCUUUGCUGGUAUACAAUGGUUUUGCUCAUUUAUCCAUAUGAAGUAGGAUAAAUAGAUGCCUUGGAGACACGAGCACAGCUGCAAAGCAGAAGCUUUGUUCUAUCAUCAUAGAGUUAUCCAUAUCAAAAUGAAAAAUGUUAGUUUUUUCAUCUGUCCCAUAUGCAUGGGUACUGCUUACUAGCUAUUCUGAUGAUAAAUUUUUUUGAGUUUGUCAUUGCAGAAUGAAGAAUGGUUACAUCAUAUAGUCAGCAUUUUACCUCUUAGAGAUGACAACUCAAUCUUUGUUGCUGCAAAUACAUCAACUUGCUUCAGCAAAUAAGAUUUAUGAGGGCAGCGAAUUCUUUUGUGAUGUAUCCUGUAUGUAUCCGGAAGCUCUUGGAUCUGAGUAAUGCAAUCUAAGACUAUGUUGUCUCACUGGCUGACAGGUUUUCGUCCAGCAGCUUUAAUUGUUGCUUCAGUCAGAGAUUCAAGUUGCCCAGGCCAAGGUGAGAAAAGAACACUGAAAUAUAGAUUUCUUUUUUCGGAGGCUUUAGUUCAAUAUAACCAAAUUUUGGUUGACCGCAGAUGUUAGAACCGAACUUUUCCCAUCUUCAUGUGCUGGAAAAGAAUUUUUACAGUUCAUGAAUGGAAAGCCAUAUAGAUAGUAUGCAAAGCUUGAGACUAGUCUGUACAAACUGCACACACCUGAUAUUCAUUUUUUGAGGAAAUAAUAAGACCAGCAAGCUCCCUGACAAGCUGAUUUAUAAUCAAAUUAUGCAUCCCCAUGUAGUACUCCAACUCAUAACAUAAAGCACGUAAGUCUCAUACUCAAAAAUAUGAUAUUUAUCUGCUUUUGCUGCAGAUAACAAUAUCGGAUGAUGAGUGUUAGCAGUGAUUCCAAUUGACUUGCCUAAGAGCAUAAGUUGAAACAUCAAACAGAAAGGUGGUCUCCUGCCUCCCCAAUUCUUUUCUUCUGGAUAAGUGGCUCCCCAACUCUGCAGUUCCGUGCACUUUGUUUAGUUCAGCCAUAGUGGGGUCUUCUGGUACUUCCGUUACUUUAAAAGAAAAAAAAAAUUUGGCCUUACCACAUUUUCUGUUGAUAAUAACUUAUUGUGGAGAAUGAGUCUAUAUAUGAUGUUAAAAAAAGAAAAAAAGAACAAGGCUAUUCAUCACAUCAUAUGGCAGCAUAGUGUACCCAUUUGUUGGCUAAAGUCAUUUUAGUGAGAAAGCACUUCUGUGAUUAAAGCAUGCUGUGGGUAAAACACAUUCGAUAUGAGUAAUCAAUGCUCCAGGGCAUUCAUUGUAGACGGAAGCACCCAGAUUCAGGUCUUUUUCCCUAAAAAAUUACAAUAGUACUCACCGGCAUCAUCUUCGAUUGAAUGUAGCGUAGAGUGUGAGUUGACGGAGGUGAUGGCAAUCUUUCAUUGUUGGUGGUAACUGUGGAAGGCAAUCAUGAUUGACAUUAAGAUUACACUGGACCAAAACGCGAAAGUUGAAUGUGCAAAAUUUACCAGACACUACACGCAGGUCAGGUGAUCUAAUAUAAGAAUGAGCAUAUGCUUGUGGAGGUGAGGUUUCAAAGUAGGCCUUUUAAAAAUGCAUGGAAUGUUGAAGUCGAAGUCGCAUUUUGUGCCGAUAAAGACAGCAUCAAUGCUUUUCACGACAUGCAUCAGUGAGUGUUCGCAUCAGUGAGUGUUCCUCCCUGAUGCGGGAAGAAGUGGAUGUGCCGGGGUGAAGGGGGUGUUGCAUAACUGAGGGCAAUUCAGCACAUGAUUGAUGGAGCAGAUGAGAGCAGCCUUGCUCCAGCAGGUCAGUUGAUCUAAUACAAGAGUGAGCAUAUGCUCAUGGAGGUGAUGUUUGAAAGUGGCCGUUUUAAAAGUGCAUGGAAUGUUGAAGUCGAAGUCACAUUUUGCGCAAAGAAAGACAGCGUUAACGCUCUUCACAACUUGCAUCAGUGAGCGUUCCUUCCUGAUACGGGAAGAAGUGGAUGUGCCAGGGUGAGCGGGGUGUCGCAUAACUGAGGGCAAUUCAGCACAUGAUUUAUGGAGCAGAAAGAGCAGCUCUGCUCCAGGCAGUGAUGGGCUGUACCUUUGGACAUAUUCAUCACAGGCCUUGCACACAACAUCCUUGACCCAGCUCCAGUGGCAGCGGACGAUUGUGAAUUGGAGAAAAGAAGCGGCAAUCCAGACAAGCAUAGACCUCACCUAGUAUGCUCUACUCACAAGCUUUGCACUCGAUUCUGGCUGUAAGCUUCACGUGGAAGGACCCCAGUAGAUGCUGACGGGCAAAAUGUCAAAAAACUGAGCCUUUCUCGUCCUCAGAUCUUGUGAAAAUAGAAUUAUAGCCACACAGUCCAUGUCAAGAGUGAAAUUGCAUUCGCUGCAGCGGGAAACCAUAUGGCAGGCACUACAUUGGAGGUCUACCGAUUGAUCGAAAGCAAGAGAGAGGGUGAUCAUGGAGAGACGAGCAUUGCAUCUUUGGGGAGAAAUUCGGCGCAGCUCUCAUGGAGAAAGAAUCUACACGUGUAGAAUCAAUAGACCUCCUCACAGGCUUUGCAAUCGAUUCUACUUUUCGUCCCAAGAUGAUCGUGUGAGCGGAUGCUAAUGAGCAAAAUGUUGGAUGGUCGCAUUCUCAUAAUCCUCAUCAGGCUCAGUUGUGACUAGGCAGUUGAAUCAAUAUCGGGCUGUGCAGUAACGCUUAACCAUCCGAAUGGCAAGAAGGGAGCCUGCUCACAUGCAUGGCAACUUCGACGAUCCUUCUCAUCGUUGGACGCAAAUUGCGCAACCCCAACAUCUCCAUAACUAGAACAAUAACAUAUAUAAUUGAGAAAGAUUAAUGCACCUGUUUUGGGAUCCAUCGAACAUAAAUCGGAAGUAGAAAAGGGAUUACUCACUCAUCAAAGGGAUCCACUGUUCUUGAAGCGGAAGCGGAAACACAAUGUUCCACCCGUAAGUCAUUCUCCUUUAUUGCCCUCCGUAUCACUGACUCAAUGAGGCGACCCCCUCAAGUGUAGCGUUAGGUAAAUGCCCCUUAGGUGAUGAUACAUGUGAGAAUUAGGGUUAGAGGAGAGACUUGAGCACUAUUUAUAGAGUUUCCAGCCAGUCUCUCUCAUUACAGGUCAGGCUCAACUUAGCCCACACUAGCCUGCCUAUAUUAGACUAAUUAAGAAACCUCUAUCUCACUUUAGACCAACCCUGUUUUACGGUAAUCGUAGAAACAAUAAAUUAUAAUAUCAAUUAAUUUAGUCCACAUUAGGAAAACUCUUACAUUCUCCCACUUAGAUUAUAUUAAUUGAAAUCGUAUUGUAUGUGCGCACAUUUGGUCCAGAGAUAAUUCUUAAUAGUCAAUCAUAUCCCAUAAAGUCUUAAACACCGAAUCAUGGCGGUAACUGCAUGUAUAUACACAGAGUCUUCCAUGGUCAUGAAUGUUCUCAACUUUAUUGAUAUGGAUUUAAUAUGGUAGUAUGGCAAAUGGAUAACAUCUCUCAUAGAGAGAUCCCAUUUGUCAAUCACCAUUCCCUUAUCUUAAGCGUCACAAAAACUUGUGUCACUAAAGAAUGUUUUAUGGUUCCAAUGAAUCCACAUAUGUCUUGUCCUUAUGGUUAACCUUUCUUUAUGUAUCACAAGACAUAUGCACAAGGCUAAUAACCGGAUGCCCGGAUGCCCCUAAUCUUCACUCAAGGUUUAUACAAUCCCUUGAGAUUUUAUCAAUAUUGAAUAACAAUACAUUCAAAAAUAUUUUAUUGAAUAUAAAAGUUGAUACAUAUCAAAUCGUUUCAAAGUGUAAUGGACACAGAUGAAACCUUUAUCAGAGUAAAGUCAAAAUAACUCCCACUAAAUAACAAUAUCUCAUGAUGCUCCUAGGCCUAUACUAAUGACAUGUCGCUUAAAUACACAUAGGCGUAUGCCUUUAAUUAGUGGAUCUGCAACCAUAUCAUCUGUGAAAAUAUAUUAUAUUAUAACGUCACCUUUCUGAACCAUUUCCUUUUGGUAAAAAAUUUUGACUACCAUAUAUUUAAACCCCUUAAGACAUCUGUAGUAAAUAAAUAAUACUACAAAUUUGUUAUCUCAAUACAACCGUAUGGGUCUAUCCAUAAAGUUAAAACGAUCAACUCCAUCAUGAGAUUCUGGAACUUAAUAGCUCAAGUAACAGCCUAAAAGAAUGUUACUAACACUAUUUACAUAGUAGAAGAUAACAUAUAACUUUAUUUACUGCACUUCCUACUAACAUAAAUAUGUAUUCGGUUAUUGAUUACAUGUUAUCAGAACGGCCAGCAAAGUUUACUUCUAAAUACCCUACUAACUGCAAUAAUUGAACAUAUUUGUAAAUUAACAUAUAAUCUCAUAUCCUCUUUAAGUACCUUAAAACCUUCUUGACAACAACCCAGUAAUCAUGUCCUGGAUUUGACCGAUAUCUGCUUAGAAGUCCCGUCACAAAGACAACAUUUAGUCUAGUGCAAAUUUAAGCAUACAUUAUACUUUUAAGUGUACUGAUACAAGGUACACCAUUUAAUUAUAUUUUCUCAAUAUCUAAAUAAGGACAAUAUGAUAGAUUUAGUCAAUCAUCCUUAACAACAGGAGCAAUUCCUGGCUUGUGAAUAUUUCCAAUAUACAAUCAGCAAAUGUCCUCCGAGAAAAUCUAAUAUAAAAUGGCAAAAACAAUCCUUGCAGACCUCAGUACAUAGGAUAUAAGAUGUCUCAAUGUCACAACUUGUAAGCAAAAUAUUAUGUACAUAAAGUAUGAGAAAAAAUAAAUUUCCUUCCACUAACCUUGCAGUAUAUUGAAUUACUUUGUUCCCAAUUGAACAAAAUAACAACACUAUGAAACUUUAAUAAUAUUGUCUGGAAACUUGCUUAAGACUAUAAAUAAUACUUUUCAAUCUACACACAAGUUUACUUAAAACAUUUGUUGCAAAAUUCUCCAAUUGAACAAUAUAGAUUUUGUAUUUAUUUGGCGUAACUUUAUAUCAAAAUAAAUUAUUAAUGCCACGUUCACUCUGAAAGAAUAUUUAAAGAAAUAAUUAUUUCUUCACUAUAAACAAUCCACCCCUCUUUCAAAGUGAAAACUUUAGUUAUCAAUUUGGCUUAAAUUCCAUAAUCUUUCUUUGAAAUUCUUUUAGUUUUGUACGCCAAUUUACAACUAAUGAACUUAUGAUCUUUAGGCAAGUAAGUUAGUUUCCAAACACUAUGAUGUUUCAUAGAUUGUAUACCGCAUGUUAUGGCAUCUAAUCACAUACUUGAUUAAAAAUAAGAAACGACGUUUAUAAAUAUGCAAUUAUAUCAACCAUAUAGUGGAUAUUGUAAUCAUGCUCUCACAAAUAAACUAUAUAGUCUGAUGAUAUAACUGAUCGUCUUUCCCUAACAAAUUUCCUUAAUAAAGCUGCAACCACUUCAUUCUGUACUUGAGAAGUUUAAGAAAUUUCAUUAUAAACUAUAUCAAGAAUAGUACCUUGAACCUUAACAAGUUUAGUCUAUGGUACAGGAGAUUCCAUAAUUAUCUGUAUAGGUAAAGACAAAAACACAGUAACCUCUAUCAUACUAUCAUCUUUAAUAGUCUGAGAGCAGCUAUCCUCUAUAAUUACGUCGAUCUUAAGAAACUUUAUAGUAUGUGAUCCCAUAAUUCUUGUAUCUGUGUCCUAAUUGCAAUAUAAGACAAGACAUAAUUUCAAGAAAUAAGGCUUUCAUCAUCUUAUAACAGUGCAGUCCGCAAGCAAACCUCUUUUCAAGAGUUCCAGAAUGGAACGAUUCAUGGACAGUAAGCAAAUUCAAUUGCUCUUUUCUUAAGCAACAAAUCAUAUGUCCACAACUUAAAAUUUGAAGCAGUAAAAACCUCAAUAAUAGUGGAGUUAUUAAUUACAGAAAAGUUGACUAAAAAACAAGCAAUGUAUAUAAUUAGUAUCAUGUGAGCACUGUGUAACUUGACAUACAAGUACACAUCCAGAGAAUUACACGUAUAAUCAUAUAAUCACUUUUGGGCAGAAUGCAUGACAUGCAGUUGUACACUCCCCACAUGAUAGCGGUUAUGAGAAUAUAUUCCAAUUUUUCGUGAAUUCAUCACUUUUGGGCAUAUAAAUCACUAGAAUCAGUCACUCCUUCACCAUACCUCUAUGAACUAAUACACAAUCUUCUCCUUUGGGAGUAUGACUACGCAUUAGAUUAGGAGACAUCCCAAUCAUUAUACGAGAUCGAAAUUUUUCAAACCCAAUCAAGUGUGCCACUUUGGCGGUCACUACUCAAUUGAAUCAUUGAAAUUCUCUCAUACCAAGGAUAUAAACUUUACUUCCCACAUACACCAUAUACAUGUGAUAUUAACUUUAAUGAUAGAGACAACAUAUCACCAAAAUCACAUAUCAUGCUAAUUACAUUACUUUAUUCAUUAAUAUAAUAUUUAUAUAUAUAUAGCGAACCUGAAAGACAGAUUACAAUGAGAUCACUGAUCACAGUGACACAAGAAAAUUCUCAUAGAAGCAAGCAUCUUGUGCACCCCGAUUACUGAUUACUAAAACAAUAUUAAAAGAAUGCUGAUCCAAAGGAUCCCUCACAAGUUAACAUCAAUAGUAAUACAGGAUACUCCAGAUUGACAAGCUUGAUAACUAAUCAACUAUUGCUCAUGAGUUUCAUACGGCAAAACAUGAUUGCAAGGCCAACAACUGAUUUAUAGCCAAUUUUUAAGUAACAAAUUAUCAUUGUAAUCAACCAGUGGCCUAUUAAUUGAGUCAAACCAGAGAACAAAAUAUCUAAAAUUUAACAGUAGAUACUAUUGCUUUGCGUAAAUGUUGUCAUACUCCUUAACCAUAAAAAUAUUCAACUUGAUAGACAUUAACAAGUGACCAGAUGAGUUCAUGUACAAUAUGCAUUAACUUAAUUGACAUGCAUUACCCACAUACAGCAGAUAUGUUAAUCAGUACAAUCAGUUUGGUCACGAGUUCUUAAGACGUCCAUCAUUCAAAGAUUACCAGCGUGUCAAGGAGUAUGCUUGAGUAACAAAAAUUUCAUAACCUUUACUAUUUCUCAUCAGCUCAAUACAUAGCUCAAUUAUUAUUCCAUAAUGGUUGUAUAUCAUUAAGCCAUCUUUAGUUCACAAUAAAAUUUAAUUUUUAUUAAUGAAUCAUACCAUUAUAAUGUUUAUGUGAUAACAUACCCGUAACCCAAUACUUAUAUUUCUAAAAUCACAGAAAAUAUAAGAAAAAUACGCAAAAAUACACUAAAAAUACACGUAUUUAGGGUUUCAUAUGUAUUUUCACAUCCAUAAAAUAUCAAACAUGUAAAAUAAAUUCACCACAAGAUAGAAGACAGCCAUAUGGAUCCAACGUUGCCAGCCACGCGCCGAUCCGACGCUCCACGCGCCCUCACGCACCGCUUGAGUGCGCGGCACGUGGAGCACACGUGCGAGCCGCACCCCGCGCGUGAGGGCGCGUGACCGCGCGUGGGGCGCGUCUCCGAUGCCCUGGCAGUGCGUGGGGGCGCGUGAGGCCUCUCCCGAUGACGCGCCACCGACUGUCUUGCUCGUCUUGUCGAGCCAAGUCCGAAUUUGUGAUUUAAUUUUAUUUUUAUCGAACAAAAAAUCUCGAAAAUCACAAAUUAGGGCAAAAACUUUAUGCGUUCAAGUUCUAGGGUUAUGGUUGCUCUAAUACCACAUGUUGGACGCAAAUUGCGCAAACCCAAGAUCUCCAUAACUAGAACAAGAACAUAUAUAAUUGAGUAGAAAGAUUAAAGCACAUGUUUUGGGAUCCAUCGAACAUAAAGCAGAAGCAGAAAAUGGAUUACUCACUCAUCAAGGGGAUCCACUAUUCUUGAAGCGGAAGCGGAAACACAAUGUUCCACGCGCAAGUCUUCUCCUCUAUUGCCCUCCAUAUCACUAGCUUAAUUAGGCGGCUCCCUCACGUGUAGCGUUAGGUAAACGCCCCUUAGGUGAUGAUACAAGUGAGAAUUAGGGUUAGAUAAGAGACUUGAGCACUAUUUAUAGAAUUUAUAGAAUUUCCAGCCAGUCCCCCUCAUUACGGGCCAGGCUCAACUCGGCCCACACUAGCCAGCCUAUAUUAGACUAAUUAAGAAACCUUCUAUUUCACUUUAGACCGACUAUGUUUUACACUUGGGCUUGGGCUUCAUGUUUGGCCCUUAUUUAUUAUUUUUUGCAAGCCCAGUUAUUGAAACUUUAAUCAUGCACAUAAAUCUUUAUAGGUUAUUAUGUAUUGAUGCAAACUACGCGGAUUUAGAAUAAGGUCUUGGGUCAUCUUGCGCAGCAUCCCUAAUCCCCCUCCUCCCCUCCUCGAGCUCGCGUGUCCCGUCCGCGUUGUGGCCGCUUUAGUAGAAAUCUUAGCAGCAGCGCAAUCACCCGGUAGCUACCCGUUGGAAGACCGAAUUGCCCGAGUCGUCUUCUCACUUUCCAAUUUUCCGAUGCACAAUAUUCAGUAAUUGGUCUGGUGAUGUGACACCCGAGUUUUGCCGACCACUAGCCGUAUACUCAUCGAAUUAAAAAUUUUCAAAGGGUCUUGAGCGAAGUUUCGAUGUUCCCAUUACAAUGGUUGGAGUGCAGGGUACGGCGUUACAUGACGAUCCUAUGGCCACUCGUGGGUAGAAAUGGCGCCUUCAUGAAAGUUGGGAAUUUUUUUAAAACAAAUAAAAUUAGAGGUGGAAAUGUGAUUAAAAUUCAAAUUUGAGAUUUUUUUAGAAAAUUAGCUUAUAAAAAAUUCAUACUUCUAUCAACAAUCCAAAGUGUCUUGAACCAAAGAAAAUGCAAUCUUUUGUUAAGAUACAAACCUAUUUUCGUAAUAUUUCACUAAGAAAAAAUGUCCCUUGCUUCAAAAAUAUUUCAAUAGGAUUUCGUAUAUCCAACAAUCAUAAAAGUAGAUAAGUUCGUGCAUAAACCUGCCAUUAUGCGAUACCCUAAAAUUUCUUUACAACAUGAUUCUAGUAGCUUAAAAAAAUCUGUAGAAUCAACCUAGCAACAUAGAAUCCAUACAAAAUCUAGUUUACAAUCUGGCAUUUAUUAUUUUAAGGUGACGUCUUCGACCGUCGUUACUCGUUCGGCAUCUUUCGUGCGUAGUUUGUUUGUUUUGGGAAACAUCGUUCUGUCCUCAGGUCAUUCACCACGUCGCAUAAAAGAAGCACCAAAGAACGAUGUCGUCCCUACCUUAACCCCACUUAGCGCAAUGGAUUUUACCUCCUUUGUCUCUAUCCUCCUCAACUUCGUGCAAGUCAAAUUCCAGGCGAAGUCUUUGCCCUUCGAAGCCCACCCCAUGGCCACUGGCCUCGCCGUCCUGCAUUUCUUAUUGCUGGGUCUCACUGAUCGGGCACCGUCGCACCUCCUCAUCCUCAUCAUCAACUUGGCCGGUUCGAUAUCGCUGGCUACGCUCGGGUGGCUCCUGCUCCACGACUCCUCCCACUCCGUCCCCUACUUGUUCGUGAUACUCCUGUUGCUUUCCGUGAGUCUGUUGCGUGCCCUCAUUCGAAGACUUUGGCUGUGGUUUUACGGCCAAAUCUUUGUCAUGAUUUUCCGUGUGGCGCGUCUGUGGCAGGGUGGAAGAGUGCCGCCACAUUUGCAGCGCUCACGCCCGGUCGUCAUAGAUCUGCGUUUAUUGCUGGAAGUUUGAGCGCCGUGCCCGUCUUCCUCAACAAUUGCUACCAAGAGAAGAAAAGUCGUUUUAAAGCAUUGCUGAGUGUUGCAGAUUUCCUUCCAUUUUUGGUGCUUCUCUUUGUAGCUUUAUGUUUGGCCAGUGGAUCCAUAUGUGUCGUUUUACAUUCUUUGCUGGUUUUGGAGACCAAAAUUGCAUGUCUUUUCUUGAGUACCUCCAAUUGUGUGCUCAUUCUUUCCACUUUUUCCUACAGAAUUGCAAUAUUUUCAUCUAGUUCAGAAUAGCAGGGUCUUAAGGUACUUCCACUACUUCAGCAAUCUGUAUUAAAAAAUGUUCGGUAUUGGAGCAUUUUCUGUUGAUUAUUACUUAUUGUAGAGGAUGAGUCUAUAUAUAUGAGGGAUGUUCACGAAAAAUGGCACUUUUACUGGCAUUUUUGGACACCGACUCGUCAUUAUCAAAUUGCUAUGUGUCAAACGUUGUCGUAUGGCCGUUUCCAGUUUCCAGAAUAAAGUCAAAAUUGUUCUUGAAGUUAAAGCUUCUGAAUUCUUUGAAAACAUCAUGAGUGUCACAUUUUUGCUUUUCUUUUUCUGGUGAAUCUCUCCGUAACUUUCUGUUUGGCCAGUGGAUCUAUGUGUUAUUUUAUGGACUCUUUGCUGGUAUACAAUGGUUUUGCUCAUUUAUCCUUAUGAACUAGGAUAAAUAGAUGGCUUGGAGGCGCGAGCACAGCUGCAAUGCAGAAGCUUUGUUCUAUCAUCAUAGAGUUAUCCGAAUCAACAUGAAAAAUGUCAGUUUUUUUAUUUGUGUCCCGUAUGCACAGGUACUGCUUGCUAGCCAUUCUGAUGAUAAUUUUGUUUGAGUUUGUCAUUGCAGAAUGACAAGGAUGGCUACAUCAUAUAGUCCGCACUUUAUAUUUUAGAGGUGACAACUAGAUCUUUGUUGCUGCAAAUGCAUCAACUUGCUUCAACAAAUAAGAAUUUUAAAGACCGCGAAUUCUUUUGUGAUGUAUCCUGUAUGUAUCUGGAAGCUCUUGAAUCUGAGUGAUGCAAUCUAAGACUAUGUAGUCUCAUUAGCUGAUUGGUUUUCGUCCAGGAGCUAGAAUUGUUGCUUCAGUCAGAGAUUCAAGUUGCCAGGGCCAAGGUGAGAAAAGAAUGCUGAAACAGAGAUUUCCUUUUUGGGAGGCUUUAGUUCAAUAUGACCGAAUUUUGGUGGACCACAGAUGUUAGAACCGAACUUUUCCCAUCUUCAUGUGCUGGUAAGGAAUUUUUGCACUUCAUUAAUGGAAAGCCAUAUAGAUAGUAUGCAAAAGCCUGAGACUAGUCUGUACAAACUACACACACCUGAUAUUCAUUCUUCAAGGAAAUAAUGACCUGCAAGCUUCAUGACAAGCUGAUUUAUAUUCAAAUUAUGCAUCCUCAAGUUAGUAGUCCAACUCAUAACAUAGAGCACAUAAGUCUUAUGCUAAAAAAUAUGAUAUUUAUCGGCUUUUGCUGAGAAGAUAACAAUAUCGGAUGUCGAGUGUUAGCAGUGAUUCCAAUUGACUUGCAUAAGAGCAUAAGUUGAAACAUCAAACAGAAAGGUGGUCUCCUGCCUCCUCAAUGUUUUUCUUCUGGGUAAGUGCCUCCCCAGCUCUGCAAUUACAUGCACUUCGUUUGCAGCUUUUUGAGACCAGCAUUGCACGUCUGUUUUUUGAGUACCUUUCAAUUGUGUGCUCACUCUGUCCACUUUUUCCUGCAGAAUUGCAAUUUCUUUAUCUAGUUCAGCAAUAGUGGGGCUUCAGGUACUUCCAUUACUUUAUUUAAAGUUUUGGUAUUCUUAAUUUUUCUGUAGAUUAUAACCUAUUGUGGAGAUUGAGUCUGUCUAAGAUGAAACAAAAGAAAAAAGAACAGGGCUAUUCACCACCUUGCAUGGCAGCAUCUUGUAGCCAUUUGUUGGCUAAAGUCAGUUUAGUGAGAGAGAUCAUUUCUUUGAUGAAGCAAUGGUUAAAACGCAUUCAAUAUGAGUAAUGAAUGGGCAAAGGCAUUCAUCACAGACAAGCACCCAGUUUCAGGUCCGUUUCUCUCAAAGGUUACAUAGUACUCAAUGGCAUCAUCUUCGAUGAACAUAGCAUGGAGUGUGAGUUGAUGGAGGUGAUGGCAAUGUUUUAUUGUUGGUGGUAACUGUGGAAAGCAGUCAUGAUUGACAUUAAGAUUGCACUGCACAAGAACUUGAAAGUCAAAUGUGCAAAAUUUACCAGACACUGCAUAGGAAGCGCGGGUCAGUAGAUCUAAUAUAAGAAAGAGUAUAUGCUCGUGGAGGUGAUGUUUCAAAGUGGGUCUUUCAAAAGUGCAUGGAAUGUUGAAGUCAAACUUUCAUUCUGCACAGCACAAGACAGCGUCAAUGCUCUUCACGACCUGUGUCAGUGAGCGUGUGCCAGGGUGAACGGGGUGUUGCAUAACUGAGGGCAUUUCAGCACAUGAUUUAUGGAGCAGAAAAGAGCAGCUCUGCUCCUGGCAGGGAUGGGCUGAACCUUUGACAUAUUCAUCAUAAGCCUUGAACGCACCAUCCUUCAUGUGACCCAGCUCUAGAGCCAGCGAAUGAUCGUGAGCACAGCUGUAGAACUCUCCUAGCAUGUUCCAUUCUGUUGUUACUGAUCAAAACAGUAAACAAGAAACAGAAAACCAGAAGCUAUAUUUUUUGAAUGAGGAAGAGAAGCACAGAGAAAACAGAGCACAAACUUACGUACGUCAAUUUUCUUAAGGAAACUAUCAAGUACAGGACAACUUAAACAAGAACAAUAACUGCUUACAAACCACACACACAUGCAGCAUAUAACUGCACCUAAACGUGCUAAUUCACUUCCUAGAAAAUAGCAAAAAACACUAAAUGCACUUGGCUGUUUUUUAAUAAAAAAAAACAGAGGAAAACAGAGUAAAAAAAAAAAACAAAACAAAAAACAGCAACUAGACAUUAUAAUCCAACAAACUCCUCUUUGGAUCAGUUGCUGCUGCAUACUCCCAUUUUCUUUCUUAAUACUUCAAAUCUUCCAGCUUGAAGUGGUUUUGUGAACAUGUCUGCAAGCUGAUCUUUAGAUCUGCAAUAGACCAACUUAACUUCGCCACUUUGUUGCACCUCACGCAAAAAGAAAAAAUUGACUUUGAAAUGCUUGGUUUUGCCAUGAAAAACUGGAUUCUGUGAUAUUGCUAAAGCAGCCUGAUUAUCUACAUUAACUUCAAUGCAAUUACUGGAAUUCAACCACAAAUCCUUCAUUAUCUUCUUCAGCCACAAAGCUUGAUUUGCAGCUGCAGUAGCUGCUAUAAACUCAGCCUCUGCAGUAGACUGAGCUACAAUCUCUUGCUUUUUAGAAGACAAGGAGAAACAAGCAGAACCAAAACUGAAACAGUAUCCAGACGUACUUUUCAUGUCAUCCACUGAACCAGCCCAGUCACUAUCAGAAAAUCCUUGCAAAUUAAACUUCUGACAUUUCUUAAACUUCACACCAAAGAACAAUGUUCCUUUGAGAUAUCUCAAGACCCUUUUUGCUGCAACCAAAUGUAACUGACUAGGACUACUCAUAAACCUGGAUAAAACACUCACAGCAAAUAGAAUAUUUGGUCUAGUUGCUGUAAGAUACAUGAGACACCCAAUCAGACUUUUAUACAUAGAAGCAUCUACUGCAUCUGUUCCAUCAUUCUUCUACAGCUUCUCUUUAGCAGCCAUAGGAGUGCUUACACUUCGACAAUCUUCCAUCUGAAACUUCUUUAGAAUUUCUUUCAUGUAUUUUUUCUAACAGAUGAAGAUCUCAUAUGAAGCCUGUUUGACUUCCAGACCCAAAAAAUAAGCCAUCUUCCCCAAGUCUGACAUCUCAAAAACUGCAAAUAGAUCUUGCUUCACCUUCUCUAUCAAUUCCAUAUCAUUCCCCGUCACUAAUAGAUCAUCUACAUAAAGUGACAAAAUUACAACACUGUGAUUCACCUACUUAACAUAAAGAGUGAACUCACUUAAGCUUUUUACAAAGCCAAAAUCCUGCAAAUAUCGAUCUAUAUUCCCAUACCAAGCUCUUGGAGCCUGCUUCAGUCCAUAUAAAGCUUUCUUCAACCUAUAUACACUCUCUUCUUGCCCUUUGAUACUGAAGCCUUCAGGUUGUUCAACAAAAAUCUCCUCCUCAAGCUCUCCAUUCAGAAAUGCAGACUUGACAUCUAACUGAAAUAUAGGCCACCCCUUCUCUGCUGCAAUAGCUAACAGUAACCUUAUUGUAUCAAGUCAUGAAACAGGAGCAAAUGUUUCAGAAUAGUCUACUCCCCAUAUUUGUGCAUAGCCUUUCACCACCAGUCUAGCUUUGUGUUUAUUAACAGAACCAUCAGGAUUAAGUUUUGUUCUAAACACCCACUUAACCCCAAUCACAUUCUUAUUAGAUGGUCUGUCAACAAGCUCCCAUGUGUGGUUUUUCUGGAUCAUUGCAAUCUCCUCUUUCAUUGCUGCAAUCCACCUCUGAUCCUCCUUAGCUUCCACAAAGUUAGAUGGUUCGAGCAUUGCCACAUUGCUUCUUUCAUAGAUUUCAGCAAGUGACCUUGUGCCUCUCACUAGUAAAUCAUCCAUACUGUCUUCCAAUCCAUCUAUAACUUCAUCAACCUCUACAUCUGUUGCAGGUUGUUUUUCGAACUGUUGCCAUUCUGCACUAUUUCCUUCCAUCCAAUUCCACUCAUCUUCCUCUAGAAAAACAACAUCUCUGCUUACAGUCACCUUCCCUGUCAUAGGGUGAAAAAUUCUAUAAGCUUUUGAUUGGAGACUGUACCCAAUGAAGAUUCCAAGCUCUGCUUUUUUAUCCAGCUUGUCCCUCUGAACCUCAGGAACAUGAGUGUAACACAAACACCCAAAAAUCUUAAAAUUUUUCACAGAAGGUUUAACACCAUACCAGACUUCAAAAGGUGUUGACCUCUCUAAGGCCUUUGUGGGCAAUCUGUUCAACAGGAACACUGCAGUAUUAGCUGCUUCAGCCCAGAACUUCUUAGGCAACAUCUUCUCCUGUAUCAUACAUCUGGCCAUCUCCAUAAUACUUCUGUUUUUCCUCUCACUGACCCCAUUCUGUUGAGGUGAAUAGGGAGCAGUGAACUGCUGCACAAUUCCUGCUUGCUCACAAUUCAACUUAAACUUGUGAGCAGUAUACUCAGAGCCAUUAUCAAACCUGAGCAUUUUAAUUUUCUUCCCACUCUGAUUCUCAACUAAAGCUUUAAACUUCAGAAACACAUCAGCAACUUCAGACUGGCUCGUAGAAAAUAAAUCCAACUCAUCCUAGUCAUAUCAUUAGUGAAGGUAAUAAAAUACCUGCUACCAUUGAGAGAAGACUCAGACAUAGGUCCACAUAGAUCUAUGUGGACCAAUUGCAGCUUCUCACAUGCUCUCCAGCCUCCUCCUUUAAAAGGAAAUCUGACUUGCUUGCCAAGAAGACAAGUUCUGCACUAUGGAAAUUCCUCCUUCAAACUUAGCAAGUCAUCUGCCAAGCUAUUUCUCUGCAUAAACGACAUGCUCUUCCUAUGAACAUGCCCAAGUCUUUUAUGCCAUAUCUCUGCAUUUUCUUCUUUGCACUUUAAAGCCAUUUGUUGCAUCUCUUGUGGCUUGAACAUGAAACUCUUGUCCUUCAUUAGGAUUCUUAGUACUUCUUUGCUAUCUGCAUUAUUAAUAAGACAUUCCUUCCCUUCGAACUUCACUUUAUAGCCCUUCUCAACUAAUUGACCAACACUUAACAAAUUAUGGUCAAUAUUUGGCACAAAAAGAACAUCACUGAUCAGCUUCACCUCCUGAUUUCCUUCAAUAGCCACUAUACCCUUCCCUUGCACUUCGAUAUACUGUCCAUUGCCAAUUCUGACUCUGGACCUGAUUGACCUGUCUAGAAUCCUAAACAGCUUCGAAUUGCCAAUCAUAUGAUUGGUACAGCCACUAUCCACCAGCCAUGCAUCAUUCCUAACAAAAGAUUCAGAAAAAGAAGCUACAAACCAAUGCUCUUCCUCAGUUUCAUUCACUGCUACCUAGGCUUCUCCUGCUUGCUGGUAAUUUUUUUCUUUGCAGAUGGCUUCCAUGUGACCCAACUUGUGACAUCUUAUGCACCUAGCAUCAGGCUUUCUCCAACAUCUAAAAAACUUAUGAUUAGUUCCACCACAGUUUUGACAAGGUUUUUUGUUCUUCUUCCAUUUGCUAGACCCACCAGAAUUUCCUUCUUUUGCUACAAACUUGGAGUCACCAGCAUUUUCUCUGGACUGAAUCCAUUUCUUCCCUUUGCCUCCAUCAUUUGACUUCACUUUAGCUUGCAGUGCACCCUCUACAAACUCUUCUCUUCUCAUCAGUCUUCUAUGCUCCUGUGCCUGCAGAGCAUUUAACAAUUCUGCAAGCUUUAUAUCAGGUAAGUCUCUUGUAUUUUCCAGAGAUGCUAUGGUGGCUUCGAACUUCUCUGGAAGAGACACCAGGAUCUUCUGAACAAGCCUUUCAUCCUUCAAGUCAGUCCCUAAAACUCUGAUUUUAUCAGCUAUCCCCACUAGCCUAUCAGAGUAUUCCUUCACUGACUCAGACUCUUUCAUCUGCUGUCUCUCAAAUUCUCUCAAGAGAUUCAGCACCUUCAUACCUCUUAUCUUCUCAUCUCCUUCAUAUUCUUCCUUCAAGAAGUCCCAUAUGGCCUUUGCAAAGUCACACUUCAUAAUUCUGGUAAAGAUGGUAGGCGAGACAGCAGCAUACAGGCAAGAUUUUGCCUUGGCUUUUCUUGUGGUUCUCUCUUUAUGAAGUUCAAUUUGAUUCAUGGUCGGAUUAUCUAGAAGUGGAGCAACUUCAUAAUCAUCAUCCACAGCUUCCCACAGAUCAUGACCCUCCAAAAAUGCUGUCAUCUUAACAGCUCAUGCUUGAUAAUUCUCUCCAGUAAAUACUGGAGAAGCCAUCGCAGAGAAACCACUCGACCCUGUCUCCAUUACCCUUUAACUUCUUUACACUUCGAUACUUGCUUCACUUCACAGUCCCUCAAGAUCAUACACGCUCUGAUACCACUGUUGUUACUGAUCAAAAUAGUAAACAAGAAACAGAAAACCAGAAGCUAUAUUUUUUGAAUGAGGAAGAGAAGCACAGAGAAAACAGAGCACAAACUUGCGUACGUCAGUUUUCUUAAGGAUACUGUCAAGUACAUGACAACUUAAACAAGAACAAUAACUGCUUACAAACCACACACACGUGCAGCAUAUAACUGCACCUAAACGUGCUAAUUCACUUCCUAGAAAAUAGCAAAAAACACUAAAUGCACUUGGCUGUUUUUUAAUUAAAAAAAAAACAGAGGAAAACAGAGUAAAAAACAAAACAAAACAGAAAACAGCAACUGAGACAUUAUAAUCCAACACAUUCACGAGCUUUGCACUAAAUUCUGGUUUCAAGCUUCUCGUGGAAGGACGCCAGUAGAUGGUGAUGGCCAAAAUGGUUUUUAAAAAAAAAAAACGAGCCUUUCUCGCCCUCCAUGUCCUGUGAACAUAGAGUUAUAGCUGCGCAGUCCAUGUCAAGACUGAAAUUGCAUUCGCUGCAGUGGGAAACCAUAUGGCAGGCAUUAUAUUGGUGAUUUAUCCGAUUGAUCGAACGCAAGAGAGAGAGUGAUGGAGAGACGGGCGUUGCUUCUCCAGGGUAGGUACGGCACAGCUCUAGUGAAUUAAGAAUAUGCACCGUGUAGCAUCCAUAAACCUCCUCGCAGGCUUUGCAUUUGAUUCUACUUUUCGUUCCAAGAUGAUGGGAUGCCAGCAGAUGCUCCUGAGCAAGAUGUUGGAUGGUCACAUUCUCAGAAUCCUCAUCAGGCUUAGUGUUGUGACUAGGGAGAGACGUAGCAAUAUCGGCCAUGCAGUAGCGCUCAACCAUCAGAAUGGCAAGAAGAAAGACUGUUCACACGCAUGGCAACUCGGACGAUCCUCCUCAUUGUUGCCACCUAGGCAAACAUGUCGGGACAGCGGGUGAGACAAGUGUCCUAGUGCUAAAUUCAGCGCGACUUUUGAAAGAAGAAUCAACGCGAUUCGAGGCUGUUGGCUGAGCAGCGGAUUGGAGACCAACACGCGAGACAUUCCAAGCAAUAAUAGCCUUCUUCGCUCAGGUUUCGGAGAUUCAAUACAUGAUCACCAAAGCAAAUUAGGAA
rnacentral:lncRNA from 1 species